rnacentral:lncRNA from 1 species
GCACCGUACAGAAUACAUGGGGUGGGUCGUGUUCAAAUGCGUCUCUUUUCGUAUGAGAAAAGCAUCAUUUAGUCAGUUGUUUCGUGGGUGAAGUUGGAGAUAGAGGGGAUUCAUGAUUUCAGUGGUAUUUCUCUUUUGCUAGAUUGUGAGAGAGACUAGCUUUGAUUUAGACUGUCUUAGUAUGGGGAUGAGUUGACUGUCGGGGGAGAUGAAUGGUGGUGCCAGUGAAUGUGAAGCUUUCCACCGUCUGUGGUGUACUAUUGCUCUUUAGAUCGGAUAGUUUAUGCAACUAAUUAUCUGUUCAUUGAUGACUUCUGUGGGGGAAACUCAGGAAAUAGUUUUAGAGAUUUGGUUUUUAAACUGAACUUACAACUGUGAUGUACGUCUUGAGGGAACAUCGGGCAGUUUGUUCUGUGUGUGCUUCAUAGCUUUCGGGCAGUAGGAAAAAGGUAAAAUUUCUGAAGGAACACAAUUAAAAGCAGUGAUUUGGAAGUCCUGUUAUAUGCAGUUCCUUUCUUAUCCUUCUCAAUGGACUUUGGUAUAGACAAAUAAUUGGGAGAAUAUUGUUUGCUUGCUUGCCUUUAUCAUAAUUAUCUUUACUCCUGUAAGCAUCUUAAUGACGAAGAUCAUCAUAUAUUUUACCAUGCCAUUGGUUGCUCAUUACGCUAUUAAGGGGUCUGUCUUUCAAGGGAUCAACCCAGUUCCAUCAUCGAAGGCAUUGUAUUGGAAGCCCAAUUGUGGUGCUUGUAUCUUGCGGAUGUAUUGGAGUCAGAGAAGCGGGCUUGGGAGAAUCUGCUAGAAACUCAGGCUAUCAGAGAAGCUGUAAAUCCUUGGAGAAAUCAUGAUGCGGAAGCAAAAAAGAAUUCAUUGUGCCACCAUUGUUGAGUUUGUACCUGGUAUGAUUUCUUCUCGAACGCUCUCAUUCAACAAGGAGAGAACUUUCUUUAAGCCAUGUUCUUGAUGGAGAAGUAUGAUAACAUUCAGAACAAAUAGGUCUAGGUGGUGGAGCUAUUUUGCUCAACUCCUUUUAGUUAAUGUGCAAUCCAUUUAUUUUAUGAGACAUUUUGGCAAUAGGUCUUAAUGCCUCUGGCUAUUAGACUUGUGCAUUAUAAUUGAUGGGAUGAUCGCACAUUAGUUUAUUGGAUCCUGAGAAUCGUGAUCAUAUUUCCAUGCGGAUUACUGCUCAAACAGGUUCGCUUCCAUACAAACUUCUUGUGUUGACAUUUGAUCUUCAGUUAGUAUAUUCAAUGUUCAUAAUUGAUAAUGCGUCAUGUAUCUGGUCAUCUUGUUGGUUUGACAAUAUAUCAGAUUUUGGCUUGAUUGAGAUUAUGUCUUCAUGUAGGUUUUAAAGUACCACCUAAAAUUAGAAAAAAAGAAAAGGAAAAAAAGAGAGACUAAAGUCCACUGAUCAAGAAAGUGAAAAGGAAAGAAACAGAGAGAGCCAAUGCCAUUAAACCAGUGAACUGGAAAAAGAGAUAUUGAAUUCUGUACAAUGCAGUUUAACAAAAAAAAAAAAAAAAACCACUUAUGUUCACAUUUGCAUCACAGAAUGACAUCCAGAUCUUCCAGUGUAAGAAAGUGGUCGGAAUUAUAUUGAUAGCCCUCGAGGUUGCUGUGCAUCGGCUCCUCUUCCGAGCUUCCUACAUGGAUGGCUGAGUUUUCCCGCAAAGUCAAGAAGCUGUCACGGUUACCGUCACCGAAAGAUUCCUCCAAGAGACUACGAAUCUCAGCAGGAUCAAAUCCACACCCCUCAAGGUCACAGUGCAUCGGCUCCUCUCCCAAGGAUCCUCAGCCGAUGCCUGGGUUCUUCGGAAAAGUGAAGAAACUGUCAAGGUCACCAUCGCCGAUGCAGUCCUUAAACGGACUAAGAAAUUCGUCAGGAUUAAAUCCACACCCCUCAAGGUCACAAAGCAUCGGCUCCUCUCCCAAGCUUCCACCCCCCAUGGCCGAGUUCUCCGGUAUAGUCGAGAAACUGUUGUGGUGGCCGUCACCGACGCAGUCCCCGGACACACUAAGGAAGUUGUCCGGAUUACAUCCGCACCCCUCAAGAUGGGAGCAGGUGGGGGUGGAGUCCACUCGCAAACCUCCACUGCCGGCGGCCGACUUCUCCGGCGAAGUCACGAAAGGGUCGCCGUCGCCCAGAUUUUCAGAAUCACAACCGAACCCGUCUCCAGAAUCGCCACCAGAACCUUUCAGAAUCACAACCGAACCCGUCUCCAGAAUCGCCACCAGAACCGAUCACGACGGACGAACCCUUCUCCAGAUCUUCCAACUUCUCGCCCACAAGAUCACGAACGGCAUCGUACUUCGCGAUCAGGGACUCCACGUCCUCCUCCGUCGCGCAAGAAUCCCAUUCCUUCUCAAUCCACUCCGCCCACUCGGUCAAACCCAUCGGCGGCACCGCGUCGACGUGGUUGGCAAUUACGUUGUCUUCCACGGAGGGGUCGCUGAAGAACGAACAGGGCUUGCCGGCGGGGGAGAAGACGAUGACAGCGGCACGAGCGCCGCAGAGGCAGCAGAGCUCGGAGGCCUUCUUGAAGAGGCCCUUGCGCCUCUUCGAGUAAGUCACGAGCCGCGCGGCCGGGUCGGCGAUCUUGGCGAUCUCCGUUCGCCGGCGCUUACCCAUUUCCGAUGGAUUUCGCGAGAUUUCUUCGACGAUUUGCAGGAUUCUUGGGUUUCCAGGAGAGAGCUUUCGUGGGUUUUUCUGGGUUUCUUGUAGAGAGAGAGAGAGAGAGAGAGAGAGAGAGAUGAAGUUUGAAGUUGCAGAGGAGGCGGGCGGGGGAAAGGAGCCGAACGGGAAGAUCUACUUAUAUAGCCAUCGUGGGGCCCUUUUGAGAACUUUCUGAAUUCUGAUUUUCGGUCCUCUAAAUUUCUGUAGAUUUUCAAAUUGGCCUCGAGAACAGUUUACUUGUGUCGAUUAAGUACUCUUAAGUUUUCAUAAUUUGUGUAAUUGGUGGUUUGUCCAGUGGAUUGCUUUUACCAUUAACACGGUGUGAUAAAUAAUUGAAUUAGAUAAGUGAAGAUGUCGCUUUAGAUUAUAAAUUUUAAUUUUUAAAAUAGAUAAGUAAAGACGUCGCUUUAAGUUAUGAAAUUUAAUUUAACAUGAGAUGAGGAAAAAAAAAACAUUUUUGUCUGUUUGAUAACAUUUAUUCUAUGAUUUUUUAUUUUUUUUUACUCUCUUCAAAUACGUGGAAAUAGCUUGCAACUAGUCAAAGCCAUGAACAUUUCAGAACAGUUGAGUUGAGAGACUCGACCACUUGUAUGCAAGUAUAAGGACAAAAUAAGGGCAUUCUCAAAUAUCCAAAUCGUACAUUACUUUAGAGAGGCCAACCUUAUUGCGGACUGGAUAGCCAAAGCUCAUAAAAAAAAUUACUUAUCUCUAAAUUGAGUUUUGUCCCCUCCUCGAACUAUGUUGGAGCUUUUAUGUAAUGAUGCCCAUUUAACGGGGCUCUCAUCUUUGCUUAGUAAAUGAAAUAUUUCUAUUUCCAACCAAAAAAAAAAAAAAACUUGGAAACAGAAAAAUCUUUGGAUAAAACAUAUGAAGAAGCUAUAUUGCUGCAAGAUUUGAUUAAAGGAAUAAUUUUUUUUAAGAUAAAGGACACUUUAAUUGAAAAUAUCAUGCCCGAUUAAAAUAUUUGCUCAAAUGUAUAAACUAUAACAAUGGGUAAUACUAUAUUUUUCCUCGUCAUGGAUCACGGUGCUAUAUUAGACAUCAUCAUGUAGUAAACAAAAUGGACAAAGCCACCUAAAUCUCUAAAUAACAUGCAAAAUUAAAUUCAUAUUUAAAACAUAAAAAGAAAUAACGGUCUCAUCUAAUUAUAAUUAAAAAGAAUUACACUAUACACUCCCAUUACAAUCCAAAAAUAGUUUAAGUGCUAUAUUUUCCCCUAACAAGUUAUAAAUUGUGGACAUCACUCACAAGCAAAGUAAACAGAAUAUUAAUGUAGGUUAUGUCUAUGGUUGUAACCCAUCAAUCAACUUACAUAUUUCACUAGCAUUUAACUUUUUGCACAAGGAUGGUAGUAAGACCAAUUAUAAAAUCUGGAUUCAAUUCUAUGUUUUAGACCUAGUAGGAUUUUGGCACAAAUAUGGAUAGUGUAAAUUUUAGAUAUAUCCAUGAACUCAAUAAAUCUCAAUUGCUAGAUUUUCGAACCUCACAUGAAAUCCGUGAUAUCAAGGCGAUCGCAAACUCCACUUGACACACUCUCUUGCGAUCAAGCUUUUGAUUUUCACAAAGAAGGGCAAUAGACGUUUACACGUUAAAGUUCUAAAAUAGAUUUUUUUUUUUGUCUAUUUUACUAUAUUUUUACUUUAACAUUCAGUCUUAAAUUUUUAUCCUAUAUUUUUGCAAGGUUUGAGAGUCGAAAUCCACACUUAAAAUCAAAUCGUCCCCACCCUCAAUCGCCUCUAAGAAAGUAAGAAUUCAAACCCCCAUCUUCCUAUGGUUCUAAGACAAAUGUUUUUUUUUUCUUUUUUUGGUCAGAAUUCUAAGAUAAAUGUUUGACCGGGUGAGUUUUUGGCAAAAUUUCGGUCCAUCAACGAAGACGAUGGGCUUGCAGGAGAAAAACAGGCACAAUUACCGUACAGGUUCAAUCCGCAGCACGACCCAAUAUAAAAACCUCAUAAAUUUUCGGAACGCGAUGGACUUUCGAACCCGAACCGACAUCCACGUCAGGUCACAGUGCCUAAGGGACGCGUACACGUGGCGCGUUUGGCAAGGAUUAGCUUCGUUGCAGGAGAGCAGGGGUGAAACACGAACGAACACCCUUUAUUUUUUUCUUCGGCGGUGUUGAUGCGACAUGAUGAGAUGAGAUGAGAAUAGAAUGAGGGGUGGCCUUUUAUCAUCAUCCGUGACGACCAAGACCUUUGAUCAUGCAAGCGGCUCAAGCUCAUCCUCUGCCUACAUCGCCUGCUGAGAUUCCUUCUCAGGUCCUCUUUCUCUCUCCCUCUCUCUCCCUCUCUCCUCCUGCUGCUGCUACUGCUUUACUCGUUGGAUUGAUCAUGCAAGCGGCUCAAGCUCAUCCUCCGCCUUCUGCAACGUCUGUUGAGAUUCCUUCUCAGGUCCUCUCUCUCUCUCUCUCUCUCUCUCUCUUUCGGUGGGCGUUGCGAGUUCUUGCUUUUUGUGUACGCAAGUCUCGUUGUUUGUGGGUUCGCGGGUGAGAUCGAGUUUCGUGCUUGAGAUGGGUCGGAUUCUGCCGGCGUCGGAAGAGACGGGUCGUCGGCGUUUAGGCGUUUGGUUUCCGUUUUCCGGUUGUUGCUCUGGUGUUAGCUGGUUCCGUGCAAUCUGAGCUCUUUGAGCUCGAGAGGUCGUGCCCCCUCCUCCGUCUUCCGCUUCCGGUGCUCUCGCCCCCCGGGAGAAUUUUGCUUAAGCUGUGGUUUGAGAUCUUGGUUAGGCUUGAGUGAGAAAAGUAGGGAGAGCUGUCGAAAAAGAAAGAAAGAAAAUAGAGGAACCCCGAUGCGGGAUGACACGAGUGCGAUUAAAUUUGAGUCGAACGCGACUUAGUGCAUUGCGACGUGCUUUCUGGAAUUCGAGCUACUUUAGUUUGGAACUGAUGAUUGACGCGGCGACGGUGACAGGAUAUGACUUGCGGCCCAUUCGGAGGCUUUGAGAAGUUUGCAGAUUGUGGGAAGAUUAGCAGGAACUAUGAUUAUUUUAGAAAUUAUACAACCGCCUCCAAAAGAUGAGAGCUUUACCUCGUGCAUUGUCAACUUUGACAAGCUGGAGCGAUGCUGCAAUGAAUCAUUCUUAUUACAUAAUUGUAGCACACUGGCUCACGACUCUAUGUAUAUUUAGCUAACUUAGGGUACCAAGUUUAAUGACCUAUAGAGAUUUCCAUUUGUGAGUCAGGCUUCUAAACAUUUUCCAUCUCUGGCUGCCAUUGCUUUUGCUGAUAUGCUGUUUGGUAUUUCUUGAAGAUCAUGUCCAAGGAAAUCGUGCAGAAAAACAAUGUACCUGUAAAAAUUGUUGGAAUAGUAGGGAGCACUUCUUUUACUCACACUAUGACAGAAGGUCAAGGAAUGGCUAUUUCAUCAGGAUAUGAAUAUGAAGUAUUCUUGAGCUUCAGAGGAGAAGAUACUCGAACAAGUUUUACCGAUUUCCUUUACACUAGUAUGAUAGAUGCGGGAAUCCGCGUCUAUAAGGAUGACGAAGAGCUCUGCAAGGGUGAAAACUUUGGCUCGGAACUUCUCCAGCAAUUAAUCAAUCGAAGAUCUCAAUACCUAUAUUUUCGAAAGGUUAUGCCUCUAGCGUAUGGUGUCUCAAGGAGCUAGUCCAGAUGGUCGAGUGCCAAAAAACUAGGGGACAAAAGAUUAUGCCCAUUUUUUUUAUGAUGUAGCACCUUCAGAGGUUCGACACCAAAUUAAAGGUUAUGGAGAGGCCUUUCUUACACAUGAAAACAAGAAGCGAUAUGACAAAGAGACUAUGCAUAAGUGGAAGGCUGCUCUCACCACGGUUGGAGAGCUAGAUGGAUGGGACUUGCAAAAAAUGGCCAACAGGUAAUUGCCUCUAUCAUUCCAUUUGAUGUGCCUUGUCCCAUUAAAACUUGAUGUGUUUCACUGUUGAAAUUGAAUUUUAUGCUAUUGAAACUUUACCGCAGAAAUCACUUGAAAUAAUGGGACAAUCCCCAUUUUGUCCUUUUUCAUUCCAAACAACCUUUUUUUUUCUUUUUUUUUUUAGUUAAGGUCAUUCGUGAAUCAUAUGUGCCAAUGCUAAUUCAUUUACAAUGAAGUAAAUCCUUGCAGAAAGCAUUUCAAAUGGGUCUCUAGUUUCACUUUGGUCUUGUUAGAAAAUAGCUUGGUUCAACACAAUUUUCUAACUCAUUGCCAUUUGACCUCCAACAAACACUAGGAAAGAAGGUGAGAUAGCAAAAACAGUUACUUGGAAGGUUUUCAAUGAAUUGAAAAAGGCUUAUUUGGUGGUAUCAAACAACUUGGUUGGUGUGGACAGUCAUGUGAAUAAAAUCAUGGAAGAGAUAGGUGCUCAUAUAAAUGAAACGCGAAUCAUAGGAAUUCAUGGGAUGGGUGGCGUUGGAAAGACAACAAUUGCCAAAAUCAUAUACAAUGAGCUUUCCAACAAGUACAACAAUUGUUGCUUCCUUUCCAACAUCCAUGAAACGUCAAAGCUCGGGGGCAUUGAGUACUUGCAGCAACAGCUCAUCUUUGACAUCCUCAAGAUGAAAGGGACGGAUAUAAGAAACAUUGAUGAAGGGAUUAAGACCAUUAAAGAAAGGUUGCCUAAUAAAAAAUUCCUCCUUCUUCUUGAUGAUGUUGAAGAAAAGGAUCAUAUGGAUGCACUUGUCGGUAAGCGUGAUUGGUUUGGCGAAGGGAGCAAACUUAUUGUUACUACAAGAAGGAAAGAUGUUCUCUGUGUUCCGGAAGUGGACUGGAGGUAUGAGCUUACGUGCUUGGAUCCGAAUCUAUCUCUUCAACUUUUUAGCAAACAUGCUUUUAGAAGAGAGUCUCCUGUAGACGACUAUAUCAACCAAUCUAGGAGGGCGAUACGCAUUACCGGAGGUCUUCCAUUAGCCAUUGAGGUCAUAGGUUCACUUUUAUCCGACAAAAAUAAGGAAAAGUGGGAUGGCACAUUGAAGAUGCUAGAAAGUGUUCCUCAUGAUAAAGUUCAGAGUAAGCUGAAAAUAAGGUAUGAUGCAUUAGAUGAUCGGCAGUGGCGUAUAUUCCUUGAUAUAGCUUGUCAUUUCAUUGGAUGUUGCAAAGACAUUGUGGUUUAUUUCUGGGAUGCAUCUAAACUUUUUCUGGAAGCAGUCGUGGAAGUUUUGCUGAACAUGUCUUUAAUAAAGAUUGGAGAAGAUAAGAUAUUGUGGAUGCAUGAUCAACUCAGAGACCUUGGAAGAGAAAUAGUUCGUCAAGAAAGUGAGAUGAAUAUAGAGAAGCAACGUUGGGUGUGGAAUCCUGAGGAUGGAUUAAAUCUGCUAAGGAUACAUGAGGUGAAAUGCUUUGUGCAAUACAUCUCCAAAUUAUUUAUAGACAUUUUCUUUUCCAAAAAAGUAGUUACUUUUUGUGUUCUCUAGCACCAUCGCGACCUACUCAACCGAUAGUUUUGGUCUUUUAAGAUUUUAAAGGAAUGAUAAUAGUCAACUCUACCCCUUAAAAUAGUGAACUUGAAGAAAUGUGUUUCCUUUCAACUUUUUUGUUUUAAAUUUUUUCCUUUGGGCAGGAAAAGAAAGAAGUUGAAGCUCUUCAUCUCAAGUUUGAUGAUUAGCACCAUUUUACCUAUAAGGACUUUAAGAGCCUACCAAAUCUAACGUUCCUUGAAGUAGACGACUUGAAGGAAAAUUUUCGUGGAGAAAAGUUGCUUCUUUAGCUCAAAUGGCCAUCAUAUGCUCUUCCAACUAAUAUUUUCCAGAGGAAUUCAGAUCUCCUUCCACGAUUACGAUGGCUUUCUUGGCAUAAUAUUAGCCCAACAUAUAAGAUUGCAAAUUUCUGCGUAGAGAAUUUGAUUAUCCUUGAUCUAUCUGGGAGUGAAAUCACUCAUGAUUGGAAGGGGUGGAGCCACAUGAAGGUAUGUUAUAUGCUAGACAACAUUUAUUCUUCCGUUUUAUUAGAUUCAAAAGUGAACUUUGCAUGAUUUUUCUUUCACAGGUGAUUAAGAAUUUGAAAGUUCUGAAUUUGGACUAUUGCCAAUGCUUGAAGAGAACCCCCAACUUCUCAACUCAUUCAAAUUUAGAACAUUUGAUCCUAUCAAAAUGUUACUCAUUAAUCAAAAUUGAUAGAUCAAUUUGUUAGUUGAAACGCUUGGUUUUCUUAGAUGUAAGCGAUUGUUGGAGUCUUCAGAGGCUGCCGAAUGAGCUGGGAGAUCUUGCAAGCCUCAAAUACCUAUCUCUAAGAAAUUGCUUGAGUUUGAAGAGGCUUCCGGAGACAAUCGGGAAUUUGGAAUUGCUGAUUGAGUUGAACAUAAGAACCACGAGAAUCAGAGAACCACCCGAUUCCAUCGGAAAGUUUAAGAAUUUGAAAAUAUUGAAUAUGCAAUAUUGUGACAUAAGCCUACCAAGGCUUCCUGAAAGUCUCAUAGAAUUAGAACUGAGGGAGUUGAGGGUGGACACGUUUUUGGAUCUCUCGUAUCUUGCUAACUUAAAGGUAUUGCAUCUAGGCUUUGGCCCACCUAAUUGUGAUGGGAAAUCUUAUGGGCUUCUGGAAGAAUCGAUACCACGGUGGAUUGUGAACUUAACCAAAUUGGAAUCUCUGAAAUUGCGCUUUUAUAAGAAGACCGCCUUAUCGACAGACCUCAGCGUCCCUCCUCAUCCGCGUCACCUCUCGAGGCUUCCCACAAAUUUAUCCUCCUUACUUCUCUUUGGUUGCGACUCACUUUACUCGAUGGAUAUAUCGAAUUUGAGGAAACUAUCGUCUCUCGAGAUUUUGUCCUGCCACUCUCUUUGCUCGAUGGAUCCAUCGAAUUUGAGGAAACUAUCGUCUCUCAGGAUUUGGUGGUCUCCAAUUGCAAAGAUUGAAGGCCUUGGUUGUUUGGAGAACCUACGAUAUUUGGAGCUUUACAACGUCGGACAGUUAGCGGUGCUACCUGAUCUAAGCAAGUUAAACAAGCUAAGGCAUAUUCGAGUAUGGGGAUGUGGUGAUCUGGUUGAGAUUCAAGGCGAACGACCGCGGUUUAUAGAUAAACUCAAAAAAAAUUUCUGUCCUUCAUUACAGGAGUUGCCCGAUCUGUUCAGCUUAAUGGGUAAGACAGAUCUUGAUGUGUUUAUUCGCAAUCGAACAUAUGAAUGUAAAGGUGGACAUGGGUUGUUGCUUCGUGGCUUUAAACAGAUGCAGAUCCCUAAUCUAAGCAAUUAGAACGGACUAACAAUUCUUUCAGUAGAAUCUUGUCAUAAUCUAGAUGAUAUUCAAGGCGAACUACCUCAAUCUUUGGAAUACUUGGAUAUUGAAUCCUGUGAAUCUUUACAGAAAUUGCCUGAUCUAUCAAGCUUGAAGGGAUUGCGAGAGGUUAGAAAAAGACGUUGUGGGAAAUUAGCGGUGGAGGAAAUUUCUCGGCUUUGCUCGGAGAAGUCAAUCAAAUUUGUGGGAGAAGACGAUGAAGAAGACAAAUCACCGGUUUGGGCAAGAAUACAAAGAUAUGAAAUACGACGACGGUCAUCUUCCACGGAGGGGUCGCUGAAGAAAGAACAGGGCUUGCUGGCGGGGGAGAAGACGAUGACGGUGGCGCGAGCGCUGCAGAGGCGGCAGAGGUCGGAGGCCUUCUUGAAGAGGCCUUUGAAGAGGCCCUUGCUCCUCUUCUAGUAAGUCACGAGCCGCGCGGCCGGGUCGGUGAUCUUGGUGAUCUCCAUUCGCCAGCGCUUACCCAUUACCGAUGGAUUUCGCGAAAAUUCUUCAACGACUUGCGGGAUUCUUGGGUUUCCGAAGAAGAGCUUUCGUGGGUUUUUCUGGGUUUCUUGUAUAUAGAGAGAGAGAGAGAGAGAGGAGGAGGAGGAGAGAGAUGAAGUUUGAAGUUGCAGAGGAGGUGGGUCGGGGAAAGGAGCCGAAUGGGAAGAUCUACUUAUAUAACUUUUUGAGAACUUUCUGAAUUCUGAUUUUCGGUCCUCUAAGUUUCUGUAGAUUUUCAAAUUGGCCCCGAGAAUAGUUUAUUUGUGUCGAUUAAGUACUCUUAAGUUUUCAUAAUUUGUGUAAUUGGUGAUUUGUCCAGUGGAUUGCUUUUACUAUUAACACGGUGUGAUAAUUAAUUGAAUUAGAUAAAUGAAGACGUCGCUUUAAAUUAUAAAUUUUAAUUUUAAAAUUACAUAAGUAAAGACGUCGCUUUAAAUUAUGAAAUUUAAUUUAACAUGAGAUAAGGGAAAAAAAAAGAAAAAAUAAAUAAAUCGAGAGGUUAAACGAGAGAAGCUCGUCGCCACGAGGUUCUCAUUGAAGGUUUAAAAAAAAAAUUCCAUUUGAUAACAUUUAUUCUAUGAUAUUUUUUUUUUCUUUUUACUCUCUUCAAAUACUUGAAAACAGAAAAAACUUUGUAUAAAAUAUAUGAAGAAGCUAUACUGUAAGUAAUUUCUUAAGUUGCAACAUUUGAUUAAAGGAAUAAUAUCUUUUUUUAAAGAUAAAGGACACCCUAAUUGAAAAUAUAAUACCCGAUUAGAAUAUAUGCUCAAAUUUAUAGACUAUAACAAUGCGUAAUACUAUAUUUUCCCUCCUCCCAUGGAUCAAUAUGCUAUGUUAGGCAUCAUCGUGCAGAAAACAAAGUAGAUAAAAGUAAAACCACUUAAAUCUCUAAAUCUCUAAAUAUUAGGUAAUAAUACCUUCAUCUGACUGGAAUAAAAAAGAAUUACUUUAUACACUUACAUUACAAUCCAACAAAAAUAAUUGACACUGAAUAGUUAUGUGUAUAGUUUAAGUGCUAAAUUUUCCUCUAACUAAAUUUAGUUAUAAAUUGUGGACAUGCAAAAUAAAUAAAAUAUAAAUAUAAGUGAUGUCCAUUAUCGCAACCUAUCAAUAAGAAUUGUGAUAGAGAAAACUUGGAAACUAUGGUCCAAGAAUAAUUCCUUUUUAGCAAAACAUUAUCAAAUAUUAUUGGGCAUGCAUAAUUCACUAGCAUUUAACUUUUUCUACAUAGUACAAGCACAAGGACGGUAGUAAGACCAAUUAUAAAAUCCGAACAAUUUUCUAAGUUUUAAACCUAGCAGGACUUUGGUGCAAAUAUGAAUAGUAUAAAUUUUAAAUAUAUCCUUGAACUUGACAAAUAUCAACCGUUGGAUUUUCAAACCUCACAUGGAAUCCGUGCGAUCAAGGCGACUGUAAACUCCACCUGACACGCUCUUGCGAUCAAGCUCUCAAUUUUUCACAAAGAAGGGCAAUUGACAUUUACACACAUGUCCUGUGUGUUAAAGUUGAUAGAUUUUUUUUUUUUUGUUAGUCAUACUCUACUCAUACUCUAAUAUUUAUGCUUAAACUUUUGCUCAACCUUUUUGCAAGGCAUGAGAAUCGAAAUUCAUAUUUGAAACUAAAUUGUCAUCAUUUAGAAAGCACCAACAUUUUUUGAGAGCAUUCAUGUUGUAUUGGACACUUCAACAUAUGUCUGAAACUCUCCGAUAAUCGGUCAACAAAUGUCGAAAAAUUUGAUAUUUGGUCAACUCUCCUAACACUCUCGUAUGCGAAUCAAGAAUUCCAACAAUGCACGAGUCAAUUUAAAAAAAUUUCAAUAAACAAUGGAUCAAAAUGUAAAUGUGUGAAAAAAUAACAAAGCUAAUAAAUAGGGAAAGAAGAAAAAUUUAGUUUUAUCUUUUUUUUUUACUCUCACUUCCCAUGACAUACAAUUCACCUCCAUUUUUUUUCUCCUCUUUCAAUAUGCUUAAACACGUGAAUCCAAAAUGUGGAUUGUUUGACUUUUUUCUUCAAAUUUUAUGAAUUAUUGGAAUGGAGUUGAAUUUACAAAAUUAAAAUAAUUGAUGAUAUUAACAAAUGGUAGAUUAAUAUUUUUAGUGUAAAUUCAUUCUAAGCUUUUUUUAUUAUUUAUUUAUUUAUUUAUGAAUUUGAAUCAAAUUAAUUUUAUUAAAAUAAUCAUAAAAUGAUAUAAAAAUAUAUAUUUAAUAUAUAACGUGUCCCAACGUAUUGAAAUUUUUUAUUUUUUUGAAAAAUGACGUAUUAGCAUGUCAUGUCAUAUUGCGUGCCGAUACUACUUAAAUAUCUAUCACAAUUUUCCUUAAAGAUGUGAGAAUUCGAAUCUCUCACCUCUCCCUUUUCUUUGUAGGAAGAGUGGCCAUUGAUGGUUUAGUUUUUUUUUUUUUUUUGUCGAAACAUUGGUGGUUACGUUGACUGGGUGAGUUUUUGGCAAUGUUUCAGUCCAUCAACGAAGACGAUGGAAUCGUAGGAUAAAAACAGACACGAUUACCGUGCAGGUUCAAUCCGUGGGAAGUGCAAUAAACUUUUACAAAUCACAGUGCGAAAAACUCCACAGAGUUCGCAGCACAACCCAAUAUAAAAACCUCACAAAUUUUCAGAAUGCGGUGGACUUUCCAACCCGAACCGACAUCCACGUCAGGUCACCAAGUCCAAGGGACGCGUGCACGUGGCGCGUUUGGGUUAGCUUCGAUGCAGGGGUAAAACACCCUUUAUUUUUUCUCCAUGGUGCUGAUGCGACAUGAUGAGAUGAGAUGAGAAUGAGGGGUAGGGUAGGGCGCUUUUGUGUGGGUUGCUGGGCUUGAGGAUAAGUAGCCGAGUGAAUUGUUUAUGUGACUGGUUGUCUGCUGAGUUCUAUGAGUCCUUGAGCGUAACUACAUGUUUUUUUUUGGCAAUCGUUGGUUUUGUUGGGGACAUUUACACCGGUUCCAUGGACCCACCCGCGAGCAGGGCCGGACCCAGUUCCCAUUUUGUGGAAACCGGCCCUCAGUGGGCGUUUCCGGGUUCUAGGGUGAGGACCGCCCACCCUGAAACCGAUCAUACCUGCCAGCAUUUCCAUCUUAAGUGACAAUAUCCAGCGUAAUUUUUCUUUCUUUGAUUUCUGCUGCUUUUUGCUGCUAUCCAUCGUCGAUUUCUGUGCAUGCUGUUGUGUCUGCCUGUGAAAGCUUUCGUCUUUUUGUUAUUUAGAAAGAUAUCUUUGUAUGCUGCAUUUUCUGGGCUAUCCGAGAAUUUCUGUACGUGGACUUAUAGAGGCGUGUCCUAUUGUGGCUUUCAUUUGGUUAUUUUCUAGUUGUAAAAAAUGGGUAGUGUGUAGGUCGAGUGGUGACUUGACCUUAUUCAAAAGCGGAGUCACGUUGAAUUCAAAAUUUCAAAGAGUAACUCACUCUUUUUUUAUCUGCUUUCAACAGCCGUUUCCCAAAGACAGAGAGGUCUCUCUCUAUUUUGAGUUGCAUUGCUUCUGAGCAGAAAAGUGUCCUCACUUUCCUUCAUGGCUAACAAUCCUUCACAGCUCCUCCCGUCAGGUCUGUCGGAUGUUUUAAUUCAUGUCUGUUUUGUUUUCCUUAAUUUUCUGAGAUUCGCAGAAAUAUUGGGAGGGCAUUUCCACUUAUGUUCAUCUUGCACUAAUGAAAUAUGCAGAGUUGAUUGACCGUUGUAUAGGUUCAAAAAUCUGGGUUAUAAUGAAGGGAGACAAGGAGCUUGUCGGUACUCUUAGGGGCUUCGAUGUGUACGUCAACAUGGUCCUCGAGGAUGUCACUGAGUAGUAUGUAUCUCUCUCUCUCUCUCUCAAAUUUACUUGUGCUUCAAGAUGCUUCUCGCAUUACUUCGGGUGAAGGGAAGCCAUUAUAUGUUCUUGACAUCGAUUUAUUAUCUGAACGGGCAAAUGACAAUUUGUAUGUAUUAGCAUCAGAAGUUAUCAAAUCCGUGGUUUAUGAGGCCUCUCUGUCCUCAACUUGAUCUAUGCUUCUAACUGAGAAUUGCUACUUGCACAAGCACACGCAAUAUGGCCUUGCCCAACAUCCAACCCACCCCACCCCCCACCCCCCUCCCCCUUUUUCUUUUUACUCACUCCACCUUUUAUAUAGGUUGUAGAUGUAAACUGUGGAAGCUUCAUGUGAUUGUAAGUUUCUGUUUUCAUUCUUGCAUACGGUGAAAUCACUUCUGAAGGACGAAGGAUAACAAAGGUCGAUCAGAUUUUGCUUAACGGAAACAACAUAGCUAUCGUAAGAAACAACUUCUUCCUUCUGCUGAUAUUGAUGUGGCUAUAUGUUUUGAGCCCUUGCAUCGAUAAGGAUGUGGUCUUGCCUAAAGUUUUGGUGAUCUACUAACUAGUAAGCAAUCGCCUUAACAUAACAGAAACAAUCAGCCACUCAGAGAGAUUCCUUCCAAUAUGUAGACUGAAAAUGCUUUGACGAUAUACUAAUGAAUUUUUACUGGUCUUGAUUUUGUGGUAAAAGAGUCAUCAUUCCCUAUUCUUUACAAGAAUCUGGUCCUUUGUCUCAAUCAACCUUGUGUCCACCUCUUGAUAAAUAUAAAGCGUCAGUUGUGUGGCAGUUAUGUUAUUGAAAAGCUAGAAUUCUGCUUUCAAGUGCCUGAACCACUCAAGUGAUGAUGCCUUCCUUUUUUUCUUAAUGCAGUUAGUUCCUGGUGGCUCCCCUGAUCUGGAAUGAGUUGGUUUCAUCCUCUAACCUCAGUGGUAGAUUAUGCAGUUACUUUAGUUGUUGGAAAUCCCAUCAGCAACAUCAUUUGAUUUUAUAACCCUCUUUUUUUGGGUUUAUGAAUCUGCAACCUUAGUUAAAUGAGCUCUAAUUAAAUCGAGCUCAUGUAUGAAUGUCUGAUGCAAAUAUCUCAACGGAUGGUGCAUGAUCACAUCGCCUUAUUAUCCAAUAUCUAUGUUUUGCUCAACUAGAGGGCAUGGCAGUUGUUGUUUUGCUUGGUGCAAGUUGUUCCUAGGAUUCAUCUUCAGGUACAUUGUCACUGAAGAACCUGUCUUGGCUUGUUUUAGUGUUCUACAGCUUUUGGUCAUUGACUGCAUAAUGACAUCUGUAUUUGCCCCCCUCUCUCUGUGAAAACACAUGCACUUCUUUGAGCGUUAGGGAUGUGGAUCCUCUUUCCUGCACCAUACUCCCAUGUGUGUCUCAACAUAUGUUGGCUUUUGAUGCUUACCCUAUCCACACGCGUCAAUGGUUGAGAAGCGUUUUAAGGGUUACAGCAUGAACGGGAGCCCUAUGGUUGUUGAGUAUCUUCAUCCAAAAUAUGCUAUCUUCUAGGUGGCCUGCUAUUUGACUAACCUUUCUGUGUCAUGGUGCAUUGUCAAUCUAAAUGCAGAAGUGUGUGUUCCCAGUAUCCACUUUGGAAAAGAUCAUAGAAUUCUGCUUAUGUAUUUGUUGCUUUUUGCUUGAAAAGAUUCUACUUCAUUAUGCAGUAUGAUUCUGGUAUCGACACAUCAGGCCUAAGAUGUGCACUGUACUGCCUACAGCUAGAUAAAUAAUGGGGGUAUUUUGCUCCCAGUGAUCUCAAUUUUCCACCAAACUAUUUGCUGCACGUCACGAAAAGAUCCAAGCUCAAAGCAAACUCAUUUGAUUUGACUAUAACUGGUUUUUGUCGUUUGUGUUUUCAAAAAGGUUGGCUAUUUGGGUGGAGCCUGUUUCUUGUUAUUGCGGUAGCAGUUCAAAGCUCACGAGGUGUGAUAUUGCUUGCGGAGUUUGGUUAGAGUGACAAGAUCUAAAUAGGCUGGAAAUAAAGGUGCUGAAGAUUCGCCAUAGGCGUCGUCUUCUUUUUCGCUUGUUUUAAUGUAUAUUCACUUCUCCAAACGAGCUUGACAUGAAGCAUGUAAAAUUAGGGAUAUUUGCGGAGAACUUUGUCUAGGCAUAGAUGCAUUUUUCUUAUUGGAAGCUUUAUGGGCCAUUGAAUCCCAUUAUCAUGAACAAGGUUGCAGUUCCAUUCCGAUUUUGAUUAGUUCAAACGCAUGGUACAUGCUUCAUUGAUUCUCAAUGAAUGCCAUGUGUCAAAAUUCUCCAAAGUUGGAUCUAACGUCAAAUACCUAAUAUGAUAUUUUGUUCUAAGACACUAACGAUAAAAGACAGCUUGUUUUGAGUAUCUAGAUAUUUUCCCGUGACGGGUAUGGUUCUUUUUCAUUCUUUCACCAAUUUCGACAUAACAUAUGAUGCUUCGGUUUGGGAAAGCAGUUGUAACUUAGUAAUAGGAAGAUUAAUGUGUGAUUAGUCAUAAGAGGGGGAUCAUGAUUGAAACUCUUGAAGUGGUCAUUUAGUUAAUUUCAUUGUGGACACCAAAUGGAAGAAGAAUUGAGUAUGCAGGGGAUGAAUGGAAGAAGAAUUAACUAAUUCAAUUAGGAGUGAUUUUAGGUUAUAUGGUGUUUCCUUGACUAGUUCUUACUCACAAAGUUAGUCUACACAAAAAAAUAGUUUGAUUUGACUUUAGGCUAUUAUUCUAGUUGCGGUUUGAUUCGGCAAAUAAAAUGCAUACAUUGCAAUCAAUCCUACAGAAUUUAUCAUGACAUAUCCUCCUGGAUCAAUGCCUCUGCCUGCCAAUUUGCAUUGCCAUUCUCCUAAAAAUCAUGAAAGACCUGCAGUAGGAAGUUCCAUCCAAAAUUGCAUGGGUCCUUUAAUCCAUCCUGAAAUUGCAUUCCUCUUGAAAUGGAAAUCCUAAAUUCAAUGUUAAGACAAAGUUCCAUCCAAAUUGGAUAGUGAUAUUCCAAAUGAAUUACAUUAGGCUAGUGAUACUUGCUGAACAAUGUGUAAAAAUCACAUUGAUUAAGAGUGAAAAUCACUAGAUUUCAAUAUGGAGUAGUGAUUGAGAAAUCAAACUCUAACUCUUAGCCUCUAUUCUGGCCUUCUUAAUAAAAGUAUGGCUAGUAUGAAUGUCGAGAUUUGAUUUUAUCAUUUUAUUUUUCUUUCGGGCAAAUUCAAAAAAUCACUUGAUGAUCAUGCAUUCAAAAGUGGUGUCGCAACUCCGGUUUCAAUGGAAAGCCGUAUUUGAUAAGAAGGGCUUCCUAUUCUGUUAAAUAUAUGAAGUACAAAGAGGUUUAUAUAAGUCUUCUUUUUCUGCAAAUACCCUUGUUCAGAUCUUCUUUGUUUUGGUUUGGUUUGGUUUAGAUGUUUCAAUGGCUUGAUUUGCUAAACGUGAGGUCAAAUUAUAUAAAUUCCAAGUGCAUUAUUUUAUCAAUAUAUUAUGUGGUGAUUUAUCUGAGAUACCUUAUAAUUUGCUGCUUUGUCUUACUAUAUUUGAAAUUGGUCAAUGCCCCAGUGUGCUUCUUUCACGACAUUCCUUGGUCUCGGGUGUCAACCUGGGGUUUUCUAGUGUUACAAGAAGUCGUGUCCAUCUCGGACAUCUACAAUGUCCUCCCACGUUUUUAUUUUAUUUUAUUAAAUAGGACAAACUAAAGGAAAAGACUGACCCAUUCAGUGACUUUCGCAAUCACCCUCACUGAACCAACUUGAAUAUGAACUACGAUUCAUAUCCAGUCUUACCAAAAUUGAAUUUCUUUUGCAUGCCAUGUGCGCUUAGACUUGACUUCUCUCCCUUUUUUCUUCCCUGUCCAAUAUUUGUUUGUUUUUUUGUAAAAUAUAUCGCUUUCUUCAUGCAGGAGAAUGUUAACUUCAUUAUACUGUAUACGUCAAAGUAGCCAUUACAAUGUGUUGGAAAGUAUCUCAGCACUUAUGGCAUCACCUCUACGACAACAACUGACACAAAAUUGUGACGUGAAGAAGAUGGAUACUCUACAUCGGUAAACGCAUUUCCAAAUUGUUUUUUGGUAAAGCAUGGUUCUUAAGUUGGAUUCAUAGAAUUUGAAGAGGAGGCAUUCCAAUUCAUAAUUAUACUAAAAAAUGUUUCCAGCUGCAAAUGGACUCGGUUUGACAUUAUCUAACUUGAAGUUAAAUUUGAAAUAAUGACCCAAAUUGUUUAAUUUCAAAUUAAUAGAAGUGUGGCAAAUAUUUUUCCAAUUUUCAAAAUUUAACAUGGAAUAGUCUCACGUCCGCAAGUUCUUAUAUUUGCACCUCUUUUUUGACAUUUUGUAAUAGAUAACCCACAAGCAUUAAUCGAGAGAGUGAAGAGACAGACCUCCAAAAAACAUUAUCUGAAAUGGAGAACUUAGUCAACAUUUUUUUUAAUCAUUAUACUCAUUGGAGAGGUCCAAUCAUCAUAAAGGCUUCGAGUACAAUCGUGAAUGUGGAAAUGCUAAUUGAGUUAAAUUCCAAAUGAGAUGUAAUAGGUCAUAUCAUGUUCAUGAGCUUAUUUACCAUACUUGUCAGUGGCUCAAAGCUUUAAUAUGAUUACACAUUGGUUUUGUGUACCUUGUUUUAGUAAUGUUUUGUAUAAUAAUCAGCACGCUGGAUGGAUUUAAUGCCCAAUUGCAAUGCUUUGUGACAAGCAAUUUAUUGACACUAACGACAAGUUAAAUGCUAAGGAUGCUUCACCCCCGAAAUAAAAUGUAAUCUUUUCUUAAUUCAAUUGAUCACUAGGGAGUGCUUUGACAAAGAUCAAGCCCGACAAUUCCACCAGGCUUUGUUCUUCAGAGUUAAUUCGGGCCUGGGCCCAAUCAGCCCAUUAAACUGGACCGACCGGAGUUCACCUUAAUUAGGAUUAGGGAAACGAACUUGUUUUGGAAGUUCAUGUAUGCUUUUGUUGACUUUAAUUUGAAUGAAUUAUUUAGGGGCAAAAGUAGAUUCUCAUCCGAAAAUUUCUACACCACAUAGUCCAGUGAUUUUCCACGCUAAGAAACAUAAAUUUGUCACCUUUGACAGGGUGCAAUGAUGCUGCAAGGAAGCAUCCUUAUUGACCAAUUUUGCAGCAAAACUGGCGCAUGAUUGUCUGCAUAUUCUGAGGUAAAGGAACAAAGGUCUCAAUAAUUAAGGCCCGCAUAUAAACAAGAAGUCUUUAUUUUCCUUUAAAAAAAGUAAGAGUUAGGCAGUGGGAUCCCACGAAUUUUCUCCUCUUCACAAGCUUUUAAGCUAAAGGAGCAAGCUCAAUUUGGAUUCAAAUGGAUGUAGUCUGAUUUCAAAAAAAUUGUGACAAGAGUUUCGUUUUACUAAAACAAAAGUUUGGUGGAGUGAUAACGAAAGCUAAAGCUAUCGGAGAACAAAUUCGAUCUAUCAUCAAUCUCAAUACAAGAAAUUUGAUACUUCCCAAGAGUCUUCUUUUUAACUCAUCGAGUCAUCGUGAUUUAAUAACUUCAAUCUUAAUAUUUUUUGGUCAUGCUGGGAUUUUUGCAUGAAAAGACUUCAGAACUUAUGAAUUAUGAAAUGGAAAAAUUUUACACUUCUAAAUCUAGCGAGAUUCUUUUUUUUUUUCUAUUGCGAAACAUGGAAUGUUUAGUUACCACAAAAUCUAUUCAAAAAACAGAAAAAUACUUGCAAAGAAACACCAUCUAUCCAGAAAAGCUUUUUUCUUAAAUAGUUUAGUCAAUCAUGUCAUCAAUUAAUAAAAAAAGUUGGAACGAUCUAAUUUAAUUAAAUGGAAAUGGAAUAUGUCGCAUACAUAUAAUUUUGCAUUGCAUCAAAAUACAUUCACUAGAUUAAGAAUUGGGUGAGAUCUAUCGAUGUGAUUUUGAUAAGGACGCCAACAAACUAAAACCUAAGCUUCAUGUGCCUUGUCUUAAUGUGGCAUUAACAUUAGCUCCCACUCUCGGAAAAAGAGAUAAAAAUCAGACAGAACAGCGUAUGGGCAGUGAAAGAAGACUGAAACCAAUGAUUGAACUAGGUCAAAGUCUACGAAGACUUGGACUACCAACAGUCCAUGAUGAACCAGCUUGCUCAAGAAGGAAUCACACCAUUGAUUGACCCAAGUCAAAGUCUACGAAGACUUGGACUACCGAAGGCAAAAGCUCAAGCAUUGGCGAGACUUCUUUUCCACAUCAGGAUGACCCCAUCUUCUUUUUCUUUGCUGGAUUGCUUUAUUUCUUUUCAUUAUUCACUUUGCUUUUUAACAAGAGUUUCCCUUGGAUUCGUCAAGGCAGUUCUACUGUAAAUAACUAUUGAGGUCCCAAUGGGUUUACGAUGAGAAUUUUGUGAAAUAACAUGCAUUCAACGUUUCACAAAACAAAUGGCAUUUUAAUUACAACUGCUAGCAAUAUGUGGAUUUUUUUUUUUUAUGUUGUUAAAAAUAUGUGCACUUUUACUCAAUAAGCACGAACUCUUCAUCAUUUGAAGUUUAACCAAUAAAUCUAGGUUAAGUAAGUAUACUAAAAUUGAUACAUUAAGUGAAAUGAUCAAAUCAUGAUUUAAUAUUUAGCAAGUGAAUAAAUAGAUUUGUGAAAAUAGAUACUACUCAAAUGGGAAUUCGAUACUUCCCAAGAGUGUAUUUUUUUACUCAUCAAGUCAAUUUGAUUAAUAACUUCAAUCUUAAAUGUUGUUUUUUUAUCACACUCGGAUUUCGGCCUAAAAAGAGUUAAGGAACUUAUGAAUUUUGGAAUGGAACAUUUUUACACCUUCAGAUCUAGUGGGAAAACAUGGAAUGUUUAAUAACCACAAAAUUGAUUUAGAAAAAAAAAUUGCAGAAAAACACUAUCUGUUUAGAAAUAUUUUUUUUAUUUUUAAAUAGUCUAACCAAUUGUAUCAUUAAUUAAUAGAAAAUUUAAUAUUGUCUAAUGUAACUAAAUGGAAAGUACGAAAGUGUUGUAUACAUGUGGUUUUUGCAUUGCACCGAAAUACAAUCAUUAAAUUAGGAAUUACAUGAGAUUGGUCAAUGUGAUAUUGAUACGGACGCCAACGAUCUAAAACCUAAGUGCUCGAGAUGCUCGCGCUCGCCAAAUCGACAAGCGCGAGCUUGAGAUCGAUGAGCUUGAGGUUCACCUAGUGACGGCCGAUGACUAGCCAAGAAAGAAGAAGAUGGGAAACAAAAAAAAAAGGAAAAUAAAUUUAAAAAAAAGAAAAGGAAAUUAAAAAUAAUUCAAAUUAAAAAAGAAAAGAAUAUUUAAAAAUAAUUCGAAUAAAAGAAAAAAAGAAGAAGAAGAAAGGAGAGGAGGAAGUGAGGAUUUGCAGAGGUGUGAGAUAAGAGAAAGUGGAAAACAUUUUUCCCUAAUUUAGAAGACUUUUUUUCCUUUCAUGGAAAACAUUUUCCCCCAGGAAUUCAUUUUCCAUGAAACAAACGCUGGAAAAUCUGGAAAAUGUUUUCCUGGAAAACAUUUUCCACGAAAUGAACGGAGCCGAAGACUUGGACUACCAAAGGCACACGCUAAAGCAUUGGCCGGUCUUCUUUUCCACGCUAGGAUCCAUCUUCUUUUUCUUUGCUAUAUUGCUUUAUUUCUUUUCAUUAUCAAUUUGCUUUUUUGAUAAGAUUUUCCUUGGAUCCUCAAGGACGUUUGAGGUCUCUAGUUAGUUAAUUAUUUUGAUAGUUGAUUGAUUGGCGGCCACCGCUUGAUCAAGGAUUUUUUUUUCUUUUUUUGGCCUAGCAGCACUCGAUAAGUAGGGCCUCUGAACUUUUUUCCAUGUCUGGAUUGUCUCCCAAAGAAAAGAUCAAGUGAGAUCAACGAAGGGGAGGCAAUGCUUGUUUUAUUCAUCAUUGGAUUGAUCAUAAUCCAGAUUGUGAAAAGUUUAUGAUAUCAUACAUAUCAACGCUUUAUGAGUGACUUUUAUUGGCUAAAAAACGGUCGAUAAUGCAACUUACCUUGGUUAUUGUUGAGUUAGUAUUGUGAAACUUCAAUUGUGGAGUAGCUAUUUUUAUUUAUUUAUCACGAAACAUAAAAUUUUUAGUUAUCAAGCGAAAUGUGGUAUACAUAUAGUUUUGCCUUGCAUCGAAAUAAAAUUAUUACAUUAAAAAUUGCAUUAUCUACCGCUCUCCAAAGAAAAUAAAAUAAAUAAAAGAACAGCGUACCGGUAAGGGCAAAGUCAAAGUCUACGAAGACUUGGACUACCAAUAAUCCAUGAUGAACCAGCUUUGCUCAGGAAGGAAUCACAUCAAUGAUUCAUUCAUUUGGUACUUUGUCCCUCACAUACGGGCAUUCAUGAACGUGGAGAUUCUAUCAAAAAGAAGGGAAAAAAAUGUCACCAGAUCACUUUGUCAAAGCUGACACCGACUCAUCGUUCUCCCAUUCACCCACAAAAUUUACAUGGCAAUAAAUUGAUUUCCAAUUUUCAUAUUCAUUGAUAAUUUCGUUACAUGAUUUCCUCCGAUUCUAUAAUUUCAUAUGAGAUUUGAAAAUCAAAUAAAAACAACCUCUAAGGAUGUCUUUAUGUCGCAGAGAAUUUUUUUUGUGAUGGGAAAAUGCUUUUAGCAAAUUCAACUUUAGAAAAAGGGAAUCGGAAAAUUUUGAUUAUGGUGAAAACAAGUUGAAAAAACUGAUUUUAUUGUAAUUUUUUUUUUGGUAAAGGAUUUUAUUGUAAUUGGUAAUAAGUGAAUCCACUAAAUGUAGCUUGUAUCAUUAAAAGUAACAUGGAAUGACUAAUAAACUAGAAUUGAUAUUUUCAUUUAUUCUAUAAUCCAUCGAAAUAAUAUUGAUUACAAAGAAAAUAAGAUAGAAAUUAUGAAAUCAUAUUUGUAAAAUAUUAGAUAUAAUCGUGCUUUGGGAAUGUAGAAAAAUUGAGCAUCAAUAAAGUAUAUUCUUCUCACUUCAAAGCUUAGCAAGAAAACAAGGAUAAUGUUUCCUUCUUGCCAAGUCAUUUUUCUCAAAGCUUAUUUGUUUAGGGUUAAUAUCAUGAAAAAUCUCAAAUUAGUAUAUCCAUGAUAAAAUUAUCCAAAAUAAUUUUUUGAUCACCAAAAACUCCAAACUGAUAAAUUUGUGAGAAAUUUAUCCUCCAUUAGUUUCUGUUAAAUUGAAUAAAUACUAAGAAAAAAACACAAACCGAUACACGUGAUAAAUAGAGAAUAAAACUCCAAAUCAAUAGAAUGGUCAAUUGUGAAAAUUUGAUGUAUGUUUUUGUUGACUUGACUUUGAAUGAAUCCACCAUUUAUUUGGGAGGCAAAAGUCGAUUCUAAUCCCAAAAUUUUUGCAUCAUAUGGUCCAAUGAUUUUCUGCAUUAAGAAAUGUACAUAAUUGUCGACUUCGAUGGGAUGGAGCGAUGCUUCAAGGAGUCAUCCAUAUUCAGCCAAUCCUGUGGCUUCUACGUACAAUGACCUACCCAAAAGUCAUUCUAAAAGAUCUUUCUUUUCAUUUCCUUGAUAUUUCUAUGGUGAAGGAACAAAAGUCUUUGAUAGCUAAGGCCCGCAUCUCAUAUGAAAAGUCUCUCUUUUCCUUUAAAAAGAGAGGAGUUAAGGCAAUGGGAUCCCGCCUAUUUUCUCUUCUUCCUGGAGCUUCUGAGCUGUAUAGGAGGACGCUUAAUUUCAAUUUGAAUGCAAAGAGUCUUAUUUAAAAAAUAAAAAAAAAUCUGCAACGAUACCUUUGGAGUUUCAUUUUACUAAAACAAAAGUUUAGUGGAGUUUAAUUAAAGUUAAAGCUAUUGGAGAACAAAUUUGAUCUCCGUUGGUCUCGAAUCGAUGAAUUUGAUACUUCUCAAGAGUCUUGUUUGACUCAUUGAGUCAAUCGCGAUUAAUUGCUUCAAUUUUAAAUUUUCCUUUUGUCAGAUUUGGAUGAUCGUAUGAAAAUAUUUAAGAGCUUAUGAAUUUUGGAACCAAACAGUUUACACCUUUGGAUCUUGCAGGAUUUUAUUUUACAUCCUUGGCUGCCCUGCCAUGUGUUUAUUAAAUGUCGUCCUUAUCAAAUACAAAUUGGUUCAUUUAGUCCACAUCGUACCUAUCGAAAUCUGCACGUCUUGGUGGUGUUGGAGCAUUCGCAUCGAUCGUGCACUCCCCAGCAACUUUGAGGAGGUCAGCUCGUCAAUCAUGUGGAAUGACCAUGGCCAUGGGCAUGGGUUAGGGUUUUGGAGGCGUGUGAGCAAGAGCAGUGACAACGAGGGGAAAAUCAAGGAUUUGGAGCAAAGGAAGAAACGUCCGAAAAGGUCAAGGAACGAUGGGGAAGGAGUUGUCGUGGGGUUUAAACGAAGUUUACCUAGAAGAGAAACUAAAUAAAAGGAAAGAUAAAAUUCUAAACCUGGCCAUGUUGAAUACUCUCGUCUCUUCAUCCAAAUAAAGAGAGACCCAUCAUAUGCUUUCUUCUCCCGAAAAGGAGUAAGACCAUAUGUGAAAUGCUAAAAUCAAGGUGGACGAAUGUGAGUCUCAAGCGCGAAGCGAAAAAGAUAAAAGCAAAGCAAUAAUUUGUAUUCCGUCCCACUUUUCCUUUGAAGUUUAAAGUGUAGCUGUUUCUUUUGUAAGAAAGACUGCAAAGUGAAUUAUCUCACUCCUCGGACCCUAAAAGUUGCUAAGUCCAGUUUUCUUUCAAAAGCUUAAACUUUGACUCUAAAAUUGCAAAGUUCAGAUUUUUAAGUUCGUCUGUCCAAGCAAGACGCCAAUUCAUCUCGUAACAUACUUUGAUGGGACAUAUUUUUGGUUACCAUAUAAGUUUGGGAUUUUGAUGAUAAAAGUACAAUUUGGAUAAUUGGUAAUAUGGUAAAUAUAAAGGUUACGAUUUUUUAUGGAAUAGCGUACUCAAUGUCGUCGAAUUUGCUACCCACCCAUUGCCAUCACUAGCCCUCAACUUCAUGCAUCGAAUAGCUUAUAUAUUACUUUUAGCCCAUGGUAAACAUUUUUAUGGAUCGAAUAGCUUUACGUGAUUCAAACAUUGGAAAUUACAAAAACAAAUUUCCCAAAUAUGAUUUUUUUUCCAUCAAACUAAGAAGGAAGAUCAUGAGGGGCAAUUCCAAUUUUUUUUUUUAUCAUUUUUUGAGAAAAGUACUACCCUCCGGAACAAAAUUGUAUGAGUGUCUGCACGACAACGUUGUUGAUGAAUCCAAACCAAAAAAAGAAGACGUUGAUAAAUGUCAGAUUUGUAUGCCGAUAGACCAUUUAAUUGAUGCCAAUAAAGAGAUCCAAAGUGAACAAUCAUAUCCCUUCAUAUAAUUGAUGCCAAACUCAUUGAUUUUCUAAGAUUGGGACAUCAGUAUUGAUGAAGAGAAACUUUAAUACCGCCAUCCUAAAAAUAGAAGCACUCCCAACAAGUAAACCGAGUGAUUGAGUCCAAUUAUCUGACGAAAUCGACUCAAUGAUGUAAGUUUAACAAUUAUCUCUACGGUGAUUACAAUAGCGAUGUUGUAACUUUGAGCACCACAGUGAGAUAUCUCAUGAUGCAGAAAAGGAAUCGGAUCUAGUCGUGCAAAGAGGUGGCAGCACGACCACAACAUCGGUAAUAAUUGGUGUACCGAUACAUCAAUGAGGUCUACCCUUACUGGGGCCAUACUAAACUUUUUUUUUCCUUUUUACGGAUAAGGUAUGAAUUAGAUAAUAAAUCUGUCAAUAAUAAAUAGAUAAUAGGAAAUACGAUUCUCCAAUUUCUUUUUGAAUUCACAUUUGGCAUUUUUGUGUUAUUUUUUUUCAUUUACUAAUUCAAUUCUACUACCUUUUUAUAUUAUCGCAGAAGUUUUAUUACAUAAUUUAUUUUACCGUUGUAUCAUUUACAUGAAGAUUCAAAAUACGAUCCAACUAAGUGGAAUAAAUCAAAUCUCACUAAAUCCAAAUGUUAAACAGAAAAUGGAAUAACCAGAUUAGAAUCUGACUUGACAUUCUAGAAAAACAGGAAUUCUUUCUAAUAAUUUUUUAACUACUAACUAAAACAUGUAAUGUAUUUCUAGCUGAUAUCUCCUUCUGUUUUCCUUUCUUGCCGACUAGCUCUAUACGUAAGGACCGGGUCGUGAUGGUGUGAAUGCUUCGCCGGGGAGUCUCGACUAAAAGCAGCCUCCCUUCGGCCGGGAUUCUCUUGCUUUUUAACCUUUUGCUUUCACGCUAAAUCUUUGCUGAAGAUAUGGUCUUCAUCACGAGGGUGUGCUGCAAUUUCUCCGCUGCCCUGUCCUUCUUGAACACGUUCUUCUCCUCAUCAGAGCAAUCCACCGAAGCCCAACGAGAAUUCCACUUGCGCUCUUCUUUUAUUUUGAGUCUUUUUUUUCAACUUUAUCUGCUUUCGGUUACGCAUGGCCCGGCCAUGUCCCCUCGUCCUUAUCUUGGUGUUCAGUCAGUCAACACGUUUCCACCGUAUCGUGUCCCACCAGAUUUUGCUCUCCAUUUUUGCAGAAUUUCAGCUCUCCAUUCCUGUUCCUUUGUGUGUUUUCACACUGCUAUUUCCCUUCCUUCGCACUUGCAUGAAUGCCGUAUCGAAAGUGGCCUCAAGUCAACCAUUUCGGUUCACAAAAAUUCGCAAUUUUAUUGGAAAGGGUCUGCAAUUUUAAAUGCGAAAGAAUGCAAUAGAGAUCAAGUGCAGGAUUAGAAAUGUUUAUCUUUUUUUAAUAAGGGGCCAAAUUAUCAAUGAAUUUUUUUUUUUAGUAACUGAGGAUCCGUUGGGCCCGCUGGGCUUACGCUGGGUAGCCCAUGGCCCGUAGAGUGCGCGAUGCACCCUGGACCAAGCGUCAAUACCUCGAGGGGCUGGCCCAGUAAUCUAUUCCUGGGACCCCCACUUAAGUCAUGUUAGCAACGGGAGGGCUCGAACUCUUGACCUCGAUGAUGGAGGAGAGAACACACACUAAUUGAGCAGCCCAUGGGUGGGUAAUUAUCAAUGUAUUUGAUUACUGAAUUUCAUGAGAAUGCGGAUAGACCUUUAGGCGAAAAUCUGUGUCAACAAUAAUUUUCCUCAAAAGUUAAUUAAUGAAGACCGAAACAUCACUGGAUUAGAAGGGCAAAGUCAAAGUCUACAAAGACACGGACUACCAACCGUCCAUGAUGAACCAACUUUGCUCCGAGAAGGAUUCACACCCCUGAAUGAGCCAAGUCUCCGAAGACUUGGACGACCAAAGGCACACGCUAAAGCAUUGGCGGGUCUUCUUUUCCAUAUUAGGAUUGAACCAUCUUCUUUUUCUUUGCUUUUAUUGCUUUAUUUCUUUUCAUUAUCACUUUGCUUUUUUGACGAGAUUUUCCUUGGAUUCUCGCCGUGAAUGAUGGUUGUGGUCCCGGUGGGUCAAUUACCUUGAUAGUUGAUUGAUAGGUGGCCACCAUUUGAUCAAUAAUUCCUUUUUUUCUUUUUUUUGUACAGCAGCACUACUCUUUGAGGAUACAAAUGAGUUGGGGCUUCUAUAAGAGGGCAAGAACCUCAACCCCGAACGCAGAAGGCGCCGCUACUGCUCGCACCACUCCGUCCACCAGCCUCCCGACGGAAUCACGACAGACGCAAGUGAUUGAGCCUCCGGUAGCUCCAGGUUCGUAGGCACUGUCUAUGUCCGUCUUUAGUGUUCCAUCCUGCGGUGGGUUCCAAAAUCGUGACAAUCCGUCGCUGGUCUUACUAGAUUUGCUCGAUUUUGGGUUCCUUCUGUUGAAACUCUUCAACCCAGCUAAAGCAGACUCCACAAGGUUGCUUGGCUCUGGUUUUCUAUUCAUGAAGAUGGCCCGGUUUCUUGACUUCCAAAUAUUCCACAGUAGUGUAGUAAUCGUCCGAUUCGAGACUUGGCUUCUCGCAUCCUGAUCUUGAGCCCUCUAGCUCUCAUCUCUGCUAUUCUUUCAUUCGCCAGUGUAAAAUAUUCGUAAAUUACCAUUUCUUACCAUUUCUUAUCAAAUAAAGUAGUAAAUUACCGACUCCUACAAAAUUUUACGAGCAUGGUAAGUAUAUUACCGACAUAGUCUAACAAUUUACAAACAUUACAUGGAAGUAUUAAAUUACCCACUCUCAAAUUUUACCAGUGUUAAAUAAAUUACCAGCAAAAUCAAGAAUUCACUAACAUACGAGUCAAGUGGUUAAUUACCAACUCUUAUUACCAGGAUCGUAAAUAAAUUACUGGCACAUACAAGAAGUUAACAACAUUUUAAUGAAUUAAUAUAUUACCAACUCCUCUAAAAUUUACUUACCAGCACUAUAAAAAAAUAUACCAAUAUAUUAAUGAAGGAGUUAACCAACUCCUAUGAAAUUUUAUCCAUGUGGUUAGUAGAUUGCCAACUCUUAUCAUCAAUGGGUUUUACACUUUAUCUUAAGAUGAAGUUGAAAGCAACAGGAUCCUUGAAUAGCAUAAGGUGAUCAAAUCAUAAGGCAGAGUCAUGGAGGCUAGAUUUAAACUACUUAAACUCAUAGCCUUGUUCAAAUCCAAUUCGAACGUCGAGCUAUACUUGAAGUAAUGACUACAAUAUUGGCACUUACUUUUUAUUUUAACACAUCAAAUGAAUAGCAGUGUAUCGGUAUUUUAUCUUCAACUCGGAAUUCCUAUAGACUAACAUUCUCACCAUGUUUGCAAGUCCUUGGCAGAAAAAAAAUUUCGACACUAUUAGUAUAUUGGAAAGUGGAGGGGCACGUCUCUAGGACCAAUAUAAAAAAAGAACCAAUUUUUGAGCUUAGAUAUGAGAGGAAUCUUCUUCUUCUUUUUUUCAUAAUAUUAGUCUAUGAAGUUGGAGACCAAUGCUAAUACAUAUUCAGUGUGGACAUCUUUAAUUUUGAGAUGCCUGACAAUGAUGGCAUGCGCCUCUCCUAAUUCUAUAGAGUAAUUAUAGAGGAAGCUAAUGCUCUAUGUCCAUUAUUCCCUAGAUAGAGCAAACUCUCAACCACCACAAUUAGAUUAUCAAACAAACAAAUUACAUUGGAAGCAUCCAUGAAAUUGCUAUUGAACCUUAUAUAAUGCAUUGGAUGUUGAAUAACAUGGAACCAUGCUAUUAUUUGGUUGUACAUUAUAUAAGUUCCAAACCUUAUACUUCGUUAACUUUGUCAAUGUCCAAUCAUGUUGCAAUAUCAUUUCGAAAAAGUACCACCGUGUCAUCUCGUGUGGCAAAUUUAGUCAUCUCAAAGCUUCUAAUCGGUGUCUCACAAUCAACCAUAUUAACAAGUAGAACACUCCAUCAAUACAAAUAAUUAUCAAUAUCACUAUUAAACAAAUGCACAAAAUCAUCCGGCAUACAUAUAGUUGCAUAAAAUAUGCUUGUAUGUUACUGAUAAUAGAUGUCGAAACGAUGUUAAUAAUCAACUAAAAAUUGAGAAUUUAAAAAUAUUAUCCGGUGUCACUAGUAAAAAAUACAUAAGGAACUCAUAAUCAACUAGAGGUGAAACACAAAAACAACUAUUCAUAAUCUGCAAUAAUCUUUCAAGCAAGUAAAUCGGUUGUUUCAUCAGCAUGUUACUGAUAAUCAUAAAAUCAAAACAAGGUUAAUAAUAUAAUAAGGAUUUAUAUUUGUAAAAUAGUUAUUUUUUUGUAAGUUACUACCGUUAACCAAGCUACUGACAAAGCAUGCAAGCAACUUGUAGUUUACUACCAAAAGAACUCGUCCACUUAUAAAAGCAAACAAUUGCUCGUAAGUUACAAGAGUAUAUUCCAUAUGGUAAAUCGAUUAUUUUAUUCAUGUGGUAUUUACAAAUGAACAUUGCUACUCAUAAAUUUGAAACAGUGGUAACACCAUAUUUGAAUUUAGAGGGGGUAAAAUAGGUAAUUUGUUUGUAAGUUGGAACAUCAAUCAAGACUACUAAUAAGUAUGUAAGCAUUCAUAUUCUAUAAGCGAAAAUACAAACCCAUUUGUAAAAUCUAAAAGAAAAAAAAUGGUAAUCCUAUGACACCCUGAUUUUUGGCCUCUAUUUUUGAUUGAAUAAGCUGGGUUUUUCAUCGCCGCACUUAUAGUUAUUUUCUCUAAGCUAAUCACUCACAAGAUAACUAGUCUAUCAGAUGAAGCCGUUAAGGGAUUUUAACGCAAUAGACUUGAGAAUUCGACUAGAAAUCGAUUACUCAACCAUGCUAAUUUGCAAGGAUCAAUACUACACUGUCAAAAUCGAUAAGAAAUCGGAGAUAGGUCAGUUUGAUUGAGGUAUGUGAGUAUAGGUGAUUCCACCUAAUUGCAAAAUUCUAGUUGAAUGGCAUUAAACCGAUUUUUUUGUCAUUUCUGUACCAUGUGUCCGUAUUUAAAAUCUCGAGAUUUUCACGACAAUCAAGAGUCGCCAAUGUGUCGAAGAUGUACAAUAUGGCUCAAAAAUAAUUAACCAUGGGUCAAUUGCAUCAAAAAUUCCUAAAAGUUACUCAGUGGCUAGGUCACGCUAAAAUCGCACUAGAUUGAAAUUAACUGCAAAUUUAAACCAGAUUUCAUAAAUUGAAAAUUCUGUCAUGUUACGAUUCAUUUUAAGAACGUUGAAUCAUCAUCCAAAGAUUUUUAUGUAAACCGAGAUUUUUGGCGAAAGUUCAAAAUAUGGCUAUUUUUGACCGGGAAAAUCAAAUGACUGUUUUUGAUCGCAUUUUUGGGAUUCAAGUUGGAAAAAUCAACGAGGAAAAAUCCUAAGAGGGAUGAUGGCACCUUGGCUAAAUUUAUAGGCUUUGAUUUAAGCUCAAUUGGAGGAGAAUUGAAAGAGAAUUGAAUUGAAUUGAAGGCUAAAUGUACAAAAUUCGUAGGCCAAGGGGGGAGCAACCUUUUGGACCAUUUGGGAGACUUCUUGAGGAAGCUUGGGAGUGGAUAAUGGCUGAGGAUGAUGGCUGAGCAAGUGGGGCAUGUUGAAUGAGCUCAAGGGGACAACUUUGGUUUCUAGAAGGCUUGGUGGCCCCCUCCUAUCUUCAACAGCCCCUUCUUCCUCUUUGAAGCCCCACUUUAUCCAUUGUUGAAGCUCUGGAAAGCUUAAGAGAACCAGAGAAACCAGCCCUCACAUCUCUCUCUCUCUCCCCUCCUCAGCCCCAAGUAAAUUCGUAACCUUUUCUCCCAUGUUUUUCUUCUCUGCCUGUUUCUACUCUAGCUGAUCUUUCUCCGAAAAACUAAGUUAAUAGUUGUAUUCCCGUGCGAAUUAGCCUUCGUGCCACCCACCAUCGCACUCAGAAGACCCAAACUGUUCAGGAGGACUUGGCCACUCGCCGAACAGAGCCGUCAGCUAACCUGCCGGCCGACUGGAAGAAACCAUUCGCCGAUCUAUUGAUCCGCCUGGCGGCUUGCACUGCUUCGCUUGUUUCGCUCGUUUCAGCCAUUUUUCUUCCAUUUCGACCCUACCUUCACCCAUACCAACCACCAGCAACUCUCCCUUGACCCCUAGGUACCACCGGUCACCGGCCAACCCCUUGCCAAAGCUCCGACCAAGCCUAUUCAGUUCUAUUCCUUCUCUAGCAGUCCAGUUUUUUGGUGUCUCAAUGGGAGUCCGAGUUUGUGGUUGUUGUUCUAAUCUCGGGACCGCCUUAAAUCACUGUGGUUGAGGUUCCCAAGCGUUGCUUUUUUCGUUGUCACCGCGUCCGUGUCUCUGACCCAUUUAACGGGUAAGUUUAGCUCCUAAUCCUUUAAUUAGUGCAUAAACUUGCUUAUGAGGUUAAUUAUGCUUAAGGAUUGAUUAGAUUAGCUUAAGUGUGGAUUAGUAAUAAUCUAGAAUGGUUAUAUUAUCUUUAUAAUGGGUUAAUGUUAAUCUGAUUAGUGAGAUUAGCACCUUUGUAGAUGGAUUAGUCCAAUCCAAUGGACUUUCUGCAGUUCGGAUUUCUAGACUCUCGUCGUUUGCCAUUUUUGUAGAUCGAAAUGGGUUGUGAAUUUGAGAUUGAUUACUUCUAGAGAAAUGUUUUAGACAUCUUCAAUUAUAACAUAUAUUUUACUCACGAUUUUUAGAGAUUUCAAAGUAUGAGAUUUAAGCUCUAUCAUUUACAAACAGAAUCUUAGACUCUACUGAAACUUGUGACAUUUUGAGAUUCUAGGGGUUUUUAUCAACUCUUAGGAUUCGAAUUUCAAAAUGAUUUCUUCACAAAUUUUAUUUUUCAUAUCUUCUAAUUUAACAUAGUCAAAUUUCAGAUCAAAUGGACAAGUUUUGUAUCUCGAAUCAAACUAAUUUUGGAAAACGGACUUUCUGGAAAUGGACACAGUUUCUGUGUUGGAUUGAGCGAUUUGUUGAGCUUAAUCUAGAAGGAUCUAGGUUUAGGUUCUUUCAUGAAAAUUUUUUUCUUACGUUUCAUUUACAACAUAUUCAAAUUUAUGAAUUUUCUGAACUCGUUUGGUUAGGUUUCUGGAUUUAAAUUUGGAGACGCGUGAGUGACCCAAUUUCUACCAAUUAUGACUGAUUUUAGUUUGGUAAUGGUUCUUGAUGCUUUGCUUGCUUUAAUUAAUGUUUUUAAUGACUUGUGGAUUUAAUAUAUUAGUUAUUUAAUUUUGGAAAUUUACUGUUCAUACGAACACUGUUCACGAAACACUGCUCGCACGCACUGUUCACCCAAGAAGGAAAAGUUGUAUAAUUUCAUGUGUUUUGAUCUUAUGAGGUGAUUUGAGUGUAUAAAUGCAUGGGCAUCCGUAUGAAUUGAGUGAUUUUCACAAAGAGAGGAAAAAUGGUUUGUUCGAGGGACAUCGAAAUGGACUGUCUUUAAGAGAAAAUAAUUUGUAAGUGUAUAUGCAAGCUUGUGCGCAUUGGCUAAGUGCCCAAAUAUAAAAAGGGAGUUGUAGUAGUGUGCUUGUGUAAUCAUUGAGUUGAAUCCGUCUAUCGUUGUGUGUCGAGUGGGCGAUGCUUCUAUAUGGAAAGCCCGUGCCUGUGUGGCGAUAAUUAAUUGUGCCUGUGUGGCGUAAGAUUGUGCAUAUGUGAUGUAAUAUCAUGCAUGUGUAGUGAUAUGCCUAUGUGGUGAUAAUAUCGUGCUUGUGUGACCGUAUUUCUGUGUGUCAGGUAGAUUAUACCUGUGUGGCCAUAUUUCUAUGUCGGGUAGAUUGUACCUAUGUGGCCGUAUAGCUAUGUGUCGGGUAGACUGUGCCUAUGUGGCCGAAAUUAAUUGGAACGCAUGAGUGUUGAGAUGGUUGGGCCUUGUUAUGGGGUAAAAUUGUGUGGCAUGUAAUGAGACAUGUCACAUCGAUUUUACCUUAUAAUCAUGACACAUGUGAUUGAUCAAUAUGUGCUGUGUGGCACACUAAUGUGUAAGAGUGUAUGAGAAUCAUGGCAUCUUUGGUUUUGACUAUGCAUGAGUUAAGCACAUUGUUUAUGAUACGCACGCAUGAAUUGAUAACGUGCAGGGUGUGGUAAUGAUCAGGUGAGAUCGCUUGUGACACGAUUCACAUGUGUUUGAUGAAUUGCAUCUCUAAUGGCCAUGUGCAUUGCGUGUAUUGUAUUGAGAUUCAACGUGCAGGGUAUGGCAAACCGGGUAAGGUUGCAUGCGAACUGACUAUUGUUUUGUUGGUCGUGGACUUGUUUGUGGGGUAGUUCUAAAGAGAUACCCCGGGUUGAGUUGGUGUCCUAACCGGGGCUUAGGGGAGGACUCACUGAGAUUUAUAUCUCAUUGGUUAUUGUAUAACCAUUUUUAGGUCCCUAAUGUGAAGAACCUGGAGGUUGAGGCGGAAGGGUUAGGAGCAUGGAUGACUCAGUAGUUUUUUUUGGAGAUAGAUCUCUUGUAUGUAGACCUUAAAGUUCACCUCUGUGUAUAAACAUUGUGUGUUUAUGAAAGCAUGUUUGGUUGUGAAAUUGUUUCCUGCUUUUCUAUCCCGUAUUAAUUACUGUAAAGGGUUUUCGUAUAUGGUUCCGCAUAUGCAUUAAAAAUAAUGGGUCGGCAACGUGUCCUGAGAACGUCGCAAUAUUAUCAACCAAUGAGGGAUGUGCGCGCGCUCAAGAUUCGGGGCGUGACAAAUCCACUAUUUGGUUUGAGAAUGAAAAGACUAUUUUUUUGAUAGCUUUCUAACAAUUGCCCAGAUUCACAAGUUAUCGAUUAAAUUUUACUUAUCAGUGAUACUUCAAGUUUAUAAUUGGUUCUUUAAAUGUAGCAUGCAUGAAACAAAACUCCAUUUUUGGUUUAUGGAAUUUUAGACACAUGUAAGAUUACAAACUACAACUAUCUCAUCACAUGAAUAGCUCUAGUUAAUUUUUUGAUCCAUUCUAGAGAGAGUGGUGGUCAUUUUUGCAGAAAUGACAUUAAAGAAAAACAAUUUAUGUUGUUGAAAUUUGAGAAGUGUGAAACUUUUCUUUUUUUUAAAAAGGAUGCUUUGCAUCAUGUCAUGUCAAAUGAGAACAUGUUCACACUUUCCCUUAGAUUUAAAACUCCUAGGAAAUAAUUUAUGUUCUCAAGAUUUGAGAAGAGCAGGCUGUUUUUUUUUUUUAAAUGAAAACUUUGCAUUGUGCUAUGUUAAUGUUCUCCCUAUGAGAUUUAAUCUCCUUAAGGUGUUAAAACGCCCCUUGAGAUUUAAUACUCAUAUAUUCACGUGCGUUGUCAACUUUGAUAGGCUGGAGUGAUGCUGCAAUGAAUCAUUCUUAUUGAACAAUUGUAGCACACUAGCCCACGACUCUCUGCAUAUUUAGCUUAUCCCAAAUACUACAUUUAAUGACCUACAUAGAUCUCCAUUAUUUGUCAGUUAGGCUUCUAAACAUUUUCCAUCUCUAGUCGCCACUACUUUUGCUGAUACGCUAUUCGGUAUUUUUUGAAGAUUAGAUCGAGUAAAUCAAUGGAGGGGAGUGUAGAAACACAACAUACCUAUAAAAAUGAUGGAAUAGCAGGGAGUGCUUCUUUUACUCACAGUGUGACAGAAGGUCAGGGAACGGUUAAUUCAUCAGAAUAUGUAAAUGAAGUAUUCUUGAGCUUCAGAGGAGAGGAUACUCGAACAGGUUUUACCAGCUUCCUUUACACUAGUAUGAUAGGUGCGGGAAUUCGUGUUUAUAAGGAUGACAAAGAGCUCUAUGAGGGGGUAGAAUUUGGCCCGGAACUUCUUCGAGCAAUUAAUCAAUCGGAGAUCUCAAUACCUAUAUUUUCGAAAGGUUAUGCCUCUAGCGUAUGGUGUCUCAAGGAGCUAGUCCAGAUGGUUGAGUGCCAAAAAACUAGGGGACAAAAGAUCAUGGCCAUUUUUUAUGAUGUGGCACCUUCAGAGGUUCGACGCCAAACUGGGGGUUAUGGAGAGGCCUUUCUUUCACAUGAAAAGAAGAAUCGAUAUGACAAAGAGACUAUGCAUCAGUGGAAGACUGCUCUGAGUAUAGUUGCGGCAAUAAAAGGGUGGGAUCUGCACAACAAGACCAACAGGUGACUACCUCUAUCACUCCAUUUGAUGUGCCUUGUACCACUAAAACUUUUAAUGUGGUUCAACUGGUUUCUUUUCUAGAUUUGUGUUAGCCUUAUUGAAAUUAUACUGCAGAAAUCACACGAAAUAGUGGUACAAUCCCAAUUUUGUCCUUUUUCAUUCCAAAUAACUUUUUUUUUUUUAGUUAAGGUCAUUCAUUAUUCAUAUGUGCCAACGCUAAUUCAUUUACAAUGGAGUAAAUCCUUGUAGAAAGCAUUUCGAAUUGGCCUUUAGUUUUCACUUUAGUCCUGUGAGAACAUAGUUUGGUUUAAUAUAGUUUUCUAACUCAUUGCCAUUUGACCUCCAACAAACACUAGGGAAGAAGGCGAGAUCGCAAAAACAGUUACCCAUAAGGUUUUCAAUGAGUUGAAGAAGGCUUAUUUGGUGGUAUCGAACAACUUGGUUAGUGUGGACCCCCAUGUGGAUAAAAUCAUGGAAAAGAUAGGUGUUCACACAAGUGAAACGCGGAUUGUGGGAAUUCAUGGGAUGGGUGGCGUUGGAAAGACAACGAUUGCAAAAUUAAUCUACAAUGAGCUUUCCAACAAGUACGAAAAUCAUUGCUUCCUUUCCAACAUCCGUGAAACGUCAAAGCUCAAGGGCAUUUAUUACUUGCAAGAACAGCUCAUGUCUAACAUCCUUAAAAUGAAAUGGACGGAUAUAAAUAACAAUGAGGAAGGGAUUGAGAUCAUUAAAAAAAGAUUGUCUGAUAAAAAAGUCCUUCUUCUUCUCAAUGAUGUGGAAGAAAAGGAUCAUAUGGAUGCACUUGUAGGUAAGCGUGAUUGGUUUGGUAAAGGGAGCAAACUUAUUAUUACUACAAGAAGGAAAGAUGUUAUCCAUGUCCCGGAAGUGGACUGGAGGUAUGAGCUUACGGGCUUGGAUCCAGAUCUAUCUCUUCAACUUUUUAGCAAACAUGCCUUCAGAAGAGAUUCUCCUAUAGACGAGUAUAUUGACCAAUCCAAGAGGGCGGUACACAUUGCUGGAGGUCUUCCAUUAGCCCUUGAGGUCAUAGGUUCACUUUUAUCUGGCAAAAAUAAGAAAAUAUGGAAUGCCACGUUGAAGAAGCUAGAAAGUGUUCCUCAUGAUAAAGUUCAGAGUAAGCUGAAAAUAAGUUAUGAUGCAUUAGAUAAUCGGCAGCAGCGUAUAUUCCUUGAUAUAGCUUGUCAAUUCAUUGGAUGUUGCAAAGACAUUGUGUUUUAUUUCUGGGAUGCAUCGAAUCUUUUUCCAGAAGCAGACAUGGAAGUUUUGCAGGACAUGUCUUUAAUAAAGAUAGGAGAAGAUAAUAUAUUAUGGAUGCAUGAUCAACUCAGAGACCUUGGAAGAGAAAUAGUUCGUCAAGAAAGCGAGACAAAUAUAGAGAAGCAACGUUGGGUGUGGGAUCCGAAGGAUGGAUUAAAACUGCUAUAGACAUAUGAGGUAAAAUGCUUUGUGCAAUACAUCUCCAAGUUACUUAUAGACAUAUUCUUUUCCAAAAAAAGUAGUUACUUUUUGUGUUCUCUAGCACCAUUACUCAACCGAUAUUUUUGGUCUUUUAAGAUUUUAAAGGAAUGAUAGUAGUCAACUCAACCCCUUAAAAUAGUGAACUUGAAGAAAUGUGUUUCCUUUCAAGUUUUUUGUUUUAAAAAUUUUCCUUUGGGCAAGAAAAGAAAGAAGUUGAAGCUCUUUGUCUCAAGUUUGAUGAUCAGCACCGUUUUACCUAUGAGGACUUUAAGAGCCUGCCAAAUCUAACGUUCCUUGAAGUAGACGACUUGAAGGAGAAUUUUCAUGCAAAAAAGAUGCUUCUUGGGCUCAAGCGGCCAUCAUAUGCUCUUCCAACUAAUAUUUUCCAGAGGAAUUCAUAUCUCCUUCCACGAUUACGAUGGCUUUCUUGGCAUAAUAUUCGCCCAACAUUUAAGAUUGCAAAUUUCUCCGUAGAGAAUUUGAUUAUCCUUGAUCUAUCUCGAAGUGAAAUUACUCAUGAUUGGAAGGGGUGGAGCCACAUGAAGGUAUGUUAUAUGCUAGACAACACUUAUUCUUCUUUCUUAUCAGAUUUAAAAGUAAACUUUGCAUGAUUUUUCUUUUACAGGUGAUUGAGAAUUUGAAAGUUCUAAAUUUGGCCCAUUGUCGAUGCUUGAAGAGAACCCCCAACUUCUUUGCUCAUUCAAAUUUAGAACGUUUGAUCCUAUCAGGCUGUAACUCAUUAAUCAAAAUUGAUAGAUCAAUUUGUCAAUUGAAACACUUGGUUUUCUUAGAUGUAAGUGGUUGUAGGAGUCUUCACAGGCUGCCGGAUGAGCUAGGUAGAGAUCUUGCAAGCCUCGAAUACCUAUCUCUAAGAAAUUGCGUGAGAUUGAAGAGGCUUCCGGAGACAAUCGGGAAUUUGGAAUCGCUGAUUGAGUUGAAUAUAAGUGCCACGAGAAUCAAAGAACUACCUGAUUUCAUCGAAAAGUUGAAGAAUUUGAAAAUAGUGAAUAUGCAAGAUACUGUCAUAAGCAAAAUACCUGAUGUCUUUUGGACGAUAGAGAAGCUCGAAGAAAUAAAAGUCUACGGCAGCUACUAUGAGCCUGAAGGCCACUACUUUAAGUCUGACCGAUAUUUCCAAGUGGAAAUCGGCAAUUGCAUCUACGGGAAUAAAUCCCUGAGGAUCUUGGGAUUGAGAAACGCGAGAAUACACGCCCCACGGAAACUUCCUGAAAGUCUUUUGGUAUUAGAGCUGACGGAUUUGAAGGUGGACACGUUUCCGGAUCUCUCAAAUCUCGCUAACUUAAAGGUAUUGUCUAUGGGCCUUGGCCCACCUAAUUGGGAUGGGAAAUCUCAUGGGCUUCUGGAAGAGCCGAUACCACGGUGGAUUGGGAACUUGAGCAAGUUGGAGUCUCUGGGACUGUGCUUUUACUGGUGGAGCACCUCAUCGAUAGACCUGAGCCACCCUCGUCAUCCGCGUCGCCUCCCGAGGCUUCCCUCAAGUUUAUCCUCCUUACAUGUGGAAGGUUUCUACUCCCUUUGCUUGAUGGAUCUAUCGAAUUUGAGGAAACUAUCGUCUCUCAGCAUUUCCAACUCUGCAGUUGCAGAGAUUGAAGGCCUUGGUUGUUUGGAGAACCUACAAGAGUUGGCCCUUCAGUUCGUCGGACAGCUGGCGAUGCUACCUGAUCUAAGCAAGUUAAACAAGCUAAGGCGUAUUGAUGUAUACUCUUGUGGUAAUCUGGUUGAGAUUCAAGGCGAACUACCGCGGUUUUUGGAUGAUCUUACAAUUGGGUCCUGCGAUUCUUUACAGGAGUUCCCCGAUCUGCUCAGCUUAAUGGGUAAGACAAAUGUUCAUAUAUAUACUCGCAAUCAUAUGUUUUACUGUAGAGUUGGACGUCUGUCGCUUCUUGGCUUUGAACAGAUCCCUGAUCUAAGCAAUUGGAAUAGACUAACAUAUCUUUUAGUAGAAUCUUGUCAUAAUUUGGUUGAGAUCCAAGGCGAACUACCCCAAUCUUUGGAAGAAUUGUGGAUUCAAUGCUGUGAAUCUUUACAGAAGUUGCCUGAUCUAUCAAGCUUGAAGGGACUGCGAGAGGUUACAAUAAGACGUUGUGGGAAAUUAGCGGUGGAGGAAAUUUCUCGGCUUUGCUCAGAGAAGUCAAUCAAAUUUGUGGGAGAAGACGAUGAAAAAGACAAAUUACCGGUUUGGGCAAGAAUACUAAGAUAUGGAAGAGGACGAUGGGCAAGACGAUGAAUAAGUGCACAUUGCACUUGGAAGCUUUUUGAUGCGCGACCACAAAUUGUUCCCUUGUGUUCAAACCUUAAACGAAUUGAGGUAGGUACCAAUGUUUUCCUUUUUUGGCAAUCAAAUUCUUUCACAGAUAUGAACAGAGAAGUUUUGAAUGCACUUUUUAAUGACCUUUUAGCGGAUUCUUGUCUGAAAAUCUGAUGAAGGUAUUUAAAUUAUGAUGCCUCCGAACAGCCAGAGGGCUCUUUUGUGUUCUUUUCCUAGUUUGGUUUGGCUUUUUUAGCUACAUUUUCUUAGGAUGGUUUCUCCUAGAGGUAUGCAUGUCGAUUGCAUCUUUUUUAUUUGAUAUGUAACAAAUUAUUAGAGACCAUUGUUCAUUUGCUGCUUCACACAUAUUUUGAAAUCGAUAACCUCACUUCACAUUGGAGAUAAAUUGGCUAUGCUGUAAACAAAUAGAUGGAAUGUGUGUUGGAAGGUCAUACAACUAUGGUUCUCAUCCUGGGACUUUACAGCACAAUCAACUCAUUGUUGUGACUUUGAAGUAGACAGACACUCUGUAUUGCCAUGCUUAAGUUCAGUUUAUUUUUCAGGAAAGGCGUGCUUCUUAGUGGGAUUUGCAAAUGUUAUGGAGAAGUCAUAAAUGAGGGAGCCACUGCAAUUCUGAGAUUACCAGUGUGGGAGCACUGGCUAAAGCAGCAGCACCAGAAUAUUUUAUCUCACCAAUGAUGCCUUCAAUCAUAGCAAUCUUUGAUGGGCACACUGACAAAAAUCAUUCUGCACUGCAAACAUCGCCUAUAGGAGUAACUGAGAGAAUGCAGCAUUCGUUGUACCAGUAGAGAAGGAGCGCCCUUUUGCUAAGACUUGAGAAUUGCACUCACUUACAAAAGAUUGGUAAGAAAAAGAAAGUACCUUCCCAUGGGGCUGCCUUUAGUAAUAGAACUAUGCAUUCUAAAGCAAUAUUGGCAUUGUUUCUGUCAUGAGAUCCUCCACUCAAUUCCAGGAAAACACCGGCACUGCCACCAAAGUCAGUUGUGCGUCAUAUGCUACUCGCCACCUCAAAAGAACUUUCAUCAAGUAGUGGUGGCUCUUCCAUGUACACAGAACCUUUCAUGGAACCUAGUGAUCAUAAAAGAAGAGCUUUACACAAGCCAAGCGUCAAUUUGAGAAAUUCUUCUAUAUCCUUCGCAUGUACAAACUCCAAAAGGAUUCCAAUCCGCCAUACUACUUUCAGUUGAGAAAGCAAAUGGGGAUCCAUAUCUGGAGCCGAUGCCAGAGUCACGCGCAACUCAACAUCAUUCACAUUUGCACUAGACAGAUCACCAAGUGAAAAUCUGAAGCAGUGGCUGACUGUCUUUGGUUGUAAAAUCUCAGAAAUUUUAGUCAAGUUGAACUCUAUGAGCAUCAGGAUGAGCUUCUGCGCACACAUUGGUAUUGGGGUCCUCAUCCUCAUUCAAGGUCGGUCGAAGAGGGAGAAAUUGCAUCUAGGAUAUGGAUUUCAAGCCUGGCAGCUUAUGCUCUAACUCUGGAGUUUUGAUUAGGAAAACGAACAUCGCAUCAAACGGAAUCUUGAGGGACAGAAAUCUGGCAUCACCAUCCUUGUUGCCCUUAUACAGAACAUCCAUACUCAGCAUAAUCCCACAGAUGAAUACGUCAGAGCUUUCAGGAAUCCAGUAUGACUCCUCUGUGAUGGACUCAAUGCUUGCAUUUUGAGCCGGCAAUGCAGGUUCUUGGACCAGAUUGACGUUGUGCUCUGGUUUCCUUGUUCAAUCCUAAACUUCUCUUGGAUUGUGUUUGUAAUUAGUGUGCUGAAUUAUGCUUCGUGUGAGUGCGAACCAUGUAAGUUUUGCCUGUCCAGUGUUUGGUGAUCAUGUGAAAUUUGGUGUUUGAUGAAAUGAGCUAUGUGCUUGAGAUUACGUGCGCUGGAUUGUCACCUUCAAAGCACUUGAAGCCGAAGUGCAAGGUCUAUUGCAAUGGCUUCCUCUCUCUCUGCACCUCCACUGGCAAGGUACCUUCACUUUCACUACUAAUCUCUACCACUGAUGUCCAGCUCAACCCAAUCAGCAAUUUAGUUGCCUUUGAUUGGGCUAGGACAUGAUUCAGUUUGAUUGGCUAAUCUAUGUCAAAAUGAUAGUGGCUAUUGAAUUAUUACCGUUUUCUCCCAAGUUUAGCUUGCUCAAUCGAACUGAACAGCAGCAGCUUGAUGCUGCUUAGGAUUUCAUUUUUUCUAACAGAUUGUUCUAUUAUGUGCUUCUGGUUGUAAUACUCACAGUGAUUGAGCUUGUUUUGAGUAGAUUAGUCCAUGCUGUGAUUGAUGGUCGGAUAAUGCCGUAUCAUGGCAGCGAGCAGCUGUUGGAAUGCAGGAUUUUGAAGAAUGAUGAAGUUAUUUUUUUCCAGUGAGUCACUGAUUUCAAUGCUUAUUUGGUUGAUGUUGGAGAGCCCGAAGGAGGACAAAAGCCUCUAGAUGAUACUUAUAUUAACAGCCUAAUUAUUGUUUGGCAAUUGGAUUUAUAAGUUCCCUCUGCCGAGGGUAUUCCUUGCUUGUCUUCUUCAUAGUUGUUUUGUUGGUUCAAAUCAUCAGUAGGUGCAAUGUGGUGAAUGUGAAGUUCUUGGGUUUGGUUUGCUAAAAGUCCAAAUGGGUAUAUUUUACUUAUUGUUUGUCCUGGAAAAAAGAGCGUUGCUUGCAUACAAAUGCACAUAGACCCUCCUUUGUGAUGCUUUGCUUGUUGUUCAUCUGGGAAAUUAAAUAUUUGUUCUUUUGCUUGCUUCAAACAGCUACUUGGGUACCGUUGAUGUAUCGAUUGAUUUAGAAUCUAGAUGUAAACAUUUGCAAUUGAUCAACUGUUGCUUUUGUUCAAUGUGCAACUGAUCUUUUGAAACUCCAUUUUUUUUGUUAAAGUUUUUCCUUUUGUCAACCUUACCUUCAAUGGAUGCAGAGCUUUGGUUGAGUUUCUAGAUAUGAGGUUCACUAUAAUCCCCUCUAUGAAUUACGAGGUGUGUUUUCCUUUUUAGCUACUUAAAUCCUUUGGCAUGGAAUCUACAGUUGUAUUGCCUACAUAACUUUUCAUUUUCUGCAGAUGCUCCUAAUUCCUCAGAAACUAAAAAAGAAAGACCGGUUAUUUUAGAAGAAACUGGUCGCUUAUGAUGUUGCAACCUGCCGGAAAUGGGAACCAAAUUGAUACCAUCCCUAUACCCUACAUAUAUAGAUUCUACAUCCCAAAUAGCACAGCUUGCUUUACAAUGCCUCCAAAUGACUCCUAACUAGCAGCCUUCGAGGACUAAAGUCGUGGAACAACUGGAAUCAAUAGACACUGGCAUCGCUAAUAGAAUAGAACGGGAUAGUUAAAUUCACUUAUUAUGUCAUUCUUACUUCAUGUGAUGUAAGUCAAAGUCUGUUGUUCCACACUUUUCCAUUUUUCCCGGGAAUAAUCCUGGGCUUUGAAUGUUCAUUUCUAUUGUACCCAGUAGUUACUAGGAGUUGUCUUCUCUUUUAAGUUCUUUGUAAUAUCCAUUACGUGUAUAUUAAUACAUGCACCGCUUUGUAAAUUGAGAUGCGAUUGUACUUAUGUUUAUGAGAGGAACAGUUCUUUAAGGCUAAUCCUCGAUCUUGUUGGCAAUCUGAGGUCCACAGAAGAAGUCCAUUGCUCUUCAAGAGUCCGAGCUCUUUAAUUUUCUUGCAUGCUUAGGCUUUGAACAUGAGAAAAAGCUCAUUUUGGUUGCCAUCACGAAUGUGUUUAUGUGGUGCUUGCUCUGCAAUCAAUCUCCGGGAAGUGCUAGGCGGUUCAGUCCAUUCUCAUAGUAUUUUUGAGCUAUGAGACAUGGUUGGGGAAAUUGAUGGAGUCAUUUAAGGUAAAGUGCUGCUCAGUUGUCCAUUCAAAAAGAGCAAGAUAUGACUUUUGGUGCUGUCAUGUUGCAGCUAAGACAUGUCUGAUUGUUUUGUGCUGAUAAGAGACAUUUCUUAUCAUAUGCCAGUUUUAGAUAAGACUUUCUAUAUGACAUCAUAAAUGACUAAAUUUUAUUUUUAUAUUCUCAGUAACUUAGCCCAUUGGUUAUUGUACUUUCUUCACUAUUUGUAAAUUUGAGGGCCCAAUUAUUUUCAACACUUCUCAUGUAUUUUUUUUUUGAACUUGUUAAUAUGUCUCUUUUACAUCACUCUCAACGCAAAAAUAUAAAAGUUUCCAUCAUUUUGUUUUUUUUUUAAUUUUAAACAAAUUAAAAAAAAUUAAAUUGAUUACAUCAAAGAAAUUUUUCAAAUAUAUGUUUAUCAAAUAGUAUUUUCCCAAUGUUACUUCUCAAGUCAUUUUAAAUUGCAAAUUACUAAACAGUCUUUGCAUUUCACAGAAUUCCUUUAGGCUAAGGGCCUUUACAUUGGCCAAAGGCUUUCCCCAAAAGCCAAAGCAAACGCAACCAUAAAUGGGUACUUCAAAUUAUGCUUUAUGCAGACCUUUUUGCUUGAUUGUUGUUGCCCUGCUAUGUGACCCGCUGUUUCGUGUAAAUCAGCGAUAUAGUCGUCAUCAUGGCUGAAGGGAUCUUGGAGAUCCGGCCUCAUGAAGUCAAGUUUAUCUGUGAGUGUAUAUAGUGCUGCGCGUUUGGUUCAUUUUUAUUUUGGAGCUACAUUCAAUUUGCGUUGCUUGCCUUCUAUUUUACUAGGCAAUAAGUGAAGGGGAUGAUAUUUCUUUGUUCUACAAUAAUUUGCUUGAGAAUUUGUGGUUCAACAUCGUAAAUAAUGGUAAAAGAAAUAUCUUAAAUAAGAGCUUCAAUGGCGAGUAUGAAUCGGUUAUUGGUCGCCCUGUUUUUCAAAUUCUUUUCCUUGUGUUGUUUUCGAAUAUUUGGUCAGGUUCUUUCUUUUUGCAUAGUUUCUAUCCUCGCACAACAAACUCUUAGAAUGCCUGGUGAGGUGAAUUUCUUUCUGGAGAUAAAGUUAGUGAGUGUUGUAACCAAAUGACUGAGAAUGAUCGGUAGAGAAAACCAACACGCAAAAUGAGAUUUCGUUGCUGCAUUAUGUCUUGAAAGAAAAUGUAUGAUGGUCCAUUUAAUCACAUCCUACUCUAAUGUCGUGCCCCAUUAAGUUCUUUAAUCUGAAGCCUCUUCUCCAUGUUUAUGCAGUUGAGUUGAGUAAACAGAGCUCGUGCUUGAUUCCGCUACGCAACAAGACUGAUCGGUAUGUUGCUUUCAAGGUGAAGAUUUUUUGGACCUUUUCACUCACCAUGAUUGUGCUUUACUUUUUUUUAGGUAUGGUGGGCGAACAAUUUUCUUUCGAUCCUAUAUUCUCUUGAUGUAAUUUAAAUUUCAGAGUAGGACAUCAAUGCAUUAAAAGCUCUCUACUAUGGAGAAACAUUAUGAGCUUUAUACUGGAUAUCCAAAACAUUCCAGGUUAAGUCUACAUCUUUGAAGAAAUACUGUGUGCGGCCAAAUGUAAGCGUCAUCAAGCCAAAUGGAGCAUCUAAUUCAAGAUUGUGCUGCUCAAAUCAGGAACAUCAUGUUCACAUACUUAUUAAAGCCACUAACAUACUUGUGAGGAGGGACACGCCUACAAUACUUAAAUCGGCUAAAUAAUUCUUCUGCAAUUUCUUUGCCAUGACAUGUCAAUUGGACUAUAUUACUGUUGGGUUACGAACUGCUUAAGGUAGAGUCAGUCUAAUUGCAGCAAGGAUCAUCUUUGAAUAAGAUUUUGAAUGCCUACCAUAGUAGCCUAAUAAUAUACAUCAAGAUAAAGGAAAACCACGAUAGGCCUCAGAAGCUAUGUCCCGAUACUUCAAAAGAAUUGGAGUAGGCCUUUCAUCCUAUCUUCUGUUUGAUGCAGUUGCCAUGUAAGCAGGGGAGGUAGCUCCAACUGUCCUACAGAGACAAGUUUUUGAUACAGGUGAAGAGGACUGCUGACAUGGUAGGUUUUGCUGCUAUAUGUUCCGUAAUCUUUCAGGUCAAGUAACUCGAGAAAUAUUCUUUUAAAUUUUCAGAUUGAUAAAGAAAGUGGUAAAUACAUAGAUGAGAGGAAGAUAGAAGCAGUUCUAACCAGUCGAGUGGAAUCACCAUCAGUGCUACCAGAUUAUGGAGACCGGAAGCAAGAUUCAUCUUCCGAGACUACCAUCCCAAAGGAUAUCUCACCUGUUGGAGUCAAAAAUGCGUCACCUUUUCUCAGGGUAUGACUGCCAGAAAACAUCAAUAUGUCACUUUAUUGUCUUUCUGGAUUGAGAUGGCAUUGUAUCUAAUACAUUUAUCGGGGCUUUGCCACAGCCUUGGCUAGGCCGUAUGUUAUUUAUUUGUGAAUGGAAAUCAAGUUGCUGCACAUCAUCUAUAAAUUGAUCUACCUUUUUAGCAACUAAAUGUGAGUGUAUGGGAUAUCUUUUUUCUCGUAUUAACUGUACGUGAAUCCAUUUCUAUGUCUCAGGAAAGAUUGGAAAUCAUAGAAUAUGACUUAUGUUCUUACUCUUAUAUUCCAGAAGGAUUGUCUUUUGAUGCCAGGAUCCUGAAGGGUUGAACGUGUCAAAGGUUUUAAGGAGUUAAAAUCAACACUCAGCGAGGUGAUACAAAGUUAAAAGAGGUUAGUUUUCUUCCCCUGGUUGAUUUGAAUUCGGGUCUACUUUCACCAGUCAGAUCACUGGGAGGACGGUUUCGCUUCCACUACACAAGCCACCCCUGAUUGCCCAUUUUAUACAGAUGAGGACAGUAGACAGAAGAGGGGAAAAAAUUAUUAAAAGGAAGAAAAAAAAUACUUAUAAAAAGCAUAGGUGUUGAGUUGGGAGAAUUGCAAAUUCAAUCAUAAAUUUAUUGUAUGAAUAAUCAAAUAAUGGAAAACAUGUUUGCUCUCUCAUAUUCUUGGUUCAAUGCUACUCCUGACACAUUGAUUCUUACGAAUUUCUAGUGCCGCAUGUUUUGAAGAUUACGUUUCUUGGUGGAGCUAUUUUAUGCUAUUUUUCUUAACUCCUUUUAGUUGAUGUGUAAUCCAUGUAUUUUAUGAGACAUUUUGGCAAUUGGUCUUAAUGCCUCUGGCUAUUAGACUUGUGCAAUAUAUUUGACAAAAUGAUCACACAUUAGUUUAUUGGAUCAUGUUUUAUUCUUUCGCCCUUACAAGUUGGCAAAGAGUAUCUAAAAUUGGAUGACCAUACGCACUGAUGCUGGAAGCUGUGAGUGAACUUUUAAACAACUGAGGUCGUGUUUUGGAUGCUUGAAUAUUGUCUGCAGUACGCCAGACACAUAUCUGCACAUUGCUCCUCUGUCCUGGAAUGAAUUUGGAAUGUCCUGAAAAGUUUUAAGGGGAUUUUGUAUUUGGCUGCUUGGCAAUUAAUCUCCCGUUCAGUAAGCGAGAUUUCCUUGUGAGUUUUGGAAAUUAUACGUUUUCUUGGCAUUGUUCUGUAUGCGCUUCCCUGAUCAUCACCCAAUGGUCUGUUUAGAGAUGGCUGCCUGCUUGUUCAUAUUGCUGAUCUCCUCUUGAUUCUCCUUCCGCCAGGUGACAUGGUUUGCAUUUUUUUUCUUUUUUCUUUUUGGGCCUCCAGAACUCAGUAUCUUUCAUGUGCUUUAUAGAUAUGAACGACCGGAGUUCGGACUCUGUCAUGUGCGUUUCUCUCCUCAUUUUUAUUUAUUUUGAGCAGUGUUGGAUUGGGAAUAUUCGUGUAGGAAAAAAUUUGAUGUCUGAAUGGCAAAUUUACUAUCAUUUACCACUGGGGCCGAAUUUUCCUCAAGAAUAUCAAAGCAGCGGUUCUAUGCAAUCAGGCUAGUAAACGUGAUUACUCAAGAAUGAAUAGUGAAGAGCUGGUUACUUUGUUUAGUUUCUUGUUCUUGUUAUUCUUUUUAACUCAAGCAAUUGUUUAGGUCAAGAACGCGAUGCCUUUAGGUGAUUCAGAAUCAACACUCAAAGGACCAGGACUCACAGAAAAUUUCCUUUCGCAGCAUUGGUCAAUGACCAAUCUUAAUUGGGCUGAUAUGUAGACGUUAUUUGAUGUGCAAAAGCUGAUGAAUGGUGUAAUUUGAUUAUAUCCCAUCACCUCACAAAUGGGUGAGAGAAAAGUGGCGACAAAAAAGGGUUUUGACUAGAUAAUUUGAUUAUAUAAUUUGAUUACAUCCUAUCACUAUUCUUUCACAUUCAGAUCGAUUUAAAGUUCUCUUUUCUACUAAUUAUGUGAAGCAACGAGUGUGUUGCAAGAAUAUAAUUUAUGAUUAGAUGCUACUGAUCAUUCGGAUAGCUGGCUUAUGGGGCAAGGAUGACAAAGUUUGCUUAAGAGGGGAGAAAUAGGAAGGUCGCUAUAAUUAUUUAAUGUGAGGUUAUACUAUUCUAUGGAAAGAGUAAGAUCAAAAUCAGUCAGGGUGACCUUAUGGACUUGCCUUUGCUUCUUAAUCGCACGUAGCCCCAAUAGUUUGUGACAAAAGUAGCCUGUAUCGUUUCUGUCGAUCUUGUCCAGUUAGCAUCUUCUAAUCUAUGACAACUUAGUCUGAUGUUUCGCAUUGAAUGAAUAGCGGCGACAUACACUUUACUUGGGAUACUUUGGGAUACUUGGUGAGUACACUCGUAGCUGAAAUGCCAUUAUCACGUGUUGCCUAUUGAGCAUUUUGGGCUAGGCAGAAACAGUUGGAAGACCUUCGGGAUCGACGUCUAAUAUAGUGUCAAGAUUGUUUAAGUAUGACUAAGCCAUCUCGUGGUCCGUAAUAGCGAUUUAGAAUCGGAAAACUGAGUGGUAAUCCCAUCUUUUUAGGCAUCGAACAACUUGAGUCCUAUGAUACGUCCCGAUAUCUGAAUCUUUAGGGAGCCAUUGAAUCCAAAGGGAAGGGUCUGAGGAACCAAAGAGGGACAAGUUAACAAAAGCAACUUUAUUCGUAUGAGAUUUGGACAAAACGCAAAUUAGCCUGAUUAGUGGCUAAGUAGCACCGGCACAUGACAGUCUUAGUGUGUUUAAUUGAAAAAGCGAACGGGAUUAUCCAUCGCCAUCGUGCUCCGAUGAAGAAACAUGUUAAAGAAAAGACCUCUCUCCGAGGGACGUGUACAAGUGGUGCGUUUAACAAGAAUUAGCUGACCAAGCCCUGAACUGCUGCGCUCAUCACAUUGAGGAGCCCUCUCGCUGGCCAUGAUACAAUCAGUAGGUCUCUCGCGCCCUCAGAAUUGUCUCCGCAUGACAUAACCAUUUUUCAGUUCAUCAACGUGGUCCGGAUACGAGGACAACCGGCCAUCAGAUAUCAGGAUAUCACCUGAUUGCAACUGAUUUUUUUUCUAUAGAACUUUGUUAUUACUGAUCAAAGAGAAAAAAGCACAAGAUAGCUAUACUUCUCUGCAGUAAGCCAAAAAGAAUGUGAAGUACAUUUGGAGGGGAAACUACAUCAAGAACAAUGCCAAGAGAACAUAUAAAUUCCAGAAUCUGCAUACAGGAAAAUCUCACUCGCCGAACGGGAAAUUAAUUGCCAAGCAGCCAAAGACAGAAAUUGCAUCAGCACAUUUCAGGAUGUUCCAAAUUCAUUCCAGGACAGAGACGGCCCAUGUGCAGAUGCGGUCUGGCGUAAUUUUAAAUUUUAUUUUUCCUGCAGACAAAGUUCAAGCAUCAAGAAUACGAUCUGUGUGUUUAGAAGUUCAUAUCUUCAUCUCACACUCAUCCAGCUUACAGUAUCAUGUAUAGUUGUCCGAGUUUAAAUGCUCUUUGCCGACAUAUAAAGGCAAAAAAGAUUAAAUAUAAUCAAAUAAAAUUAAUGUUUGAUCAUCCUGUCAGUCACCCCUCAGUCAUUAAAAAAGAAAGCCACAAAUUGGGUGAACGUAAUGGUCAAAAUAAGCUUGUGCACCCGAAAGGCUGACCACCGAUAGUACCACAAUGUCUAACAGCCAGAAUUCUUAAGACCCAUUGCCAAAAUGUUGCAUGAAAAACUUCGUUUGCACACUAAAGCAGUUAACCAAGAUUGCUCAACCACGUAGAGGUAUUUUUUCUAUAUGUUAUCAGACUUUUUCAUCAAGAACAUCAAUGAAAGAAAGGUCUAGUGAUGUGCAACAAGAGCAGUCGAGAAAAAAAUCAUACCAGGAAUAACUCAACAAUGGCAGCACUAUGAGUUCUUUUUGCUUUCUGCAUCACGAUUCCUCCAAGGAUUAAGAGCUUCUUUGACAGCCUGAGCUUCCGGCGAAUUCUCCCAAGCCCGCUUCUCUGACUCCAAUUCGGUCACUUUAUCAUCUGCAACAUACAACCACCAUAAUAUUUCUUGGUUAUUACAGAAAGACAGACCCUUUGGUAGUAAAAUAAGCAACCAAUGGCAUGGGAAAGAAUCCGAUAAUGUUCGUCAUGAAGAUGCUCAUGAGAGUAUAGGUAGUUAUGAAGGCAAGGCAACCAAACAACAUUCUCACAAUCUUUAGUCUGUACCAAAGUCCAUUCAGAAAGAUGCAAGUGAUGAAAGCUCAUCAGUCUUCAAUAAGAUCACAAAGGAACUGCAAUUUCAACGGGACUACAAAUCACUGCAUCUAAUUGUGUUCCUUCAGAAAUUCUAACUCUUUGAUUAUACCCUGAAAGAUAUGAAAUAGCUGCAGAACAAUCUGCUCAAUGUUUUCCUGAGAUGUGCAUCACAGUCGUAAGUUCAAUUUUAAAACCAGUCUCCUAAACAACUUUUCAGAAGUUUCUCCCACAGAUGGUAUCGAUGAACAGAUGAUUAGCUGCACAAGCCAUCCAUUCUCCACAGACAGUGGAAAACUUCGCAUUCAUAGGUAUCGCCAUUCAUCACCUGAGACAACAUUUUUUCGCAUCAUGCUUUUCGUGUAGAACAGCGAGAAUGUUCAAUUCAUCGGCAUAACAUGACGGUCCAAAUCAAAGCCCUCCUCUUUCACAAGCUAGCGACUGUAACAUACCAAGCGACUGCGACAUACCACUGAAAUCAUCAAUUUCCAUCCUACCCCCGACUUCAAUCACAAAGGAACUGACUAAACGAUGCUUUUCUCGUCCGAAGAGACGAAUUUGAACACGACCCAUCACCGUAAAAUCCACUCCCAUUCGACUAACGCAAUAGCUGCUGCACUAGCAUCGCUCGCGAACUCUAAAGCAAGGUUCAUCAGAUAAAAAUUAACUCCAACUGCUUUAAAAACUAUCCAUUCCGAAGCGCCAUGUUUUUUUGGGGUACGAGCUACCCAAAAGAGAAGCGGAAAAAGGUCGAAACGAAAGGAAUUGCAGGAACGGCGAAGGAGGAGCAAGAAAGAGAUGGAGGGUCCUCACACAGAAGCCGGUCUUGAUCAUGAACAGCUCCAUGGAGCCUCCGACGAGGGCCGAGAAGACCGCGAUCUUCACAUACCAAUCAAGAAACUUCACCGCCAUAUCGAAAGCUGCCGCUCAAGCUUUCCGCGGCAGCGGCUGGAAGACGGGAAAACGAAAGGAGGGUCGGUAAGAAAGAGGAGAAGGAAUAGUAACUUCGCGAGGACUUGGAGAGAGGAGAUCCAUCGAGGCCCAUCGAGGCCCAUCGAGGCCUGCGCAGCCCGACCAUUUCCCUUCUAAAGAAAUCUAUUUUAGGGUCCGUUUGUUUGCGUUUUUAUUCAAAAAUUAUUCUAGGAACAAAAAUAAAAAUAAAAAUUAUUUUUAUUUUGGGGAAUAAUUUUUUAUCAGAAAAACGCAUUUAGUAAACUUGUUCCAGGAAUAAAAUAAAAUAAAAACAGAAAUACGUUUGGUAAAUUUAUGUUCUUUUUUUGUUUUUCUUAAAUUUUUUAAUAUUUUUAUUUCUUUUUUAUUUUUUCUUUCUUUUUUCUUUUUCCUUUUUUUCUUAUUUUGGCCAGUAGCCGGCCUCGACCAUGGCCGGUGACCAGCCGACGAGGGUCGGCGGUCUCACCUUGGCUGGGCGAACUCGGCCUCGCCGAAUCUGGGCGAGCCUGAGCUCGCCGAGCCUUGCCCCACGCCGGCAAUGCUCGGCCUCACCGGGAGCCGGCGACGCUCCGGCCGCAUCACCAGCCCUUGACGGCCGGUCGCCGGUCAUGGUCGAGGCCGACAACUGGCCAAAGAAAAAAGAAGAAAAUAAAGAAGUGUUUCUCCAAAUUGUUCCAAAAACAAGAAAUAAGUUUUUUUUUUUUGUUUCUUGUUUCUAUUUCAAAUUUGUUUCCGGGAACAAAAAAACAUAUUUGGAACAAAAACGCAAAUAAACGUAUUUUUGUUCUUUUUGUGUUCCCGGAAACAAAAAAAGGGAAAAUCUGUUCAUGAACAAAAAAUAAAAACACAACCAUGCACGUCCUUAGUUGUUGGGUCCAAGGAACUUGGGCCUUUGGCCACUUUUAGUGCAGCUUGUUGCGUCAAGAUGCAAUCUUUUCGUCUUCUCUUCUCGUUGCGUAAACGAGGGCGUAUGCUUUGUUACAGAGUCUUAAGAACUUCGUCCCGUGCGGUUCUGCUGCAUGUCGUGCUGUGGAUGGCUAGGAAUCAGACCUUCUAAGGGAGAAACCGAUAUGGAAAAAGCUCGUCACGGCAUGCAUAUGCUCUUCUCGGAGUAUUUCCGCCCAGCAAUGAUAUUCGAUGCUCGAUCUGAUCUACAUUUAGGACAGAGGUUCGAGAUCGGCGGUUCUGAAACUGCUUGAGUUUUGGCAAAUUUCAUUGAGCACUUCUCAGCAACUAGCAAGCAGAGUCUAUGUCUAUCUUGAAGGUGAUAGCUUCUCUGUUAUUAAGCCUCUGACCAAUCUGGAAACACCUCCAUUCUUGAACUCGGUCAAAUCGAGAAGCUCUCAGCAAAAUCAAGUGCUGGGGACUCAAUUCCAGAGCUAAUCUUAUCUCGCGAAAUCUUGCCCACCUUAUAUCCACCCCUUACCCUUUCAUUCCUUUUUGCAGUGAAAUAGAAUGACUGUAUCUGAGGUAGUGUCACUAAAGCACUAAAGAAGCAACCCUUUCGAGCACAAAUCCACUGAAUGUUCAACAAGCACCAUAAGCGUGCGACCCCAGGGACUAGCCAUUUCCAAACACGAUAGCGACUAAUCAGUCCUGCAUAGCAUCUACUGGGGCACAAAAGAGAAGGACUUCAGCAUCGGUACUGUUCUGGGCACUGGCAUCUACUUUCUUGUCCCUGUCAAUAAGCUGCACCAUAAAUUCAGAUCUCAUAUCUGAUUGGUGGGAUUAUCUACCGAUGCAACUCAGGAAGGACAAAGCGACAAUUCAACCACCACUAUUAAGCUAAGCAUCUGCAAAUAUUAUUGAAUAUACUUCCAUUCAUUGAACCCUUUACUUAUCUUGUUAGAUAUAAAGUGUUUCGGGAUCUUAAUCAUGAUCUUAUCUAAUGGACGCUCAUGAGGUACUAUUCACAGCGAUACAAACCCAAGGAUCAAUAGCCUCGAGGCCCUAUUCCUGAUGUUGUCCUCGAACCUCUCGUUCCAAUUCUUCAUCCUCUCUAAACUUGAAUUCGAAAAGUGAACAGAAAAUUUGGUCAGCCAACAGAACCAUAGGUGAACACACAACUUAUCAGAAAGCAUCAUAAAAAUUAACUGAAUGCAAAUACAGAUGACAAUGAUCCUGCUUCAACAGGCUUUUGUUUCAUCUAAUUUGGAAAAGCUGUCCACCUUAUUUCGUGAGACCACGAGUCAUUAUGCGUUCCUUUUAUGGAAACUAAUCGCAUCGAAAUUGCAAUAUGCAAAUUGAGAAUGUAGGCUUAGACAAGUCAGGAUUUUUUAAUUAUUUUUCAGUUCAACGAUCGCACAGGGUCAGUCCAAGUGAAUACAGGGGAUUCAAAUAACUCCAAGAGUACCGUCACAGUAGUUUGCCCAAAUAAUUUGGACUCUCACUCUGCACCUUGCAUGGAAGGGUACAAUAGCAUACUUUCGGCAGUCUCUACACUGUAAAUACAGCAUAAACAGAGGAGUUGCCGUAAAGAUUCAUCGGAGCUGCGGUUUUAUUAACAUGAAUAUAAUCAAAUUGGAUACAACAUUACUGAGCUUCAGGGGCCUUUCUGAAGGGUGUGAGGAGGCGAUUGCUAUCUGGCUCACUGUCGUAACAUUCAUAAUAUUGGCAUAAGUUCCUGUAAAUAAAUCCAACCUCAGCAUCGAAUUGAUUUGCCGUUGCAAUUAGGAACUUCUGAGUAGGUGGCAGGCAAGAAUUGUAGAAGAGCUAUACAUAGCUUACUUACAUCUCCUUUUUGUCUUUAAGUACAAUGCUGCAUGUCUUGGACUCCAGAUCAGUUAACAACUCCCCUAGCUUCGUCAUCGUUCAAUUCACUUCCUCCUCCACUCUCGCGAUUUUUCAGUCUAUUUUGACGAGGACCAGGUCUUCGCAUUCUUUCCUUUCCUCCAACUACACCUUUCAAAAUCUUAUCACAAUUAUUUGACAUCGCACAAUGUCCUUUGGAUAUGCAAAUAAUGAGUCUAAACAUCCGCAAACAGAUCCAUUACGGGGGAAAAAGAAAUGAAGGGACUAAGUUUAUCGCAUUUGCUUCUGAAGCCACACCAGCACAUGAUCUGGUUUUAGUGUUGGCAACAUCCCUUGAGGAUCAUCAUCAUACUUCAGCACAGAUUACUGCUCGAACAGGUUCGCUUCCUUACAAACUUCUUGUGUUGACAUUUGAUCUUCAAAUAGUAUAUUCAAUGUUCAUAACUCAUAAUGCGUCAUGUGUCUGGUCAUCUUGUUGGUUUGACAAUAUAUCAGAUUUUGGCUUGAUUGAGAUUAUGUCUUCCUGUAGUUUUUAAAGUACCCUCUAAAAUUAGAUUUAAAAAAAAAAAGACUAAAUUCCACUGAUCAAGAAAGUGGAAAGGAAAGAAACAGAAAGAGCCAAUGCCAUUAAACCAGUGAACUGGAAAAAGAGAGAUUGAAUUCUGUACAAUGCAGUUUAACAAGAAAAACCACUUAUGUUCACAUUUGCAUCAAAGAAUGACAUCCAGAUCUUCAAGUGUAAGAAAGUGGUCGGGAUUAUAUCGAUAUCCCUCGAGGUCGCAAUGCACCAGCCCCUCUCCCGAGCUUCCUCCAUGGAUGGCUGAGUUUUCCCUCAAAGCCAAGAAACUGUCACGGUUACCGUCACCGAAACAGUCCUCCAAGAGACUACGAAUCUCAGCAGGAUCAAAUCCACACCCCUCAAGGUCACAAUGCAUCGGCUCCUCUCCCAUGCUUCCUCCGCCGAUGGCUGAGUUCUUUGGAAAAGUGAAGAAAUUGUCAAAGUCACCAUCGCCAUCGCCGAUGCAGUCCUUAAACGGACUAAGAAAUUCGUCAGGAUUAAAUCCACACCCCUUGUCGCGACCUUUUUUUUUCCGGCGCCCGCGAUCGAGUACAGGCGCCUAAGGAGGCUAAUGGCUCGGCUAAAAUUAUUAUGCCCGAACUCUCCCAAGUCCACCAAUUCACGACUUAAUGGUUCAAGUUUAAAACCUGUAAAUCAGUUUUUAAAAUGGAGUCGCCACUAAUCAAUUUGGGGUGGGCUGAUUAGAAACCCAAGCGAAGUAUUGGGAGAAAUACUCACUCUUGCGCAACCAAAGAAAUUAUGAUCGGUGACUUGAUUACACUAGUUAAUCACUAAUACCUUUUCGAUACCUAAUCUUGUUCAAACCUUGAGGUUUUUUUUUAUGCUUGAGGGAUUUUCCAUGCAUUUUUGGGAGGAAAAACAUUUUUUUAGUCUUUUUCUAAUUUUUUGGACAUAAAAGGGAUUUUUCGGAUUUUUUGGUAUUUUUUGGAAAAAUACAAGUCUUUUUGGCUUUUUCUGAUUAUUUUUUUGGCUUUUUCAUGAAUUUUGGGCUUUUUUUGGAUUUUUGGCAUUUUUUGGAAAAUAUGGAAUAUUUUUUAUUUUUUAAUUUUUCUGAAAAUAAAAUAUUUUUUAAUAUUUUUCAAAAAAAUUUUGAAAAAUAAAUUAUUUUUGAUUUUUCUCGAUUUUUUAGAAAAUUAAACAUUUUUCAACAUUUUUUUAAUAUAUUUUUUAUUUUCUGGAAAUUAAAACAUUUUUUAUUUUUUUAAAUAUAAAUAUUGAUUUAUUAUUUAUUAGAAUAUUAUUUUAUAUUAAAAUAAUAAAACAAAAUAAAACCAACUCGGGUUGGAUCUGUGGGUUGGGUCCGACUCAAGCCAGCCCGAAACGCAGAGUGGGCCCGAUUUUUAUUUUUUAUAAAGAAAACGACGCCGUGGUCGGGCGUUUAGGGACGCCCGGCCCGGCCCGACAACCCGGCUCCGAGACCCGACUCCCCGCGAAACCCUACCCGGGUCCGACCCGACCUCGCAACCCGGCUUCCCGCCGCCCCGGAAUCUCGCGAAACCCUACCCGAAUCCGAGACCCGAAUCCGAUUCGACGACCCGGAAAAUCGCAAACCCUAGGGUUUGCGAAUCCGCGGCGCCGAAAGGGGGGGGGAUCGGGGUGUUUGGUGGCGACGACGAAGGCGACAACGGCGACGGCGGCGACGGCUAGGUCAACGGAAAACGACUACGAUGAACGACGACGCCUUUUUUACCUUCUCUCGAACGGGGACGGCGACGGUAGGAGGGCGGUUCGCGACGGUGGAGGCCGUGGCGAACAAUGACGGUGACGGCGAGGCCUGGGUUAGGUCAGAUCUAGCUGGGGCUCUCUCUCUCUCCCUCAAGCUCGCCCUUCGAGCUCCCCGAAGUCUCUUGGGGACCCCUUCGAGCUCACCACGCCACGGCCGACCCUGCACUCGAGCUCCCCGAAGUCUCUCAAGGGACCUCGAGCUUCGGCCGGCCUUUCUCUCCCUCGGAUCUCUCCUCUCUGCCUCCCCCUCCUCGUCGACGAUGGCCCCCCUCUAUUUAUAGGCGCGGGGGUGGCCGGUCGGCGAGGCUUCGACCCGCCGGUUGGACCGCCGUCCCAUCCGCCAUCAUCUCCUCCUCCGGUCAUGUCUCGUCGACGCCAACUGCUCCCCUACUCCACGUGCAACCGCCGUCCGUCCACUCCCUUCCCCUCCGUCGCGCCCUCUACGCAUGCGCUACAGAGGCGCGAGGAAGAAGAAGACGCGGAGGGGCUGGGCUGGGCAGAAAUGGGCCAAGCUGGGCGAAAAUGGGCCGAGGGCCCAUGGAGGGGCUGCUCCUCUUUCUUUUUGUUUUUGUUUUGCUUUGUUUUGCUGUUUUUUUUAUUACUUUAUUUAUUUAUUUUUUAUUUCUAUAUUAUUUACCCGAAAAGACAAAAUAAAAAGACUUAAUUAAUUAAUACAAUAAACUUAAAUAAAAUUAAGGCGUCAACAGUUGCCCCUCUUUGAAGGUAAGCUCGCAGAGGUUGCAUUCAAAGACAAACUUAUGCCUAAAUUUUAUCCAUGCAUGCGUAGCAAGUUAUAUUUUAUUUGAGACCUAUUAUCCUAUGCAAAAAGAGCAAUAUAACUUUACAUAUACUAAGAUAGAUAAGAAGAUACCUGUAGUUACUUACCGGAAGUGAGUGAGAUAGGGUGUAAACCCCGAGUUUGGCAAGUAUCAAGGCAUCAUCUUACCUGGUGAUGUGAGGAGGUUGCUUUUCCAGGGCUCGAACCUUUCUUCGGUCGCCUGUUAAAACAAUCAAUGAUUUGUCUAGGACUCGAACCUUUCUUCGGUCGCCUUGACGGGAAAUUGCUCCUCCAGGACCCGAACCAUUCUUCGGUCACCUGUUGGAGCAAUCAAUGGUUUGUCUUGGACCCAAACCAUUCUUCAGUCGCCGUGACGGGAAUUGCUUCUCCAGGACCCGAACCAUUCUUUGGUCGCCUGUUAAAACAAUCAAUGAUUUGUCUCGGACCCGAACCAUUCUUCGGUCGUCGUGACGGGAAAUUGCUUCUCCAAGACCCGAACCAUUCUUCGGUCACCUGUUAAAACAAUCAAUGAUUUGUCUAGGACCCGAACCUUUCUUCGGCCGCCUUGACGGGAGACUGCUCCUCCAUGACCCGAACCAUUCUUCGGUCGCCUAUUGGAGUAAUCAGUGGUUUGUCUCGGACCCGAACCAUUCUUCGGUCGCCGUGACGGGAAAUUGCUUCUCUAGGACCCAAACCAUUAUUCGGUCGCCUGUUAAAACAAUCAAUGAUUUGUCUAGGACCCGAACCUUUCUUUAGUCGCCUUGACGGGAGAUGCACCGACCUUUCUCAGGGCAUCUCAUUUGUGGGUGCCUGAUUUGUAUCGAGGACACCAGUUGGUACCCAACCUUUCUCGGGAGAUGCGUCGACCUUUCUCGGGGCAUCUGUUUUAUGGGGGUGUCUAACCUUUGUCAAAGACAACAGUUGGUACCCGACUUUUCUCGGAAGGAUGCGCCGACCUUUCUCAGGGCAUCGAUUCUGGAAGAUACCUGGACAUUCACAAGCAUAUCAAAGAGUACCUGGAUAUUCACAAGUACCAACCUGAAGGGUAUUUGGGCCUUUGCAAGUGUCAAAAUGGGUAUUUGGCUGACUAUAGGCAUUGAAGGGGUACUUGGAUGAUCACAAGUAUGAAUUCUUUGGGGAUACUUGGUCAUUCACAAGUAUCGAAUGGGUACUUGAUAAUUGGAAAUAUUGAGAACAUACCUUGGAUAUUUGUGAAGGUGUCCCACCUCUUGGCAAUUGGGAAAUAUCAAGGGCGUACCUGGGAUAUUCGUGAAGGUCUCUCACCUUCUGGUAGUUGGAAUAUCGAAGACGUACCUUAGAUAUUCAUGAAGGUCUCUCACCUCCUGGUAAUUGGGAAUAUUGAGGACGUGCCUCGCAUAUUCGUGAAAGUCUCUCACCUCUUGGUAAUGGGAAUAUCGAGGGCGUGCCUCGCAUAUUCGUGAAGGUCUCUCACCUCUUGGUAAAGGGGAAUAUCGAGGACGUACCUGAGAUAUUCGUGAAAGUCUCUCACCUCCUGGUAAUUGGGAAUAUCGAGGGCGUACUUGGGAUAUUUGUGAAGGUCUCUCACCUCCUGGUAGUUGGGAAUAUUGAGGACGUGCCUCGCAUAUUCAUGAAAGUCUCUCACCUCCUGGUAAUUGGGAAUAUCGAGGACGUACCUGGGAUAUUCAUGAAGGUCUCUUACCUCUUGGUAAUGGGAAUAUCGAGGACAUGCCCCGCAUAUUCGUGAAGGUUUCUCACCUCCUGGUAAAGGGGAAUAUCGAGGACGUACCCGGGAUAUUCGUGAAGGUCUCUCACCUCCUGGUAAUUGGGAAUAUCGAGGGCGUACCUGGGAUAUUCGUGAAGGUAUCUCACCUCUUGGUAGUUGGGAAUAUCGAGAACGUGCCUCGCAUAUUCAUGAAGGUCUCUCACCUCCUGGUAAUUGGGAAUAUCGAGGACGUACCUGGGAUAUUCAUGAAGGUCUCUCACCUCCUGGUAAUGGGAAUAUCGAGGACGUGCCCCGCAUAUUCGUAAAGGUUUCUCACCUCCUGGUAAAUGGGAAUAUUGAGGACGUGCCUCGCAUAUUCGUGAAGGUCUCCCACCUCCUGGUAGCAUAAACUUGAAUGUAGCAUGAGGCUUACCUGGAUGGCCGCAGGCACUCAAAAGGGCUAGAACACCUGGGUAACCGCAGGUGUACAAAGUACUGGAAUACUUGGAUGAACACAAGUAUUUAAUGAUAUGAUCUGGGACCACUCAAGCUGAUCUAAGUGCUAGAAAGCAUACCUGGACGGUGGUGCCAAGCAAAGCAAUGGAAUGCUUAAACAGCUGCUAUAUUAUUUGGGGACAACUCGGGCAAGCUGAGUGUCAUGAAAAGGAAGUACCUGGACAAUGGUGGGUACUUGACGAUAUGGGGAUAUCUAGACAGCAGUAGGUAUUCAAAGAUAAAAGGAUACUUGAUUAGUCACAAGUAUCAAUACUCUGGGGACAACUCGAACAGGUCGAGUGUCAGGAAAAGGGAGUAUCCGAACGGUGGCCAGUACUCAAAGACAAUAGGGAUAACUAGAUAGCAGUAGGUAUUCAACGAUAAAGGGAUACUUGGUUAAUCACAAGUAUCAAUACUCUGGGGACAACUCGAAUAGGUCUAGUGUCAGGAAAAGGGAGUAUCCGAACGAUGGCCGGUACUCAAAGACAAUGGGGAUACCUAAACAGCAGUAGGUAUUCAAAGAUAAAGGGAUACUUGGUCAGUCACAAGUAUCAAUACUCUGGGGACAACUUGAAUAGGUCGAGUGUCAAGAAAAGUGAGUAUCCGAACGGUGGUCGGUACUCAAAGACAAUGGGGAUACCUAGACAGCAAUAAGCACCCAAACUCAAGGGACGACUCAAAUAGGUUGAGUGUUAAUAAGAGAGUACCUGGACAAUGGUAGGUACUUUAAGACAAAUGGGGAUAGAGAUAUGCUUUCCUGGCAAUAUCUCUGAUCUUUGAGAGUAUGCUUGCUAUUUGCACAAUAUGCACACAUGAUUGUAUAUGCUGUAAAUUCAUGAGCUCAAAUGAGAUUCAUGCAUGAUAAUUUUGUCAAUUUUACAUCAUCUGAUUUCCAUCGGGGAAGAUUUAGAAAAACAACCUUCAUUUAGAAUGUAGAUGUCUUGAGCAUGCCAGAUGAGGGACUUUUAGUCCGAAAGGACUUUUCACUCACUCUCUUGGAAAAGGCUAUCCUGACCAUUAAUGCAAGAUUUAUAAGGACCACACUAUCUCACUGUCAUCAUGUCAGCAGGGGUCUGAGUAUUCUCGCGAACGGUACGACUUUACCAAUGUGAGAGGUCUUUGUUGAAAUUGUGAUGAAGACUUGGUCAACGGCUCAUCAAAUGGGACCGUCGAGGUCAAGGCUCCUGAACGAAGUGCCGCACGAUCAUCCUCAGGCUUGCAAGUCAAGAAUCCUGCGAAAAGAGAUAAAAUAAUCUUGCUUGUACUUCUUCGAGCGAUGCUUAUAGACAUAUGAAAUCCUACGUUAAUUGAAGUGCCCCUAGUUUGAAGAGACUUUUUACAAUGGGAUGCAAUGUAGGCUUGACUCAUGUGUAAAAAGGUAAGAGCUAGUGAUCGCCUUGGCAUCUGUCACCGUCUUCCUUCUCAUAGUCCAAUGAAGGUUCCAUUAAUCGAACCAUAAUAGCAACUUCUCUCGGGAAUACAAACAGCUGUAUUUUUUGUUUGGAGACAUUGGCCUUGCUUUUACCAGGCACACUGCUUUUUUAUGUCCAUAGUUUUUGUUUUUCAUCUACAGGCAUUGACCUUGCUUUUGCCAGGUACACUGCUUUUUUAUGCCCUUAUUUGUUCUUGUUGCUUGAGAGCUGAUCUUGAUAGGUUCAAGCAAACGCCUUUGUUAAACUAUUGAGUCUUCAUCUUUUUCCAACGCUUCUGAUUAUGCUGCUCAAACAGCAAUAGCUUCUGUUUUGCCUCCAUGUGAGGGUGAAUUUACAGACUCAAUUGAGUUGUAUAAUGGACACAAGUGCGUAAAGAAAGAACUGCUCUUCAUGACUCUAGGGCACUUAAAUUAACGCGAGUGUUCAUAUAUACUAAAGACACUCAAAGAUUGAUGCAAGUGCAAGCAAGAGAAUUUCUAUCCCUUUUCUCACCUCGUGAUGCUGACUUGCCUUCAACUUGCCCCAGUGUGGGGUGGUUCUUUGACGAGGGUAAGACAGGAAUUUGGCCGGUAUAUAGGGCUCAAAGUGAGCAGUGGAGUGCCUCUCACUGUUUUGGUCAUCGUACCAUUUGCGAGAGAACUCUUUACCCUGUAGUCAUGGAAUUUUCUACACUCAUCUCACAAGUGUGUAGAUGGGGACUGUGUGGGAUAUGGCUUGCCUGUCAUCAUUCUGACGCGCCUCAUCCAGCAUGCUCAAUUAAUCUUGUAUUCUUCACUUAGCUGUCUAUUCUAAUAAUCCUUAAUAGAAUCAAAGAUUUAGACAAACAAAUCAUCAUGCAAAAUUCACCUGGAAAAAGGCAUGCAGUAUUUUAAAUGUGAUGGAGUUUGUACUCUCAAAACAAAUUAAUGGUUUUGACUCAAAAAAGACCAUAUUGACAACUUUAGGGGCUAACAUAAUGGUGUUUCCAAAUAUGUUAGAUUUUGAACAUCAAAAGGGUUAUUCGCAAAUGGGUAUCGAUGGUUAUCCCUAUUGAUUAGGGAUAUGACACAUGAAGGAUCAGCCGGGGUUGGGGAUCUGAUAGGGCAUCUCUGCUUUUUCCCCUGUAGAAGAGAAGAUGUACAAGUAGAUCAAUUAGUCUGGCCAAAAUCAAAUGUGAGUUGAGGCUUGAAGGAUCUCUGUCAUUUGCUUUGGCAAUACUUGAGACGCCAUUUUGCUUGAGAGAGUUUGUCAUGCCUCUCAUUGAUUUGUUAUCUUUGUUUUUGACAGUCAGGUAAUCCUGCAACAAACAAGACAUGCUUCUCAUUGAUUUGUUAUCAUUGCUUUUGACAGUCAGGUGAUCCUGCAACAAACAAGAGGGAAUGUGUUAGUCAUGAAUUCUUUCAAGAGUCGAAUAACUGGAAGCGAUACAAUUUUACCCUUCAAUGGUUUGCAGAUGAUUUGGUGAACCUGAAGUGAGAGGGGGACACGAGGUCCUAUGUCCCUUGCUUCGUUAGGUCAAUUAUUCUCUGACUUGGCUCCUGGAUGACAUGUCUUUUUACACGAAGUCAAGUGAAUUCGAUGUAGGUCAUUUCCGUAUACUAGCUUGGCCAGUAUUGAUUUGUCAAACCUAACCAUUGAGUUUGGUUCUUGAGUUGUGAUGCUCCCUAUCAAAUAGGGAAAAUAUGUCAAAAGCGAGUUCAAAUAGUGGGAGUAUUGGAAACGAUACCAAAUUACUCUUCCCCAAAGUUUGUAUUUGUUGAUUCCUAAGGAUUUCUGUAUACUGAUGACGGUCUCUUCGUCCUAGCAUAUAUCAAUAUUUCCUUCAAUUGGCCUUCCUCCUUUGUGACCAUGUAUGCAUGAUUGUUGGUCGUUGAUUCAUCUUCAAUGCCUUCCUUCUGUGGAAUUUCUCUUCCUGUCUUUAACUAUAGCAUCAUUGGGCAAAAGUCAUGUACCUCAAGCUUCUAUGGAAUCUGAGAUAAAAAAUCUCAAGUUUUCUGAUGGCAAUUACUCCUUGGAAGAAUAUGCAUCUGGAGUGAAGUUUAUAGAUUCCAAAGUCAUUGUCUAGGGUGUGGGGCUAUAGAUUGCUUUGACUGUCUAGAUUUUCUCCCUGUUGACAGUAGCCAAUUCAGAAAAAGACCCCUUCCUUGUGCUUCUGGGCUUGUCGAAGGAGUUGGGCAAGAGCGGGGUGGAGUGCGCAGAGUUCUUAGGGACGAUUUGAUUUUCAACCGUAUGCCUGUACCUAUUACGUCUUAUCUUUCGUUUCCUGAAAAUAGAAGAGAGAGGACAUCAUUUCCAAAUUAUAUUCAGAGAAUAAGACUUACCCUCUUUUGGUGUAUGAUGAUUCUUUCUAUUUGCCCCUGUUUUCUUGGCAGGGUGUCUUUGAAUUUGGCGAGUUCACAUGAUGCGCCAGCUUCAAAUGCCCUCUGUCACACUAAGUUAAGGGGGAUGGGGAUGAUAUUCUGAGACACACAGUAAGUGAGUUAGAAAGACAAACAUGAUUUAAUAAUCUUGAAAGCUUUUGGCAAUAAAACAUUUUUUGUUUUCAAAAGUAUAUAUCUUUGGGGGGAAGAAAGCAUGAGGAAGCCCAACCCUCAGUAUUCUUCUUGGAUGAUAAUUUUUUCAUGGUUGGAUAGCAUCACCGGGCAGGUUUGGAGUACUGCCUCAUGCUCUCAAAACAAAAUAUUAGAACUGUACAUUAUAGUACUUGAAUGGAAAAUACAACAGUAGCACAAUAGACAAGAUGAGAAACAUGAAAUUAUAAAAACAAGUAAAACUCAUGAAAACCCCUGUGUAAAGGAGCGCUUUGAUAGUGCUGGUCUUGAAGCUAAGCGUCUUUGAAUUCCUCGCCUUCAGUAGACUCAAAGUAUUCGCAUGCGAUGACUACCCCGUUGAAGUUACGGAAGUGUAACCCAUGCAGCCAACAGCGAUGCUUGCAGGACAAAACUUCUAUGAACUGCUUCAUUAACUCCUCUUCAGCCAGUUGAGGGUGGGUUUGUAUCAUGAAAGCCCUCCACCUCCCUGCAUAUGCUUGGAAAUCUUUCAUUGGUUUUCUUGUGAAGUGAGCCAAGCUCUCACAAGGCAGUUCAGUUCCGAUCUGGCUUUGGUACUGAUGCAAGAAUGUGGAAGUCAGCUCAUUCCAAUCCUUUAGAAGAUAAAUGUUUGUUGUGAUAAACAAUUGCAAUGCAGACCCCGUAAAAGUUUCUUGGAAUGCCUGAGUUGUGAACGACAUCGGGCCAUAGUACCGACUCAUUUCCGUAUGGAGAUACUGCAAGUGGGCCACGGGACAAGCUGUGCCCUUAUACUUGCGGAGAUUGGGUAUCCACAUUUCUAUGGGGGUCAUGAUCCUACGAGGGCAAGACGGGCUUGAUGUAUCUUGGUUAGGCCACUAGUUUUCCCACUGCAUAUCUGUUGUGGUGGUGAAUUUUUCUGUUUCAGGGAAGCUAGACUCUAUCGAGAUUACCCCAUUACUUUCUUCCAGGUCAAAAUUACCGAAGGAGGAUGAGGCAUUUAAGCUAUCCUCAUGGUCAGGUGACAAGCUUAGUACUUCGUUAAGAUCGUAGUGGAUAAAGACGUAUGCUUCCUCUUCUAACGGGCCUUCAUCCCCGGAUGAGAGUAGGAAACAGUUAUACGAUGAAUCGUCAGUUUCAUUGUCGAAAUAACGCUGGAAGUCCUUAAGAUUGUAUUCUAGGGCCGGGAAGUCUUCAGGGUUGUACUCUAAGGGGUGGUAGCCUUCAAAGCUGUAUUCUUGGGAAUGCUCAAAGCUUUGGUGCGGUGGCUCGUCGGCAGAUGCUGCAUUGAUUUGCUUAGGCUUUCUUUUCUUGGCUUCUGAUCCAGACCUUUUGAGUAAGACCCUUCGUUUUGCCAGCUCAAUUCUGUCAAGGGAAGUGAGAGACAUUGGAGUUUCACUAUCUGAUUCACUUCCCAGGUUGAUAGGGGUCGGUAUUCUUUGGAUCCUAUCUCUUGGAGUAAGCUUGGGGAGUUGUCCUGUCGUGCCCCACUCUUGAACAGGCUCUGUGUCUUUGAUCUCAUACAAAGGCUCCUUGCCUUUCCUAGUGGGAAAUUUUCCAGCAACAAGAUGUUGCUCAGCUGCCCAUUUAUCAUGCAAGGCUUGAUUGACAUGCUCUUUUCCUAUCUCAGCGACUAAUGGCUCCUCGUGCUCCGUGAUCAUCGGCUCUUUGUAGGGCAAAGUGAUGUCAGGGGUGAUGUCAAUAUUAUACUCUUGGUGAAAAACAUGAAUUAUUUCCUUCCAGAUUUUAAGGAGACUAAUCUUCCUAACAAUGUACCAUCGCAAGGCAGGGCCAAUCAAGCUCGAUUGGUACGAUUGAAUCAUCCUUCGAGCCAGGUAGGCCUGCAAGUAGGUCUUUGGGCGAGAGGUAUCAGCAUACAUUUCGCAUUCAAGUGCUUUUAGUUUUUCAGGGAUCUCAAUGCCGGUGUAAUUGGACAUGUCCAUGGGAUUUUGCUCCCGUAGCUGGCUUAACUUUUUCUAUGAUCUUUUCAAACUGUCUAUGGCAUUGGCUAUUUUCUAGCAAAUAUGUGGGUGUCAUGAUGGUGUUUAAGGCAACUGCAAAGUUGGGCUCAGCUUGAGUAGAUUUCAUUUGUCUUAAGAGUUGUUGAAGGACAAUGGACAUCUGUCCUACGCCGUCUUCAAUGUUAAUGAGGCGAUUUUGUACAUCAUUCUGAUCGAGCCCUAGUGCAUGAGGCCAUUCGCGAGCUAUUGGUGGCCGACGAUUCAUAAUUACCCUGUUCGUUGCGAAAACAAUGAAUGAGCAUGGAAAUAAACAGAGAUUGACCCAUGGUAAUGGUCUAACUGCUUUUUUAUUUAUCAAAAGAUGAUUUUAUAGACCGCAGACUUCCGACAUCUAGAGCUUGAAAUUGAAAAGACAAAAUGAAAUACUAGACAUUAAACAAGAGUCCCUAAACAAUGGGACAAAACUUUCACAAGAUUAACACUAAGGGGCACAUGAUUGCCAAUUUAUAUGCGACGAGGAGCCUUGUUCUUGCGAGGAUGCCUACUUCCUUGGGCUGGCUCUGAGGUGUGCAUCCAGUCCAUUCCCAAAUCCCUCUCCAUAAGCUCUGCUUGCUCGUGCGGGCUGCUCUCUCUGAUUGAGCGAGGGACCGAUGGCUUCCACCUUGUCGGGAUACAAUGGUUGUGGAUGUAGGACAUGGAGGCGUGGUGGGCUUUUUCUUCUCCCUCAAGCCUUUCAGGUACCACGAUCCUUUUGCGAUGGCACUUGUCCCAGGUUUCCUCAGCAAUAGAAAUUUCGAUUGCGUAGUCACGGCUGGUGUUGAAAAGAACUGGAGGGAUCAUCCUCUUGAAAGGCGGUGAGAUUUCCUGAAGAGCUCCAUAUUGUCGUGCCACCCGAUAUGGGUAAUAGGGAAUGGCGCUGGUGAGGUCGAGCAACGGAAUUGGGCGAGUGCGUUUGAAAGCAAAGCGGGCCCGCUUUUCAUGGAACCAACCAGCACACCAUUGGAAUGCCUCAGGAGCUGGGUUUCUUAGGAAAUCAACCCAAUUUAAAUAGCUUUGAUUGGGAAUAUACGGUCCUAAAACCAUAAAUUUUUGUAACGGAUUUUCAAAAGCAUUUGUUUCAGACGAUCGCAUGAAGUCUCGAAAUUCGCUUAGGUGAGAAAAGAACCAUACUUGUAAAAUUUCAGGAGAGGCUCGCAUGAUUUUCUCCGUGUUGUUUUUAAAACGAUUAAAAGACAAGAAUGUUUCAGUUAAAAUCAUGUUGACAUAAUUCCCCCCUCUCAAGAUUUGAUCAACUAUCCAUGCCAUCUUAGGACUUAUGGCAUUUCUUUGAUGGGGGAAAACGAUGAGCCCGAAAAAGGCUAGGAGGAAAAUCUCACUUUUUUGGGUCAUAGGCUGGUUUUGAAAACAUGCAUUCACGAAUUCUAGAGGGCAUGUAUUAUGGUUGUUUUCAAGAAUUUGUCUCAUGACAUGGAUUUCAGUUCCUAAAAGUCGCGCCAACCCGCACCACGGGAGGGCGCCUGUCGAUGGUUUGAUGAGCUUUUUCUCAAGAGGCAUUCCAAUGAUGAUGUUGUAUUCUUCCAGGGUUGGGGUUAGCUCAAACCUACCAAACAUAAAAGUAAUUGUCUUCGGGCACCAAAAAUGUGCCAUGGCUUGUAUGACUUCAGGGCGAACAGUGAUUUGGAUCAACGAUAGGAGAUGACCGACCUUGGCCUUCACACGCUCUUGGGCAAACUGAUCUAAUUGACCCCACCAUCUGAAGAGCUCCGCCUUGGGAGUAUGAAUGAACUUGAUAUCGUCUUUCCCCAUCACAUAUAAACUGGGACUUGAAAAGCUUAUCCUAAAUUGCCAUGGGCCAAAUAAAAAAACUAAGUAAAAGUAAAGAAAUUACUUUUGCUUUUUAAAGAAAAAUGGCAAGCACAAAGACAUGCGCAUGGGACGUGCGGCUCAAUUUCUAACUGAGAAGGAUUUGUGAGAUUAAAAGGAUAUUCGUCCGUCGCAGUCUCGCGUUAGCAGCAUACCCCCCUAACCUCGGCUAAGAAAUUCGGGGAAAAGAAAGGCAACCUCUACAUCGCAAUCUCGCGUUCGAGGUCGUAUCUUUCUUAACACCAUCCUAGAAAUCCUAUGGCGGCCCAUGUCCGGCGGUCGGGUUGUGUGUGCCAUGUGUAGUGUUUAAAACAGUAAAGCAUGCACAAGAGUUUAUAAUCACAAGAUAAUCUAUUCUAAGCAAAAUUAAAAUAAAUUUCUAAGCUUUUGACCUGCAUAAAGAAAAAAACCUAAGUCAGUCAAGAAUUUAAACAAGACAAAAAUGGCCUAAGUCUUCAAAUUCCCCAGUGGAGUAGCCAAGUUGUCGCGACCUCUUUUUUUCCGGCGCCCGCGAUCGGGUACAAGCGCCUAAUGAGGCUAAUGGCUCAACUAAAAUUAUUAAGCCCGGACUCUCCCAAGUCCACCAAUUCACGACUUAAUGAUUCAAGUUUUUAACCUGUAAAUCAGUUUUUAAAAUGGAGUCGCCACUAAUCAAUUUGGGGUGGGUUGAUUAGAAACCCAAGCGAAGUAUUGGGAGAAAUACUCACUCUUGCGUAACCAGAGAAAUUAGGAUCGGGGACUUGAUUACACUAGUUAAUCAAUAAUGCCCUUUCGGUACCUAAUCUUGUUUAAACCUUGAAGUUUUUUGGAUGCUCGAGGGAUUUUCCAUGCAUUUUUGGGAGGAAAAACAUUUUUUUUUUUUAGUCUUUUUCUAAUUUUUUGGACAUAAAAGGGAUUUUUCGGAUUUUUUGGUAUUUUUUGGAAAAAUACAAGUCUUUUUGGCUUUUUCUGAUUUUUUUUUUUGUGGCUUUUUCAUGAAUUUUUGGCUUUUUUUGGAUUUUUGGCAUUUUUGGAAAAUAUGGAAUGUUUUUGAUUUUUUUUAUUUUUCGGAAAAUAAAAUAUUUUUUAAUAUUUUUCAAAAUAUUUUUGGAAAAUAAAUUAUUUUUUAUUUUUCUCGAUUUUUUAGAAAAUAAAACAUUUUUCAACAUUUUUUUAAUAUUUUUUCGAUUUCUGGAAAUUAAAACAUUUUUGAUUUUUUUUUAAAAAAUAAAUUAUUGAUUUAUUAUUUAUUAGAAUAUUAUUUUAUAUUAAAAUAAUAAAACAAAAUAAAACCGACCCGGGUCAGAUCGGCGGGUUGGGUCCGACCCGGGCCAACCCGAAACGCAGACGGGCCCGCUACGUGGGACCGAUUUCUUUUUAUUUUUUAUAAAGAAAACGACGCCGUGGCCGGGCGUUUAGGGACGCCCGGCCCGGCCCGACAACCCAGCUCCGAGACCCGACUCCCCACGAAACCCUACCCGGGUCCGACCCGACCUCGCGACUUGGCUUCCCGUCGCCCCGGAAUCUCGCGAAACCCUGCCCGGUUCCGAGACCCGAAUCCAAUUCGACGACCCGGAAAAUCGCAAACCCUAGGGUUUGCGAAUCCGCGGCGCCGAAAGGGGGGGGGGAACUGAGGUGUUUGGCGGUUUCGACGAAGGCGACAAUGGUGACGGCGGCGACGGCUAGGUCAACGGAAAAUGGCUACGAUGAACGACGACGCCUUUUUUACCUUCUCUCGAACGGGGACGGCAACGGCAGGAGGGCGGUUCGCGACGGUGGAGGCCGCGGCGAACAACGACGGUGACGGCAAGGCCUAGGUUAGGUCAGAUCUGGCCGGGGCUCUCUCUCUCUCCCUCGGGCUCGCCCUUUGAGCUCCCCGAAGUCUCUCGGGGACCCCUCCGAGCUCACCACGCCACGGCCGACCCUGCACUCGAGCUCCCCGAAGUCUCUCAGGGGACCUCGAGCUUCGACCGGCCUUUCUCUCCCUCGGAUCUCUCCUCUCUGCCUCCCCCUCCUCGUCGACGGUGGCCCCCCUCUAUUUAUAGGCGCGGGGGCGGCCGGUCGGCGAGGCUUCCCAUCCGCCAUCAUCUCCUCCUCCGGUCACGUCCCGUCAACGCCAACUGCUCCCCUGCUCCAUGUGCAACCACCGUCCGUCCACUCCCUUCCCCUCCGUUGCGCCCUCUGUGCGUGCGCUACAGAGGCGAGGAAGAAGAAGACGCGGAGGGGCCGGGCUGGGCGGAAAUGGGCCGAGGGCCCAUGGAGGGGCUGCUCCUCUUUCUUUUUGUUUUUCUUUUGCUUUGUUUUGCUGUUUUUUUUAUUACUUUAUUUAUUUAUUUUUAUUUCUAUAUUAUUUACCCGAAAAGAAAAAAUAAAAAGAAUUAAUUAAUUAAUACAAUAAACCUAAAUAAAAUUAAGGCGUCAACACCCCUCAAGGUCGUAGAGCAUCAGCUCCUCUCCCGAGUUUCCACCCCCCAUGGCCGAGUUCUCCGGUAUAGUCGAGAAACUGCCAUGGUGGCCGUCACCAACGCAGUCCCCGGACACACUUGGGAAGUUGUCCGGAUUACAUCCACGCCCCUCAAGAUGGGAGCAGGUGGGGGUGGAGUCCACUCCCAAACCUCCACCGCCGGCGGCCGACUUCUCUGGCGAAGUCAAGAAAGGGUCGCCGUCGCCAUCGCCCAAAUUUUCAGAAUCACAACCAAACCCGUCUCCAGAAUCGCCACCAGAAACGAUCACGACGAACGAACCCUUCUCCAGACCUUCCAACUUCUCGCGCACGAGAUCACGGACGGCGUCGUACUUCGCGAUCAGGGACUCCACGUCCUCCUCCGUCGCGCAAGAAUCCCACUCCUUCUCAAUCCACUCCGCCCACUCGGUCAAACCCAUCGGCGGCACCACGGCGACGUGGUCGGCAAUUACGUCAUCUUCCACGGAGGGGUCGCUGAAGAAAGAAACAGGGCUUGCCGGCGGGGGAGAAGACGACGACGGCGGCGCGAGCGCCGCAGAGGCGGCAGAGAUCGGAGGCCUUCUUGAAGAGGCCCUUGCGCCUCUUCGAGUAAGUCACGAGCCGCGCCGCCGGGUCGGCGAUCUUGGCGAUCUUGGCGAUCUCCGUUCGCCGGCGCUUACCCAUUACCGAUGGAUUUCGCGAAAAUUCUUCAACGAAUUGCGGGAUUCUUGGGUUUCCGAGAGAGAGCUUUCGUGGGUUUUUCUGGGUUUCUUGUAGAGAGAGAGAAAGAGAGAGAGAGAGAGAGAGAGAGAGAGAAGAGAAGAGGAGAGAGAGGAAGUUUGAAGUUGCAGAGGAGGCGGGCGGGGGAAAGGAGCCGAACGGGAAGAUCUACUUAUAUUAGCCAUCGUGGGGCCCUUUUGAGAACUUUCUGAAUUCUGAUUUUCGGUCCUCCAAAUUUCUGUAUAUUUUCAAAUUGGCCCCGUCAAUAGUUUAUUUGUGUCGAUUAAGUACUCUUAAGUUUUCAUAAUUUGUGUAAUUAGUGAUUUUUCCAGUGGAUUGCUUUUACCAUUGACACGGUGUGAUAAUAAAUUGAAUUAGAUAAAGGAAGAUGUCCUCUUUAUAGUAUAAAUUUUAAUUUUUAAAUUAGAUAAGUAAAGAAGUCGCUUUAAAUUAUGAAAUUUAAUUUAACAUGAGAUAAGGUAAAAAAAAAAGGAAAAGAAAUACAUUGAGAGGUUAUAUGAGUGAAUCUCGCCGCGAUGAAUUUUUCAUUGAAGUUCUUUAAAACAUAUUUUUUCCAUUUGAUAACAUUUAUUCUAUAGUUUUUUUUCUUUUUUCUCUCUUCGAAUACUUGAAAACAGAAAAAAAAAUGGAUAAAAUAUAAAGAAGCUAUAUUGUAAGUAAUUUCUUAAGUUGCAACAUUUGAUUAAAGAUUUUUUUUUUUUAAGAUAAGGACACUUUAACUGAAAAUAUAAUAGCCGAUUGGAAUAUUUGCUCAAAUGUAUAGACUAUAACAAUGCGUAAUACUAUAUUUUUCCUCCUCCCAUGGAUCAAUAUGCAAUGUUAGGCAUCAUCAUGCAAUAAACAAAGUAGACAAAGCCACCUAAAUCUCUAAAUAUCAUGUAAAAUUAAAUUCAUAUUAAAAACAUAAAAAGAAAUAACGGCUUCAUCUGAUUGGAAUAAAAAAAAAAUUACAUUAUACAGUUACAUUACAAUCCAACAAAAAUAAUUGACACCAAAUAAUUAUGUGUAUCGUGUAAGUGCUAUAUUUUGACCAAAUUUUGCAGUAAAUUGGCCCAUGACUCUCUCUGCAUAUUCAGCCAAUCUUGUGGCUUCUACGUACAAUGACCUCCCCAAAAGUCAUUCGAACAGAUCUUUCCUUUUUAUUUCCUUGAUAUUUUUGUGGUGAAGGAACAAAGGUCUUUGAUAGCUAAGGCCUGCAUCUCAUAUGAAAAGUCUCUCUUUUCCUUUAAAAAGAGAGGAGUUAAGGCAAUGGGAUUCCGCCUAUUUUCUAUUCUUCCUAGAGCUUCUGAGCUGUAUAGGAGGACACUUAAUUUCAAUUUGAAUGCAAAGAGUCUUAUUUAAAAAAAAAAAAAUCUGCAACGAUAUCUUUGGAGUUUCGUUUUAAUAAAAAAAAAGUUUAGUGGAGUUUAAUUAAAGUUAAAGCUAUCGGAGAACAAAUUUAAUCUCCGUUGGUCUCGAAUCAAUGAAUUUGAUACUUCUCGAGAGUCUUGUUUGACUCAUUGAGUCAAUCGCGAUUAAUUGCUUCAAUUUUAAAUUUUCCUUUUGUCAGAUUUGGAUGAUCGUAUGAAAAGAUUUAAGAGCUUAUGAAUUUUGGAACCGAACAGUUUACACCUUUGGAUCUUGCAGGAUUUUAUUUUACCUCCUUGGCUGCCCCGCCAUGUGUUUAUUAAAUGUGCUCCUUAUCAAAUACAAAUAGGUUCAUUUAGUCCACAUCGUACCCAUCGAAAUCUGCACGUCUUAGUGGUGUUGGAGCAUUCGCAUCGAUCGUGCACUCCCUGGCAACUUUGAGGAGGUCAGCUCGUCAAUCACGUGGAAUGACCAUGGCCAUGGGCAUGGGUUAGGGUUUUGGAGGUGUGUGAGCAAGAGCAGUGACAACGAGGGGAAAAUCAAGGAUUUGGAGCAAAGGAAGAAACGUGCGAAAAGGUCAAGGAACGAUGGGGAAGGAGUUGUCGUGGGGUUUAAACGAAGUUUACCUAGAAAAGAAACUAAAUAAAAGGAAAGAUAAAAUUCUAAACCUGGCCAUGUUGAAUACUCUCGUCUCUUCAUCUAAAUAAAGAGAGACCCAUCAUAUGCUUUCUUCUCCCGAAAAGGAGUAAGACCAAAUGUGAAAUGCUAAAAUCAAGGUGGACGAAUGUGAGUCUCAAGCGCGAAGCGAAAAAGGAUAAAAAGCAAAGCAAUAAUUUGUAUUCCAUCCAACUUUUCCUUUGAAGUUUAAAGUGUAGCUUGUUUCUUUUGCAAGAAAAACCGCGAAGUGAAUUAUCUCACUUCUCGGAUCCUAAAAGUUGCUAAGUUCAGUUUUUUUUCAAAAGCUUAAACUUUGACUCUAAAAUUGCAAAGUUCAGAUUUUUAAGUUCGUCGCUGUCCAAGCAAGACGCCAAUUCAUCUCGUAACAUACUUUGAUGGGACAUAUUUUUUGGUUACCAUAUAAGUUUGGGAUUUUGAUGAUAAAAGUACAAUUUGGAUAAUUGGUAAUAUGGUAAAUAUAAAGGUUAAGAUUUUUUAUGGAAUCGCGCACUCAAUGUUGUCGAAUUUGCUGCCUACCCAUUGCCAUCACUAGCCCUCAACUUCAUCCAUCGAAUAGCUUAUAUAUUACUUUUAGCCCAUGGUAAACAUUUUUAUGGAUCGAAUAGCUUUACGUGAUUCAAACAUUGGAAAUUACAGAAACCAAUUUCCCAAAUAUGAUUUUUUUUUCAUCAAACUAAGAAGGAAGAUCAUGAGGGGCAAUUCCAUUUUUUUUUUCAUUUUUUGAGAAAAGUACUACCCUCCGGAACAAAAUUGUAUGAGUGUCUGCACGACAACAUUGUUGAUGAAUCCAAACCAAAAAAAGAAGACGUUGAUAAAUGUCAGAUUUGUUUCCAAUAGACCAUAUAAUUGAUGCCAAUAAAUAGAUCCAAAGUGAACAAUCAUAUCCCUUCAUAUAAUUGAUGCCAAACUCAUUGAUUUUCCAAGACUUGGACAUAGUAUUGAUGAAAAGAAUCUUUAAUACCACCGCCCUAAAAAUAGAAGCACUCCCAACAAGUAAACCGAGUGAUUGAAUCCCAUUAUCUAAUGAAAUUAACUCAAUGAUGUAAGUUUAACAAUUACUCUCUACGGCGAUUACAAUAGCAAUGUUGUAACUUUGAGUGCCACAGUGAGAUAUCUCAUGAUGCAGAAAAGGAAUCAUAUCUAGUCGUGCAAAGAGGUGGCAGCAUGACCACAACAUCGGUAAUAAUUGGGGUACUGAUACAUCAAUGAGGUCUACCCUUACCAGGGCCUUACUAAACUUUUUUUUUCCUUUUUACGGAUAAAGUAUGAAUUAGAUAAUAAAUCUCUCAAUAAUAAAUAGAUAAUAGGAAAUACGAUUCUCCAAUUUCCUUUUGAAUUCACAUAUGGCAUUUUUGUGUUAAUUUUUUUUUUCAUUUACUAAUUCAAUUCUACUACCUUUUUAUAUUAUCGCAGAAGUUUUAUUACAUAAUUUAUUUUACCGUUGUAUCAUUUACAUGAAGAUUCAAAAUACGAUCUAACUAAAUGGAAUAAAUCAAAUCUCACUAAAUCCAAAUGUUAAACAGAAAAUGGAAUAACCAGAUUAGAAUCUGACUUGACAUUCUAGAAAAACAGGAAUUCUUUCUAAUAAUUUUUUAACUACUAACUAAAACAUGUAAUGUAUUUCUAGCUGAUAUCUCCUUCUGUUUUCCUUUCUUGCCGACUAGCUCUAUACGUAAGGACCGGGUCGUGAUGGUCUGAAUGCUUCGCCGGGGAGUCUCGACUAAAAGCAGCCUCCCUUCGGCCGGGAUUCUCUUGCUUUUAAUCUUUUGCUUUUCACGCUAAAUCUUUGCUGAAGGUAUGGUCUUCAUCAUGAGGGUUUGCUGCAAUUUCUCCGCUGCCGUGUCCUUCUUGACCACGUUCUUCUCCUCAUCAGAGCAAUCCACGGAAGCCCUCCGAGAAUUCCACUUACGCUCUUCUUUUAUUUUUAGUCUUUUUUUAAACUUUAUCUGCUUUCGGUUACGCAUGGCCCGGCCAUGUCCCCUUGUCCUUAUCUUGGUGUUCAGUUAGUCAACACGUUUCCACCGUAUCGUGUCCCACCAGAUUUUGCUCUCCAUUUUUGCAGAAUUUCAGCUCUUCCUUCCUGUUCCUUCGUGUGUUUUCACACUGCUGUUUCCCUUCCUUCGCACUCGCAUGAAUGCCGUAUCGAAAGUGGCCUCAAGUCAACCAUUUCGGUUCACAAAAAUUUGCAAUUUUAUUGGAAAGGGUCUGCAAUUUUAAACGCAAAAGAAUGCAGCGGAGAUCAAGAAUGCAGGAUUACAAAUGUUUUUUUUUUUUUCAAAAAGGGAUCAAAUUAUCAAUGAAUUUUUUUUUUUUUGGGUAACUGAGGAUUUGCCGGGCUCGCUAGGUAGCCCACAACUUGUAGAGUGCAUGGUGCACCCCGGACCAAGCAUCAAUACUUCGAAAGGCUGAUAUAGUAAUUCUCUCCUGAAAUCUCCACUUAAAUCAUGUUAGUAACGGGAGGGCUCGAACUCUCGACCUUAGCGAUGGAGGAAAAAAUGCAAACUAACUAAGUUGCCUAUAGAUGGGUAAUUAUCAAUGAAUUUGAUUGCUAAAUUUUAUGAGAAUGUGGAUAGGACCUUUAGGCGAAAAUCUGUGUCAACAAUAAUUUCCCUCAAAAGUUAAUCAAUGAAGACCGAAAUAUCAUUGAAUUAGAAAGGCAGAGUCAAAGUCUACAAAGACUUGGACUACCAACCGUCCAUGUGAACCAACUUUGUUCCGAGAAGGAUUCACACCAUGAAGGAGCCAAGUCUCCGAAGACUUGGAUGACCAAAGGCACACGCUAAAGCAUUGGCGGGCCUUCAUUUCCACAUUAGGAUUGACCCAUCUUCUUUUUCUUUGCUUUUAUUGCUUUAUUUAUUUAUAUUGUCACUACGCUCUUUUGACGAUAUUUUCCUUGCAUUUCGCCGUGAAUGACGGUCGUGGUCCCCAGUGGGUUAAUUACCUUGAAUAGUUGAUUGAUAGGCGGCCAUCCUUUGAUCAAUAAUUCUUUUUUUUUUUUUUUUUUUGCACAGCAGCACUACUCUUCGAGUAUAGAGAUGAGUUGGGGCUUCUAUAAGAGGGCAAGAGCCUCAACCCCGAACGCAGAGGGCGCCGUUACUGCUCGCACCACUCCGUCCACCAACCUCCCCGCGGAAUCACGACAGACACAAGUGAUCGAGCCUCCAAGUGAUCAAGCCUCCAGUAGCUCCAGGUUCGUAGGCACCGUCUAUGUUUAUCUUUAGUGUUCCAGCUUGCGGUGGGUUCUAAAAUCGUGAUGGUCCGUGGCUGGUCUAACUAGAUUCGCUCGAUUUUGGGUUCCAUCUGUUGAAACUCUUCAACUAAAGCAAACUCCACAAGGUUGCUUGGAUCUGGUUUUCAAUUCUUCAAGAAUGCCUGGUUUCUUGACUUCCAAAUAUUCCACAGUACUGUAGUAAUCGUCUAAUUGGAGACUUGGCUUCUUGCAUCCUGAUCUUGAUCUUGGUAAUCCACUAUUUGGUUUGAGGAUGAAAAAACUAUUUUUUUAUAGCUUUCUAACAAUUGCCCAGGUUCACAAGUUAUCGAUUAAUUUUUACUUACCAGUGAUACAAGUUAAUAAUUGGUUCUUUAAAUCUAGCAUGCAUGAAACAAAACUCCAUUUUUGGUUUACGGAAUUUUAGAAACGUGUAAGAUUAUGAACUACAACUAUCUCAUCACAUGAAUAGCUCUAAUUAAUUUUUUGAUCCAUUCUAGAGAGAGUGGUGGUCAUUUUUGCAGAAAUGACAUUAAAGAAAAACAAUUUAUAUUGUAGAAAUUUGAGAAGUGUGGCACUUUUCUUUUUUAAAAAGGAUGCUCUGCAUCGUGUUAUGUCAAAUGACAACAUGCUCACGCUUUCCCUUUGAGAUAUAAAACUCCUAGGAAAUAAUUUAUGUUCUCAAGAUUUGAGAAGAGUGAGCUAUUUUUUUUUUUUUAAAUGAAAACUUUGCACUGUGCUAUGUCAACGUUCUCCCCAGGAGAUUUAAUCUCCUUAAGGUGUUAAAACGCCCCUCGAGAUUUAAUACUCAUAUAUUUACAUGUGUUGUCAACUUUGAUAGGCUGGAGUGGUGCUGCAAUGAAUCAUUCUUAUUGAACAAUUGUUGCACACUAGCCCAUGACUCUGCAUAUUUAGCUAAUCUCGAAUACUACAUUUAAUGACCUACAGAGAUCUCCAUUAUUUCUCAGUCAAGCUUCUAAACAUUUUCCAUCUUUGGCUGCCACUACUUUUGCUAAUAUGUUGUUCGGUAUUUCUUGAAGAUCAGAUCGAGUAAAUCAAUGGAGGGGAGCGUAGAAACACAACAUACCUAUAAAAAUGAUGGAAUAGUAGGGAGCGCUUCUUUUACUCACACUGUGAUAGAAGGUCAAGGAAUGGUUAAUUCAUCAAGAAAUGCAUAUGAAGUAUUCUUGAGCUUCAGAGGAGAGGAUACUCGAACUGGUUUUACCAGCUUCCUUUACACUAGUAUGAUAGAUUCAGGAAUCCGCGUUUAUAAGGAUGACAAAGAGCUCUGCGAGGGGGAAGAAUUUGGCCUGGAACUUCUCCAAGCAAUUAAUCAAUCGGAGAUCUCAAUACCCAUAUUUUCAAAAGGUUAUGCCUCUAGCGUAUGGUGUCUUAAGGAGCUAGUCCAAAUGGUUAAGUGCCAAAAAACUAGGGGACAAAAGAUCAUGCCCAUCUUUUAUGAUGUGGCACCUUCAGAAGUUCGACACCAAACUGGGGGUUAUGGAGAGGCGUUUCUUUCACAUGAAAAGAAGAAUCGAUAUGACGAAGAGACUAUGCGUCAGUGGAAGACUGCUCUGAGUGCAGUUGCGGCAAUAAAAGGGUGGGAUCUACACAACAAAACCAACAGGUGACUACCUCUAACAUUCCAUUUGAUGUGACUUGCACCAUUAAAACCUUUAAUGUGGUUCAAUUGGUUUCUUUUCUAGAUUUGUGUUAGCCUUGUUGAAAUUGAAUUUUAUGCUAUUGAAAUUAUACUGCAGAAAUCACACGAAAUAGUGGUACAAUCCCAAUUUAUACAAUCCCAAUUUUGUCCUUUUUAAUUCCAAAUAACUUUUCUUUUUUCGGUUAAUGUCAUUCAUUAACCAUAUGUGCCAACGCUAAUUCAUUUACAAUGGAGUAAAUCCUUGUAGAAAGCAUUUCGAAUAGGUCUUUAGUUUUCACUUUGGUCUUGUGAGAACAUAGUUUGGUUUCAGUUUUCUAACUCAUUGCCACUUGACCUCCAACAAACACUAGGGAAGAAGGUGAGAUCACAAAAAUGGUUACCCAUAAGGUUUUCAAUGACUUGAAGAAGGCUUAUUUGACGGUAUCAAACAACUUGGUUGGUGUGGACCCCCAUGUGCAUAAAAUCAUGGAAAAUAUAGGUACUCACACAAGUGAAACGUGGAUUGUGGGAAUUCAUGGGAUGGGUGGCGUUGGAAAGACAACGAUUGCAAAAUUACUCUACAAUGAGCUUUCCAACAAGUACAAAAAUUGUUGCUUCCUUUCCAACAUCCGUGAAACAUCAAAGCUCAAGGGCAUUUAUUGCUUGCAGCAACAGCUCAUCUCUGAUAUCCUUAAGAUGGAACAGACAAAUAUAAGAAACAUUGAUGAAGGGAUUGAGAUCAUUGGAAAAAGGUUGUCUGAUAAAAAAGUCUUGCUUCUUCUCGAUGAUGUGGAAGAAAAGGAUCAUAUAAAUGCACUUGUCAGUAAGCGUGAUUGGUUUGGCAAAGGGAGCAAAAUUAUUGUUACUACAAGAAGGAAAGAUGUUCUCUGUGUUCUGGAAGUGGAUUGGGGGUAUGAGCUUACGUGCUUGGAUCCGAAUCUAUCUCUUCAACUUUUUAGCAAACAUGCCUUCAGAAGAGAUUUUCCUAAAGACGAGUAUAUCGACCAAUCCAAGAGGGCGGUACACAUUGCCGGAGGUCUUCCAUUAGCCCUCGAGGUCAUAGGCUCACUUUUAUCCAACAAAAAUAAAGAAAUGUGGGAUGCCACAUUGAAGAAGCUAGAAAGUAUUCCUGAUGAUGAAGUUCAGAGUAAGCUGAAAAUAAGUUAUGAUGCAUUAAAUAAUCGGCAGCAGCAUAUAUUCCUUGAUAUAGCUUGUCAAUUCAUUGGAUAUCACAAAGACACUGUGGUCUACUUUUGGGAUGCAUCCGAACUUUUUUCAGAAGUAGCCUUGGAAGUUUUGCAGAACAUGUCUUUGAUAAAAAUUGAAAUAGAUAAUACAUUGUGGAUGCAUGAUCAACUUAGAGACAUCGGAAGAGAAAUAGUUCGUCAAAAAAGUAAUAUGAAAAUUGAGAACCGAUGUCGUGUGUGGAAUCCCAAGGACGGAUUGGAAUUGCUGAAGAGACAUGAGGUAAAAGGCCUUAGCACAACAAAUCUCCAAGUUACUUAUGAAAAUUUUCUAUUUUAAAAAAAGGCAGUUACAUUUUGUGUUCUCUAGCACCAUCGCGACCUACUCAACCAAUAUUUUUGGUCUUUUAAGAUUUUAAAGGAGUGACAAUAGUCAACUCAACCCCUUAAAAUAGUGAACUUGAAGAAAUGUGUUUCCUUUCAACUUUUUUGUUUUAAAAUUUUUCCUUUGGGCAGGAAAAGAAAGAAGUUGAAGCUCUUUGUCUCAAGUUUGAUGAUCAGCACCGUUUUACCUAUAAGGACUUUAAGAGCCUGGCAAAUCUAACGUUCCUUGAAGUAGACGACUUGAAGGAAAAUUUUCGUGGAGAAAAGUUGCUUUUUUGUCUCGAAUGGCUAUCAAAUUGUCUUCCAAUUAAUAUUUUCCAGAGGAAUUCUGAUCUCCUUCCACGAUUACGAUGGCUUUCUUGGCAUAAUAUUCGCCCAACAUUUAAGAUUGCAAAUUUCUCCGUAGCGAAUUUGAUUAUCCUUGAUCUAUCUAGGAGUGAAAUCACUCAUGAUUGGAAGGGGUGGAGCCACAUGAAGGUAUGUUAUAUGCUAGAAAACACUUAUUCUUCCUUCUUAUCAUAUUCAAAAGUAAACUUUGCAUGAUUUUUCUUUCACAGGUGAUUAAGAGUUUGAAAGUUCUGAAUCUGGCCCAUUGCCGACGCUUGAAGAGAACCCCCAACUUCUCAGCUCAUUCAAAUUUGGAACAUUUGAUCCUAUCAUGGUGUAAAUCAUUAAUCGAAAUUGAUAGAUCGAUUUCCCAGUUGAAACACUUGGUUUUCUUAGAUGUAAGCUAUUGUGAGAGUCUUCAGAGGCUGCCGGAUGAGUUGGGUAGAGAUCUGGUUUUCUUAGAUGUAAGCUAUUGUGAGAGUCUUCAGAGGCUGCCGGAUGAGUUGGGUAGAGAUCUGGUUUUCUUAGAUGUAAGCUAUUGUGAGAGUCUUCAGAGGCUGCCGGAUGAGUUGGGUAGAGAUCUUGCAAGCCUCAAAUACCUAUCUCUAAUUGGAUGCUCGAGUUUGAAGAGGCUUCCGGAGACAAUCGGGAAUUUGGAAUCGCUGAUUGAGUUGAACAUAGGUGGCCUUACAACGACAAUCGAAGAACUACCCGAUUCCAUCAAAAAGUUGAAGAAUUUGAAAAUAGUGAAUAUGCGGUAUGGUGACAUAGGCAAAAUACACGAUACCUUUUGGACGAUAGAGAAGCUUGAAGAAAUAAUAAUCAUCCACGAGGAUUAUCAUUACGGGGGUUUACACGUGAAAAUUGGUGAUUGCAUCUAUGAGAAUAAAUCCUUGAGGAUCUUGAGAUUGGAAGGGGUGAGAAUACACGCCCUACCAAGGCUUCCCGAAAGUCUCAUCGAAUUAGAAGUGCGGGAGUUGAGGGUGGUUCCAGAUCUCUCAAAUCUCGCUAACUUAAAGGAAUUGGAACUGAGCUUUGGCCCACCUAAUUCUGAUGGGAAAUCUGAUGGGCUUCUGGAAGAACUGACACCACGGUGGAUUGGGAACUUAACCAAAUUGAAGUCUCUGACACUCUGGUAUUUCAGGGGGAGCACCUCAUCGACAGACCUGAGCCUCCCUCCUCAUCCGCGUCACCUCACGGGGCUUCCUUCAAAUUUAUCCUCCUUACAACUCCGUAGUUGCGACUCACUUUGCUCGAUGGAUCUAUCGAAUUUGAGGAAACUAUCGUCUCUCGUGAUUCGGAACUGUGCGGUUGCAGAGAUUGAAGGCCUUGGUUGUUUGGAGGACCUACGAGAUUUGCAACUUCACAACAUCAUAGAGCUGGCGAUGCUACCUGAUCUAAGCAAGCUAAACAAGCUAAGGGAUAUUACAGUGCGGGGGUGCGGUAAUCUGGUUGAAAUUCAAGGCGAACUACCGCGGUUUUUGGAUAGACUUUCAAUUGAGCACUGCAAUUCGUUACGGGAGUUCCCCGAUCUGUUCAGCUUACCCGAUCUGUUCAGUUUAAUGGGUAAGACACAUAUUUUUAUGCAUAUCAAUCUCAGUCAGAUGUUUUUAUAUGGAGGUAGAGAUGAGUUGCUGGUUCGUGGCUUUAAACAGAUGCAGAUCCCUGAUCUAAGCGAUUUGGACGGAAUAACAAUUCUUACAGUAGAAUCUUGUCAUAAUCUGGUUGAGAUUCAAGGCGAACUACCCCAAUCUUUGGAAGAAUUGUGGAUUGAAUGUUGUGAAUCUUUACAGAAGUUGCCUGAUCUAUCAAGCUUGAAGGGACUGCGAGAGGUUACAAUAUUACGUUGUGGGAAAUUAGCGGUGGAGGAAAUUUCUCGGCUUUGCUUGGAGAAGUCAAUCAAAUUUCUGAGAGAAGACGAUGAAGAAGACAAUUUACCGGAUUGGGCAACAAUAGAAAGAUAUGAAAGAAGACGAGGGGCAAGACAAUUUGCCAGAAUUCAUUCCCGUUGAGGUAAGUACCAAUGUUUUCCUUUUUGGGCAAUCAAAUUCUUUCACAGAUAUGAACAGAGAAAUUUUGCAUGCACUUUUUAAUGACCUUUUAGCGGAUUCUUGUCUGAAAAUCUGAUGAAGGUAUUUAAAUUAUGAUGCCUCCGAACAGCCAAAGGGCUCUUAAUUAUGUACAAGUAUUUGUGUUAUUUUCCUAGUUUGGUUUGGCUUUUUUAGCUACAUUUUCUUAGGAUGGUUUCUCCUAGAGGUAUGCAUGUCGAUUGCAUCAUUUUUAUUUGAUAUGUAACAAAUUAUUGGAGAUCGUUGUUGAUUUGCUGCUUCACGCAUAUUUUGAAAUUGAUAACCUCACUUCGCAUGGGAGAUAAAUUCGCUAUGCUGUAAACAAAUAGAUGGAAUGUGUGUUGGAAGGUCAUACAACUAUGGUUCUCAUCCUGGGACUUUACAACACAAUCAACUCACUGUUGCGACUUUGACGUAAACAGACACUCUGUAUUGCCAUGCUUAAGUUCAGUUUAUUUUGCAGGAAAGGUGUGCUUCUUAGUGGGAUUUGCAAAUGUUAUGGAGAAGUCAUAAAUGAGGGAGCCACCGCAAUUCUGAGAUUACUGGUGUGGUAGCACUGGCUAAAGCAGCAGCACCAUAAUAUUUAUCUCAGCAAUGAUGCCUUCAAUCAUAGGAAUCUUUGACGGGCACACUGACAAAAAUCAUUCUGUGCAGCAAACAUCGCCUACAGGAGUAAUUGAGAGAAUGCAGCAUUCGCUGUACCAGUAAAGAAGGAGCACCCUUUUGCUGAGACUUGAGAAUUGCACUCACUUACAAAAGAUUGGUAAGAAAAAGAGAACACCUUCCCUUGGGGCUGCCUUCAGUAUUAGAACUGUGCAUUCUGAAGCAAUAUUGGCAUUGUUUUUGUCAUGAGAUCCACUCAAUUCUAGUAAAACACUGGCACUGCCACCAAAAUUGGUAAUGCGUCAUAUGCUGCUCGCCACCUCAGAAGAACUUUCAUCAAGUAGUGGUGGCUCUUCCAUGUACUUGAAAACUUUCGUAGAACCUGGUGAUCAUAAAAGAAGAGCUUUGCACAAGCCAAGCAUCAAUUUGAGAAAAUCUUCCAAAUUCUUCCCAUGUACAAACUCCAAAAGAUUUCCAAUCCACAGUGCUACUUUUAGCUGAGAAAGCAACUUGGGAUCCAUAUCCUGAGCCAAUGCCAGAGCCACGUGCAGCUCAACAUCAUUCACAUUUGCACAGGACAGAUCGCCAAGUGAAAAUCUGAAGCAGUGGCUGACUGUCUUUAGGUGUGGAAUCUCAGAAAUUUUAGUCAAGUUGAACUUUAUGAGCAUCAGGGACAGCUUCUGCGCACACAUUGGUAUUGUGGUCCUCAUCCUCAAUCAAGGUUGGGUAAAGAGGGAGAAAUUGCACCAAGGACAUGGAUUUCAAGUUUGCCAGCUUAAGCUCUAACUCUGGAGUUUUGAUUAGGAAAAUGAACGUCGCAUCAAACUGAAUCUUGAGGCACAGAAGUCUGGCAUCACCAUCUUUGUUGCCCUUAUACAGAACAUCCAGACUCAGCAAAAUCCCACGGAUGAAUACGUGAGAGCUUUCAGCUCUGUGAUAGACUCAACGCCAGCAUUUUGAGCCGGCAAUGCAGGUUCUAGGAGCGGAUCAGUGUUGUGCUCUUGUUUUCUUUUUCAAUCUUGAACUGCUUUUGGAUCGUGUUUGUAAUUAGUGUGCUGAAUUAUGCUUCGUGUGAGUGUGAACCAUCUAAGUUUUGCCUGUCCAGUGUUUGGUGAUCAUGUGCAAUUUUGGUGUUUGACGAAAUGAGUUAUGUGCUUGAGUCUGCGUGUGCUAGAAUGUCACCUUCAAGAAGCACCUGAAGCUGAAGCUGAAGCACAAGGUCUAUUCUGACGGUUUCCUCUCACCCUGCACCUCCACUGGCAAGGUACCUUCGCUUUCACUACUAAUCUCUGCUAGUGAUGUCCAGCUCAACCUGGUCUGCAAUUUAGUUACCUUUGAUUAGGCUUGGACAUGAUUCGGUUUGAUUGGCUAAUCUGUGUCAAAAUUGCUGGCUAUCGAUUUAUUACCGUUUUCCCCCAUAUUUAGGUUGCUCGAUCGAACUGAACAGCAGCAGCUUGAUGCUGCUUACAAUUUCAUUUUUUCUAUCAUCACGGAUUGUUCUGUUCUGUGCUUCUGGUUGUAAUACUCGCCGUGAUUGAGCUUGUUUUGAGUAGAUUAGUCCAUGCUGUGAUUGAUGGUCGGAUAAUGCCAUAUCAUGACAGUGAGCAGCUGUUGGGAUGCAGGAUUUUGAAGAAUGAUAGAAGUUAUUUGUUCCGGUCAGUCACUGAUUUCAAUGCUUAUUUGGUUGAUGUUGGAGAGCCUGGAGGAGGACAAAAGCCUCUAGAUGAUACUUAUAUUCACAGCCUGAUUAUUGUUUGGUAAUUGGAUUUAUAAGUUCCCUCUGCCGAGGGUAUUCCUUGCUUGUCUUCUUCAUAGUUGUUUUGUUGGUUCAAAUCAUCAGUAGAUGCAAUGUGAUGAAUGUGAAGUUCUUGGGUUUGGUUUGUUAAAAGUCCAAAUGGGUAUAUUUUACUUAUUAUUUGUCUUGGAAAAAAGAGCAUUGCUUGCAUACAAAUACGCAUAGACCCUCCUUUGUGAUGCUUUGCUAGUUGCUCGUGUGGGAAAUUAAAUAUUUGUUCUUUUGCUUGCUUCAAACAGCUACUUGGGUACAGUUCAUGUGUUGAUUGAUUUAGAAUCUAGAUGUAAACAUUUGCAGUUGGUCUACUGUUGCUUUUGUUCAAUGCAACUGAUAUUUUGAAACUCCAUUUUUUUCGUUAAAGUUUUUCCUUUUGUUAACCUUACUUUCAAUUGAUGCAGAGCUUUGGUUGAGUUUCUGGAUAUGAGGUUCAGUAUAAUCCCCCCUAUGAAUUACGAGGUGUGUUUUCCUUUUAGCUACUUAAAUCCUUUCGCAUGGAAUCUACAGUUGUAUUGCCUACAUAACUUUUCAUUUUCUGCAGAUGCUCCUAAUUCCUCAAAAACCGAAAAAGAAACACUGGUUAUUUUAGAAGAAACUGGUCGCUUAUGAUGUUGCAACCUGCCGGAAAUGGGAACCAAAUUAAUACCGUCCCUAUACCCUACAUAUAUAGAUUCUACAUCCCAAAUAGCGCAGCUUGCUUUACAAUGCUUCCUAAUGACUCCUAACGAGCAGCCUUCGUGGACUAAAGUCAUGGAAGAACUGGAAUCAGUAGACACUGGAAUAGAAUGGGAUAGUUAAAUUCACUUAUUAUGUCAUUCUUACUUCAUGUGAUGUAAGUCAAAGUCUGUUGUUCCACACUUUUCCAUUUUUCCCGGGAAUAAUCCUGGGCUUUGAAUGUUCAUUUCUAUUGUACCCAGCAGUUACUAGGAGUUGUCUUCUCUUGUAAGUUCUUUGGAAUAUCCAUGACAUGUAUAUUAAUACAUGCACCGCUUUGUGAAUUGAGAUGUGAUUGUACUUAUGAUUAUGAGAGGAACAGUUCUUUAAGGCUAAUCCUCGAUCUUGUUGGCAAUCUGAGGUCCACAGAAGAAGUCCAUUGCUCUUCAAGAGUCCGAGCUCUUUAAUUUUCUUGCAUGCUUGGGCUUUGAACAUGAGCAAAAGCUCAUUUUGGUUGCCAUCACGAAUGUGUUUAUGUGGUGCUUGCUCUGCAAUCAAUCUCCGGGAAGUGCUAGGCGGUUCAUUCCAUUCUCAUAGUAUUUUUGAGCUAUGAGACAUGGUCAGGGAAAUUGAUGGAGUCAUGUAAGGCAAAGUGCUGCUCAGUUGUCCAUUCAGAAAGAGCAAGAUAUGACUUUGGGUGCUGUCAUGUUGCAGCUAAGACAUGUCUGAUUGUUUUGUGCUAAUAAGAGACAUUUCUUAUCAUAUGCUAGUUUUAGAUAAGACUUUCCAUACGACAUCAUAAAUGACUAAAUUUUAUUUUUAUAUUCUCAUUAACUUAGCCCAUUGGUUAUUGUACUUUCUUCACUGUUUGUAAAUCUGAGGGCCCUAUUAUUUUCGACACUUCUCAUGUAAUUUUUAUUUUUAUUUUUGAACUUGUUGAUAUCUCUUUUACAUCACUCUCAACGCAAAAAUAUAAAAGUUUCCAUCAUUUUGGUUUUUUUUAAACAAAUUUAAAAAAAAAAAAUUGAUUACACUAAAGAACUUUCCAAAUAUAUGUUUAUCAAAUAGUAUUUUCCCAAUGUUACUUCUCAAGUCAUUUUAAAUUGCAAAUUACCAAAUAGUGUUUGCAUUUCACAUAACUCUUUUAGGCUAAGGGCCUUUACAUUAGCCAAAGGCUUUCCCCAAAAGUCAAAGCAAACGCACCCAUAAAUGGGUACUUGAAAUUGAGCUUUAUGCAGACCUUUGUGCUUAAUUGUUGUUGCCCUGCUAUGUGACCCGCUGUUUCGUGUAAAUCAGCGAUAUAGUCGUCGUCAUCAUGGCUGAAGCGCUCUUGGAGAUCCGGCCUCAUGAAGUCAAGUUUAUCUGUGAGUGUAUAUAGUGCUGCGCGUUUGGUUCAUUUUUAUUUUGGAGCUACAUUCAAUUUGCGUUGCUUGCCUCCUGCUUUACUAGGCAAUUAGUGAAGGGGAUGAUAUUUCUUUGUUCUACAAUAAUUUGCUUGAGAAUUUGUGGUUCAACAUCGUAAAUAAUGAUAAAAGAAAUAUCUUAAUAAGAGCUUCAAUGGCGAGUAUGAAUCGGUUAUUAAUCGCCCUGUUUUUCAAAUUCUUUUCCUUGUGUUGUUUUCAAAUUUUUGGCUAGGUUCUUUCUUUUUGCACAGUUUCUAUCCUCGCACCACAAACUCUUAGAGUGCCUUGUGAGGUGAAUUUCUUUCCGGAGAUACAGUAAGUGAGUGUUGUAACCAAAUGACUGAGAAUGAUCGGUAGAGAAAACCAACACGCAAAAUGAGAUUUCGUUGCUGCAUUAUGUCUUGAAAGAAAAUGUAUGAUGGUCCAUUUCAUCACAUCCUACUCUCAUGUCGUGCCUCGUUAAGUUUUUUUAUCUGAAGCCUCUUCUUCAUGUUUAUGCAGUUGAGUUGAGUAAACAAAGCUCAUGCUUGAUUCCGCUACGCAACAAGACUGAUUGGUAUGUUGCUUUCAAGGUGAGGAUUUUUUGCACCUUUUCAUUCACCAUGAUCGUGCUUUACUUUUUUUUAGGUAUGGUGGGCGACCAAUUUUCUUUCAAUUCUGUAUUCUCUUGAUGUAGUUUAAAUUUCAGAGUAGGAUAUCAAUGCAUUAAAAGCUCUCUACUAUGGAAAAACAUUAUGAGCUUUAUACUGGAUAUCCAAAACAUUCCAGGUUAAGUCUACAUCUUUGAAGAAAUACUGUGCGCAAUCAAAUGUAGGCAUCAUCAAGCCAAAUGGAGCAUCUGAUUCAAAAUAGUGCUGCUCAAGUCCAAGGAACAUCAUGUUCACAUACUUAUUAAAGCCACUAACAUACUUGUGAGGAGGGACACGCCUACAGUACCUAAAUCAGCUAAAUAAUUCUUUUGCAAUUUCUUUGCCAUGACAUGUCAAUUGGAUUUUAUUAUUGUUGGGUUACAAACUACUUAAGGUAGAGUCAGUCUAAUUGCAGCAAGGAUCAUCUUUGAAUAAGAUUUUGAAUGCCUACCAUAGUAGCCUAAUAUACAUUGAGACAAAGGAAACCACGAUAGGCCUCACAAGCUAUGUCCUGAUACUUCAAAAGAAUUGGAGUAGGCCUUUCAUCCUAUCUUCUGUUUGAUGUAGUUACCAUGUAAGCACGACAGGUAGCUCCAACUAUCCUGUAGUGCAAAGAUAAGUUUUUGAUACAGGUGAAGAGGACUACUGACAUGGUAGGUUUUGCUGCUAUUUGCUCCAUAAUCUUCCAGGUCAAGAAACUCGAGAAAUUUUCUUUUAAAUUUUCAAAUUGAUAAAGAAAGUGGUAAAUACAUAAAUGAGAGGAAGAUAAAAGCAGUUCUAACCAAUCCAGUGGAAUCACUAUCAAUGCUACCAGAUUAUGGAGACCGGAAGCAAGAUUCAUCUUCCAGGACUACCAUCCCAAAGGAUAUCUCACCUGUUGGAGUCGAAAAUGUGUCACCUUUUCUCAAGGUAUUACUUGCAAAAAACAUCAAUAUGUCACUUUAUUGUCUUUCUGGAUUGAGAUGGCAUUGUAUCUAAUCAAUGUAUCGGGGCUUUGCCACAGCCUUGGCUAGGCUGUAUGUUUAUUUAUUUGUGAAUGGAAAUCAAGUUGCUGCACAUCAUCUAUAUAUUGAUCUACCUUUUUAGCAACUAAAUGCGAGUGUAUGGGAUAUCUUUUUUCUCAUAUUAACUGUACGUGAAUCCAUUUCUAUGUCUCAGGAAAGAUUGGAAAUCAUAGAAUAUGACUUCUGUUCUUACUCUUAUAUUCCAGAAGGAUUGUCUUUUGAUGCCAGGAUCCUGAAGAGUUGGACGUGUCAAGAGGUUUUAAGGAGUUAAAAUCAACACUCAACAAGGUGAUACAAAGUUGAAAGAGGUUAGUUUUCUUCCCUUGGUUGAUUUGAAUUCAGGUCUACUUUCACCAGUCAAAUCACUGGGAGGACGGUUUCCCUUCCACUACACAAGCCACCCUUGAUUGCCCAUUUUAUACAGAUGAGGACAGGAGACAGAAGAGGGGAAGAAUUAUUAAAAGGAAGAAAAGAAAACUUAUAAAAGGCAUAGGUGUUGAGUUGGGAGAAUUGCAAAUCAGUCAUAAAUUUAUUUGUAUGAAUAAUCAAAUAAUGGAAUGGAAAACAUGUUUUCUCUCUCAUAUUCUUGGUUCACUGCUACUACUAACACAUUGGUUCUUAUGAAUAUCUGGUGCUGCAUGUAUUGAAGAUUACAUUUUUGUUUACUGAGUAAAAUGGCACGAAAUUGUUAUUGCCAAGUCAGAGUCGACCCGACUAUCACCAGGGACUACUCGAGUUUGGUACUACUGCUGUUGCUACUGCUAUGUUAGUGUUGUGUCUUGGAGAGGUGGUUAGAGAUAAUUUAGGCUUGCUGACUUGGGGUCUUUCUUGUGAUUUCUCUCGGGUUGUCCGAGUCAUGGCAUAUCCCUUAGCUGAUAUUAUUGUGGUAUCUUUCGUUGUGAACUUGCACUGGAGUUUGAUUUUCUCAUUGUUGGGAUCCGUCGAAAGGAAGAUUCUGUCCUGUAAGAUACUUCCUCGAAGAUUAAGAUUUCACUGCCUUAAAUUAGUUUUUUUGUGUUACAAAACUCUUGAAAUAGUAUAUUUGCAUUAUAUUUACCUCCAAAUUAAUUUUUGUGUAACUAGCCUAACGUGACUCAUGAGAUUAUCUAUUCGGCCCUGUCCCCGAACCAUGGGAAGAAAAAUACAGGAAUUUUGGAGAAAAAGAUGGGAUUUUUUUUGAGCGAAACAUGUUAGCCAAUCUACAUAAGUUACACUAGACCAAAAAAUUAGAGUCUCCGAGAAGUUAUCAAAUGCGCCAUCGUUGCGGUGCUAAUCGGAGAUUAUCUCUUCGGAUCGGGCUGCCCUCAGGGGGAGAAGAGGCCGAUUGGCGAUCUUAAGAUUCUGUUUUCAUUCUUGCAUACAAUGAAAUCACUGCUAAAGGAUGAAAGGUAACAAAACUCGGAUCAGAUUUUGCUUAACGGAAACAACAUAGCUAUUGUAAGAAACAACUUCUUCCUUCUGCUGGUAAUUAUAUUGCUAUAUGUUUGAGCCCUUGCCUUGAUAAGGGCAUGGUCUUGCCUAAAGUUUUGGUAAUCUAUCAACUAGUAAGCAAUUGCCUUAACCAAACAGAAACAAUCAGCCGCUCUGAGAGAUUCCUUCUGAUAAGACUCAUAAUGCUUAGACAAUGUAUUGAUGAAUCAUGACUGGUCUUGAAUUUGUGAUUAAAAGGUCAUCAUCGCCUAUUCUUUACAAUCUGGUCCUUUGUCUCAAUCAACCUUUUGUCCACCUCUUGAUAAAUAUAAAGCACAAGUGGUGUGGCAAUUAUGUUACCGAAAAGCUAGAAUUCUGCUUUCCAGUGCUUGAACCACUUAAGUGACGAUGCCUUGCUUUUGUCUUACUGCAGUUAGCUGGUGUCUCCCCUGAUCCAGAAUGAGUUGGGUUCAUCCUCUAACCCCAGUGGUUGAUUAUGUAGUUACUUUUAGUUGUUGGAAGCCCCAUCAGCAACAUCAUUUGAUUUUAUAACCCUCUUUUUAUGGGUUUAUGAAUCUGCAACCUUAGUCAAUUGAGCUCUUAUUUGAUUGAGCUCAUGUGUGAAUGUCUGAUGCAAUUAGCUCAACAGAUGGUGCAUGAUCACAUCAUCCUAUUAUCCAAUAUCUAUCUUUUGCUCAACUAGAGGGUGUGACAGUUGUUGUCAUGCUUGGUGCAUAUUGUUCCUAGGUUCCAGUGCAUUGUUAUUGAAGAACCUAUCUUGGCUUGUUUUAGUGUUCUUCUGUAUUUGCCCCGCCGUUGACUGCAUAAUAAUAUCUGUAUUUCCCCCCACAGAAUAUGGUAUCUUCUUGGUGGCCUGCUAUUUGACUACCCUCUCUGUUUUAUAGUACAUUCUCAACGUAAAUGCAGAAGGGUGUGUUCCCAAUAUCCACUUUGUAAAAGAUCAAAGAAUUCCACUUAUGUACUUGUUGCUCUUUGCUUGAAAAAAUUCUACUUCAUUAUGCAGUAUGGUUCUGGUACCGAGACAUCAGGCCAAAGAUGUGCACUGUACUGCAUACAGCUAGAUGAAUAAUGGACGUAUUUUGCUCCAAGAGAUUUCAAUUUUCCACCCAAGUAGCUGUAGUUGCUGCAUGUUGCGAAAAGAUCCAUGCCCAAAGCGAACUCACUUGUUUUGACCAUGCCCGGUUUUUUGUCGUUCAUGCUUUCAAAGUGGUUGGCUAUUUGGGUGGAGUGCUGUUUCUUGUUUUUGCGGUAGUGACAUUCAUCGGAGUUUUCUAGAGGUUUUCAAUCUGCUGAAAGAGUGGGCUCCGAGCUCGUGAGGUGUGAUAUUGGUUGCGGACUUUGGUUAGAGCGACAAGAUCUAAAUAGGCUGGAAAUAAGGUGCUGAAGAUUCACCAUAGGCCUCUUCUUUAUCGCUUGUUUUCGUGUAUAUUCACAGCUGCAAACGAGCUUUGACUUGAGGCAUGUGAAAUGAAGAGUAAAUGCUGAGAACCUUGUCUAGGCAUUGGUGCAAUUUUCUUAUUUGAAGCUUUAUUGGCCAUCGAAUCUCAUCAUCAUGAACAAGUUUGCAGUUUCAUUCCGAUUUUGAUUAGUUCGAACACAUGGUCCAAGAUUCUUAUAAAUGCUAUGUAACAGAAUUCUCCAAGUUGGAUCCAAAGUUACAUACAUAACCCAAAGUUACAUACAUAACAUGAUGUUUUUGUUCUGAGAUACUAAUACUAAAAGACAGCUUGUUCUGAGUAUGUCGAUACUUUCCGGUGACUAGUAUGGUUCUUUUUCAUUCUUUUACCCCUUUCACCGUAACACAUGGUGCUACAACAAUCGUACCCUUCAAGAACAACGUAGGUUGGGCUUGGGAGAAUCUGCUAGAAGCUCAGGCUAUCAGAGAAGCUGUAAAUCCUUGGAGAAAUCAUGAUGCAGAAGCAAAAAAGAAUUCAUAGUGCCACCAUUGUUGAGUUUGUACCUGGUAUGAUUUCUUCUCGAACGCUCUCAUUCAACAAGGAGAGAACUUUCUGUAAACCAUGCUCUUGAUGGAGAAGUUUGAUAACAUUCAAAACAAAUAGGUCUAGGUGGUGGAGCUAUUUUGCUCAACUCCUUUUAGUUAAUGUGUAAUCCAUGUAUUUAUGAGACAUUUUGGCAAUAGGUCUUAAUGCCUCUGGCUAUUAGACUUGUGCAUUGUAAUUGAUGGGAUGAUCACACAUUAGUUUAUUGGAUUAUGUUUUACUCCUUUUGCCCUUAUAAGUUGGCAAAGAGUACCUAAAAUUGGAUGACCAUAUGUACUGAUGCUGGAAGCUGUGAGUGAACUUUUAAACAACUGAGAUCGUGUUUUGGAUGCUUGAAUAUUGUCUGCAGUACGCCAGACACAUAUCUGCUCAUCGCUCCUCUGUCCUGGAAUGAAUUUGGAAUAUCCUGAAAUGUUUUGAGGCGAUUUUGUAUUUGGCUGCUUGGCAAUUAAUCUCCUGUUCAGUGAGUGAGAUUUCCUGUAUGUGAGUUUUGGAAAUUAUACGUUUUCUUGGCAUUGUUCAGUAUGCGCUUCCCUGAUCAUCGUCCAAUGGUCUGUUAAGAGUUGGCUGCUUGCUUGUCGCAUAUGGUGACAUGGAUUGCAUUCUUUUUUUUUUUUUUUGGGCUUCCAGAACUCAGUAUCUUUCAUGUGCUUUAUAGAUAUGAACGACCGGAGUUCGGACUCUGUCAUGUGCAUUUCUCUCCGCAGUUUUAUUUAUUUUGCGUGGUGUUGGAUUGGGAAUAUUCGUGUAGGAAAUUUUUUUAUGUCUGAAUGGCAAAUUUACUAUCAUUUACUACUGGGGCCGAAUUUUCCUCAAGAAUAUCAAAGCAGCGGUUCUAUGCAAUCAGGCUAGUAAACGUAAUUACUCAGGAAUGAAUAGUGAAGAGCUCGUUACUUUGUUGAGUUUCUUGUUCUUGUUAUUCUUUUUAACUCAAGCAAUUGUUUAGGUCAAGAAUGUGAUGCCUUUAGAUGAUUCAGAAUUAACACUUAAAGAACCAGGACUCACAGAAAAUUUCAUUUCGCAGCAUUGGUCAAUGACCAAUCUUAAUUGAGCUGAUAUGUAGACUUUAUUUGGUGUGCAAAAGCUGAUGAAUGGUGUAAUUUGAUUAUAUCCUAUCUCUCACAUAAUGACCAAUCUUAAUUGAGCUGAUAUGUAGACUUUAUUUGAUGUGCAAAAGCUGAUGAAUGGUAUAAUUUGAUUAUAUCCUAUCACCUCACAAAUGUGAGAAAAGUUGUGACGAAAAAGGGUUUUGAUUAGAUAAUGUGAUUACAUCCUAUCACUAUUCUUUCACAUUCAGAUCGAUUUAAAAUUGUCUCUUUUCUACUAAUCAUGUGAAGCAACUAGUGUGUUGCAAGAAGAGAAUUUAUGAUUAGAUGCUACUGAUCAUUCGGAUAGCCGGCUUCUGGGGCAAGGAAGUUUGCUUAAGAGGGGAGAAAUAGGAAGGUCGCUAUAAUUAUUUAAUGUGAGGUUAUGCUAUUUUGUGGAAAGAGUAAGAUCAAAAUCAAUCAAAGUGACAUUAUGGACUUGCCUUUGCUGCUUAAUCGUACAUAGCCCCAAUAGUUUGUGACAAAAUUUGCCUGUAUCGCUUCUGUCAAUCUUAUACAAUUAGCAUCUUCUAAUCUACGACAACUUAGUCCGAUGUUUUGCGUUGAAUAGCGGCAACAUACGCUUUACUUGGGAUACUUGGUGAGUACACUCGUGGCUGAAAUGCCAUUAUCACGUGUUGCCUAUUGAGCGUUUUGGGCUAGGCAGAAACAGUUGGAAAACCUGCGGGAUCGACAUCUGAUAUAGUGUCUGGAUUGUUCAAGUAUGACUAAGCCAUCUCGCGGUUCAUAAUUGCAAUUUAGAAUCGAAAACUAAGUGGUAAUCCCAUCUUUUUAGCCAUUGAACAACUUGAGUCCUGUCAUAUGUCCCGAUCCCUGAAUCUUUUGGGAGCCAUUGAAUCCAAAGGAGAGGGUCUGAAGAACCAAAGAGGGACAAGUUAACAAAAGCAACUUUAUUUGUACGAGAUUUCGACAAAACACAAAUUAGCUUGAUCAGUGGCUAAGUAGCAUCGACACACAACAGUCUUAUUAUAACUUCAUGACGGUGUUUAAUUGAAAAAGCGAACGGGAUUAUCCUUCACCAUCGUGCUCCGACGAAGAAACAUGUUAAAGAGAAGACCUCUCUCCGAGGGACGUGUACACGUGGUGCGUUUAACAAGAAUUAGCUUCGACCAAGCCCUGAGCUGCUGCGCUCAUCACAUUGAGGAGCCCCUCGCCAGCCAUGGUAUUAUAAUCGGUAGGUCUCUCGCGCCCUCAGAAUCGUGCCCGCAUGACAUAACCAUUUUUCAGUUGAUCAACGUGGUCCGGAUACGAGGACAACCGGCCAUCAGAUUCAGGAUAGCACCUGAUCGCAACUGAUUUUUUUUCUAUGGAACUUUGUUAUUAGUGAUCAAAGAGAAAAAAGCACAAGAUAGCUAUACUGGGUUUUCUCUGCAGUAAGCCAAAAAGAAUGUGAAGUAGAUUUGGAGGGGAAACUAAAUCAAGAACGAUGCCAAGAGAACAUAUAAAUUCCAGAAUCUGCAUACAGGAAAAUCUCACUCGCCGAGCGGGAAAUUAAUUGCCGAGCAGCCAAAGACAGAAAUUGCAUCAGCACAUUUCAGGAUGUUCCAAAUUCAUUCCAGGACAGAGAUGGCAGACGCACAGAUGCAGUCUGGCGUAAUUUUAAAUUUUAUUUUUCCUGCAGACAAAGUUCAAGCAUCAAGAAUACGAUCUGUGUGUUUAGAAGUUCACAUCUUCAUCUCACACUCAUCCAGCUUACAGUAUCAUGUAUAGUUGUCCGAGUUUAAAUGCUCUUUGCCGACAUAUAAAGGCAAAAAAGAUUAAAUAAAUUCAAAUAAAACUAAUGUUUGAUCAUCCUGUCAAUCACCCCUCGGUCAUUCAAAAAGAAAGCCACAAAUUGGGCGAACGUAAUGGUCAAAAUAAGCUUGUGCACCAGAAAGGCUGACCACCAGUAGUACCACAAUGUCUAAUAGCCAGAAUUCUUAAGACCCGUUGCCAAAAUGUUGCAUGAAAAACUUCGUUUGCACACUAAAGCAGUUAACCAAGAUUACUCAACCACGUAGAUGUAUUUUUUCUAUAUGUUAUCAGACUUUUUCAUCAAGAACAUCGUUGAACGAAAGGUCUAGUGAUGUGCAACAAGAGCAGUCGAGAAAAAAAUCAUACCAGGAAUAACUCAACAAUGGCAGCACUAUGAGUUCUUUUUGCUUUCUGCAUCACGAUUCCUCCAAGGAUUCAGAGCUUCUCUGACAGCCUGAGCUUCCGGCGAAUUCUCCCAAGCCCGCUUCUCUGACUCCAAUUCGGUCACUUUAUCAUCUGCAACAUACAACCAGAUUAAUAUUUCUUGGUUAAUACAGAAAGACAGACCCUUUGGUAGUAAAAUAAGCAACCAAUGGCAUGGGAAAGAAUCUGAUAAUCUUCGUCAUGAAGAUGCUCACGAGAGUAUAGGUAGUUAUGAAGGCAAGGCAACCAAACAACAUUCUCACAAUCUUUAGUCUAUACCAAAGUCCAUUCAGAAAGAUGCAAGUGAUGAAAGCUCAUCAGUCUUCAAUAAGAUCACAAAGGAACUGCAAUUUCAACGGGACUACAAAUCACUUCAUCUAAUUGUGUUCCUACAGAAAUUUUUACUCUUUGAUUAUACCCUGAAAGAUAUGAAAUAGCUGCAGAACAAUCCGCUUAAUGUUUUCCCGAGAUGUGCAUCACAGUCAUAAGUUCAAUUUUAAAACCAGUCUCCUCAACGACUUUUCAGAAGUUUCUCCCACAGAAGGUAUCAAUGAACAGAUGAUUAGCUGCACAAGCCAUCUAUUCUCCACAGACUGGAACACUUCGCAUUCAUAGGUAUCGCCAUUCAUCACCUGAGACAACAUUUUUUCGCAUCAUGCUUUUCGUGUAGAACAAUGAGAAUGUUCAGUUCAUCGGCAUAACACGACGGUCCAAAUCAAAGCCCUCCUCUUUCACAAGCAAGCGACUGCAACAUACCAAGCGACUACGACAUACCACUGAAAUCAUGAAUUUCCGUCCUACCCCCAACUUCAGUCACAAAGGAACUGACUAAACGAUGCUUUUCUCAUCCGAAGAGACGAAUUUGAACACGACCCAUCACCGUAAAAUCCACUCCCAUUCGACUAACGCAAUAGCUGUCGCACUAGCAUCGCUCGCGAGCUCUAAAGCAAGGUUCAUUAGAUAAAAAUUGACUCCAACUGCUUAAUAGUGCCUAAAAACCAUCCAUUUCGAAGUUAUCUCGCGCCAUUUUCUUUUGGGGUACGAGCUACCCAAAAGAGAAGCGGUAAAAGUCGAAACGAAAGGAAUUGGCAGGAACGGGCGAAGGCGGAGCAAGAAAGGGAUGGAGUGUCCUCACACAGAAGCCGGUCUUGAUCAUGAACAACUCCAUGGAGCCUCCGACGAGGGCCGAGAAGACCCCGAUCUUCACGUACCAAUCAAGAAACUUCACCGCCAUAUCGAAAGUUGCCGCUCAAGCUUCCGCGGCAGCGGCUGGAAGACGGGAAAACGAAAGAAGGGUCUGUAAGAAAGAGGAGAAGGAAUAGGUAACUUCACGUGGAGAGAGGAGAUCCAUCGAGGCCCAUCAUCGGCCAACGCAGCCCGAACAUUUCCCCUCUAAAGAAAGCUUUUUUAGCUGUUGGGUCCAAGAAACUUGGGCCUUUGGCCACUUUUAGUGCUGCUCGUUGCAUCAAGAUACAAUCUUUUCGUCUUCUCUUCUCGUUGCGUAAACGAGGGCGGAUGCUUUGUUACAGAGUGCGUUUGGUUCAGCAUUUUGAAAGCUCGGAGAAAUACAAAACAGUUUAGCCUAAGGGGCUUUGGACAAAUACAAAGACUAUUUGGUAAAUUACGCUUUGAAAAGCAACUUUGAAACAAAUGCUGUUUGGUAAAAAAACACAUUUAGAAAGCCCAUUUGAGUGAUUAAUAUUAGCUUUUUAGUUUUUAUAUGUUUAAAAUUGACAAAAAUAAUGCAUGCAACUUCUUUUAAUUUGAAUUUUGACGACAGUGCUAAAAAAUAUCAAAUGGAAAAAAUUCACAUCAAAGUUGUCUCUUUCUUAAUUUAAAAAAAAAAAAAACCUUUAUUAUAAUAAACGGAAUAACAUCUGCCCCGAGGAAAUAAAUUUAUUAUUCUUUAAAAUUACAAACAUCCUUAAAUAUUUCCUAAACUUAGAGCCAUUUGAUCAAGCUAGAAUACUAUGUACAACAAACCUUGAUACAACACAGUUUCUCAAAUAUCUAUUCUCUGUUUACAUGCAAAGUCUACAUAAAAGUUCAAAUGCUCCUAUCAUAGAUAGAAUUAAAGGUCAUUGUAGCACAUAAGCUGCCAUGUUUUUUGACCACAAAGAUGACUUGUCUGGCCUGCUUGACUCCCCAGAUGAAGUGGAGGAUGAAUCCUUUGAGUGACCUUUGAGACCUUCAUCAGCAAUUAGAUCCAUCAAUUUUGAAAGUGACAAGGUGUCGAUAUUUCACUAUCA